AUGACAUUCCUGAAGGGUCCGAAUCUCUACAACUUGAACUUCUAGUCAUGUCUCCCAAGAACUCUUUUGCUGUGCCUAAUAUUCCUGAGAACUUCUUCAAAAGGACGAAAAAGCUUCGGGUUUUGGAUUUGACUAGAAUGCGGUUAUUGUCAUUGCCAUCUUCAAUUGGUCUUCUAGUAAAUCUUCAGACACUUUGUCUUGAUCAAAGCAUUUUGGGAGGCAUAGACAUAGCCAUUAUUGGAAAGUUGGAAAAUCUGGAAAUCCUUAGCUUUUUGCGAUCUGAUAUUGUAGAGUUGCCUAAAUCACUAGGUCAACUGACUAAGCUAAGGCUGUUAGAUUUAACAGACUGUUUCCAUCUAAAAGUUAUUGCUCCAAAUGUCAUAUCAAGCUUAAUCCGAUUAGAAGAAUUUUAUAUGUAUAAUUGCUCCAUUGAAUGGGAGGUUGAAAGUGCCAACAGCAAAAGAAGUAAUGCUAGCCUUGACGAAUUGAAGCAUUUACGUCGGCUAACCACUCUAGAAAUUGAUGUUAAAAAUGAGAGUAUGUUACCAGAAAGCUUUUUGGCCAGAGAGCUCGAAAGGUUCAAAAUAUCUAUUGGAAAUGGGUCAUUCAUGCAUCCCAUGCUUUUUGGACAAUAUUGGUUUAAAAGUCGGCCGCACUUUUUGAUCGACAGUAAUCGCAAGAUUUCAAGAACAUUGAAGCUCAAGCUUGAUUUUAUGGACAUUCGCUCCAUGAAAUUGCAGGGCAUCAAUAACGUUGAAUACUUAUUGUUGGACAAGCUACGAGGUAUCGAGAAUGUUCUUUUCAAUUUGGACACGGAGGGCUUUUCACAAUUGAAGCUUCUCUGGGUUCAAAAUAAUCCAGGCUUCUUUUGCAUCGUCGAUUCAAGGGAGAUGGUCGCUUGUGAUGCCUUUCCUCUUUUGGAGUCACUUGCCCUUCACAAUUUGAUCAACAUGGAGAGGAUAUGUAUUGAUCCGCUCAAAGUAGAGUCUUUCAACAAACUCAAAACCAUAGAAGCAUAUAAUUGUGAUAAAUUGAGUAAUAUCUUUUGGCUCUCUACAACAAAAUGUCUUCCAAGACUUGAGAGAAUUGCAGUUAUUAAUUGCAGCAAGAUGAAAGAGAUUUUUGUAAUUGGGGAAGAAGUUGAUAAUGCAAUUGAGAAGAUAGAGUUUGCUCAAUUAAGAUCUUUGAGUCUGGGGAAUCUUCCAGAGGUUACAAGUUUUUGCCGUGAAGUAAAGACUCCUUCAGCAUCACCAAACAGACCAGCGAAAUCACUUUGGAUACUUCAACUCUGCUUUUCAACGAGAAGGUGCGUAGGCUAACAUUUUAUUUAUAUAUAUAUAUAUAUAUAACAGACUUUAUUCUAUCAUGCGUUCUGUUUUGAUGUCAUACGUGGAAAAUGUUGGGAAAAUAUGCUCUUUAAAAGCAUAUGUGUUUAUUUAAUUGUAAUAAACAAUUUUUCUGAUUAAUAAAAUAAAUGAGGUAUUUUAUUCAAAUAUCUUAAUUGCAUUAAUAUUUGUAUUAAAGUCCAUUUAAUCAUAUUAUAUGUAUUUAUGUGAUCACCAUGUGGAUUCACAGAAGACAUAAAUACAAGUUAUCUUAUGAUUAAAUAAAUUUAGUUCGCAGUUGAUAAAUAAAGUUGGGCACUUUAUUUAGGUAUAGACUGUAAUAAAUUCAUUGAAUGAUUUGUCUUAAUCAUGUAUGAAUUUAUUGAUGUAGUACGACUACAUUGAACAGGAUCACAUAUGAGAUUUAAUUAACUUUGUAAUAACUGUCAGACUUAUUAAAUCUCAUAGGCGUUGAUUUUACUGUAAUCUUAAUCUUGAGUUAAUUAUGAUUUCAUGAUUGUGAUUGUUAUUUCAUUUGAGUUACCAAUGGGCACGACACAUCCUUGUGGUCAAGAUUACCCGGUAUCUUGGUGGGAGCAAUUAUGAGUAUUGGAGUUAUGGAUUAACAAUAUAGAAUUUGUACAACACAUCUCUUGAUAGGUUUUCGGUACUUGAUCAUAGAAUUCUCUGGCCAGAGUGUGUCAACAUAUUUAGUAUGUUGAAAAUGAUCAUUAGAGAAAACCAGUAAGGAUCAAGGAAUAAGAUGUUAUUAAAUUGAUUGGACAGUUGAGAUAUCAAUUUAAUUAACGAUGUGGUACAAAGGAUUGUGCAGUAAAGAAAUCAAUGUGGCUUGGGACGAAUUAUUAUUCGAGCAUACAAUUAUGGAAGUCAGUUCCAAUCUUUUAGUGGAGUAGAUUUGGAAUUAAAUAAUUGGGCUAGUUUAAUUACAGGCCUAAUUAUUGUAGCCACUAUUGUAUGUUCCCAAAUGAUCCCCGGGUUAGCUCAUUUAAUUGAUUGCACCACUGCUGGACUAAUAAGCAAGAUAACUAGCUAUUUGGGUCAAAAGCCUAAAUAUAUCAUUUAGUGGGAGGCUCCAUUUAAUAAGCUUAUGUGUAAGGGGCCUUAUGUUAUUUUACAUGGUGGGUCCCCUAUUAAAUGAAAAGUAACGUGAGUUUUAUUUUGGGGGAAUCCUUGGAGCCUAGGGUUUUCACUAAAGGGAGAUAUAUAAGGCUUAUUUUCCCAAAAAGGAAAAAGCAGAAGCCACUUUAUACAAAUCAGAGAAUAAGAUUUUUCUCUCCAUUGUUGAGAGAAAAAUUUUCUCGUGCUAGUUGCUUUGGUAGUGAUAAAGGCGCCCACACGUCAAGUGCAGAUCGAACCUGAGUCAUAACCUGGAAGAUCAUUGGAGACAGUUCGUGAUCUAACAAGCGUGGUGGUGACGGAUCGUGAUCUAACAGGAGUGGUGGUGGCGGAUCGUGAUCUAGGAGCCUAAAUCACUUCAGCGGAAAAAGCAAACUCAGAUUUACAAGGUACGAUUUCUAGAAUACGAAUUCUUAUAUAUAUAACAAUUGGUAUCAGAGCCAUCUCAUAUUAAUAUAUAAGAAUUUCGUAUGAAAUUAAUCUUGAAAUUUAUGUAUUAGAGUGGCACAAUUUAUUCAGAUGUAUAUUAUUUAUUUAAUAUAUGAAUAAAGCAUGCUUAUGGUUUGUCUUAAUUCAUGGUUAGAUUUUCUUUUGUAUUGUUCUUUGGAUCUGUAACAAGAGGGGUGGUUUUUUAUCACCAUGUUUCCCUCUUGAUUUAUUUUACAGUUAUAGAAUUUUUGUAAGCCAAAAUUGGUCUAGGAAAUUUGUAAAUUAAUCUCAGAUUUUCAAGAUCGGAGCGACGGAGGCCGGAAAUUAUGACAGCGGCAGCAAACCAGGGCAUGCUGCAGCAGCGUGCGCGGCCAGCAAUGGCCAGCAUCGCGCGCUGCGCUGUGCGCAGCAAAGCAGCGCGCGCGGCCAACAUUGGCCAGCGGCGCGCGCUGCGCUGUGCGCAGCAAGCAGCGCGCGCGGCCAGCGUGGCCAGCAGCGCGCGCUGCAUGUGCUGCAGCUGGAAGCAACGCUGCCGAGGCCAGCAGAAAGUUGCGCGCGGGUUUUGGCACGUUUUCCGGCCAGGCGGCAGCAGUUGGUUUGGCGUCGGCGUCGGCGUCGGAGGUCGGCUGGCGUCUGAACAGUGAAGGAGGAUUUUGGAGAUGGCGGCUGGGGAAGAAGAAAGAAAGAAAAAUAUGGAUUUAGGGUUUCAUGGCUUUUAUCAUGGAGGUCCCUAUGGUUCCAUAAUUUUUCACUUGGGCAGUCAAGUUUUAAUUUUUUGCAUUUAAGUCUAAAAAUAGUUUUGGGCUUAAAGAAUCCUAGUUUUAGGCCCAAUUGAUAUUUGGGCUUAAUGGAUUAAAAAUGCAUAGACAAAAUUAAAUACAUUAAAUUUAUUUUUGGUCCAAAAGUUUUAUUUUAAUAAAAAAAAAAUAAAAUAAAAAUAAAAUAAUUUAUUUAUUUAUUUCCUUUCAAAAUUAAAAUUGGACCAAUUAUAAAUUUAAAAGCUCAAUUUCCCCUAGUCCAUUAACAAAAACAAGCUUAUGGAAGAUGGACAUUGACAAGAAGCCCAAUGAAGAUUAGGCUUAGGGUUAAUGUAUUUUUCAUUAUUAGGAAAGCCAUGAAUUAAGAUUAUUUAAUAGUUUUUCUAUAUGUUAUGUUUUGGAUGAUAACAUGCCAUGAUAACAUGUCAUAUAGAAUAGGUAGUGCCACUCUAUGCAUAAUGAUACAUGUCAUUCAUUAAUAAUGAAUUUCAUUAUAUUGUUUGAAAUUUGUAUAUGCUUAAUAAUAUUUGAUAUCAUCUAGAUAAUAUUAUAUGAAGCAUGCAAUUAACAAUAUGUAUGUUUUAAAAAGGAAAAACCAAUUUUAAAAUAUUGAGUGGGAGAGGGAAAAUUCAAGAUAAUUUUCCCACGGGCUCCAUUGUUAGUUCAAUAAUAAAAUUAUAUAUAUACCUCGACUUCAUGAUACGGUGAUGCUCCCUUCGGAGGGUAUAUAUAUUAGAUAUUUUAUUUGAUGAACUUCUUCAAAGAUAAAAUUGAAAUAUUUUUCAAUCGAUUGUUCACCCCAACGGUGACUAUUGAUAUGAAAAAUACGUAGAUUGAAACAAUGGUUAUACACUCAACUAAAGUUUGUUAUUAACCUUCCCAACGAAGCUCUGUUAACAAAUUUAGGUCCAAAGGGAUAACGAUAAUUAUUUAUCAUGUCUCUACAUGAAAGUAAAUAAUCCAAUGGAUAAUUGGGUCUAGUAAGUGUAGACAUGACUUCCCCAACGGAUAGCUUGUCAAAGCGGUACUAGAUUAUCGUUACAAUAAAUUAAAAUGCAUUUAUGGUUUUUUGCAUUUUUGUCAUUUAUUGUGAAUAUUGUUUCAAAGUAUUUAUGCAUGUGUAUUUUGUUUUUUCAGAAAAUGUCUUCCAUCAACCCAUUAUUAUUUAUCCUUGUUAAAAAUGAACUCACUGGCGAAAAUUAUUUAGAUUGGAAACGCAAUCUAUUUAAUAUUCUCACUGCUAAGGGAAGCAAAUAUGUGUUGACCCAGCCUUGCCCUCCUGAACCAUCGUUAUACGAUUAUAGAAAUCAGAGGGAGCCUUAUGAGAAAUGGUGCGAAGCUAACAAAAUGGCUAAGCGCUAUAUAUUGGCUUCGAUUUCUGUGGAACUGCAUAAGAAACAUCGGAGCAUGGAAACAGCUACUGAAAUAAUGGCUAGUCUUCAUCAGAUGUUUGGGCAAAAUACCCAUUUUGCCAGAGAAGCAGCAUUAAAACGUAUUACGGAUACUCAGAUGGAAGAGGGCACAAAAGUUCGUGAUCAUGUCCUCAAAAUGAUGGACUAUUUGAAUGAGGUAGAGAUUCAUGGUGUUCAAAUCAAUGAUAAAUCAAAGAUUAACAUGGUGAUUGAAUCUUUACCUGAUACAUUCAAAGAGUUUAAGGUCAGCUAUAUCUUAAACAAUAAAGAUAUGACCUUAAUUGAAUUAAUGCACGAACUACAUGCUAUAGAAGAAUUUUAUCAUAGCAGAAAACUUCCUGAAAAAGGAUUCUCUUCAAGGCUUAAGUCAAAAGACAAGAAUGAGCAAGCAAGAGUUGGGAUCGGCAAACUGUCCAUUAAAAGAAGUGGCAAGCCAAAAGGCAAGUGUUACAAAUGUGGACAGAAGGGUCACUGGAAGAAAGAUUGUCCUAAGAUUAUUAAAAUCAGGUAUAGGAAAUCUUUAAGCUUCCUAAUUAGUUUAGAUUUCUAUUGAUUCAUACAAUAAUGAAUUCUGAGAUAACUAAUCUUAUUUGUAAUUCAUUUAUUUGGUUUUCAGGAAACCAAGAGAUUAAGUGAAGAAAGCUUCAAAUAGCAGUUGAGGAUGUGCUAGUUUAUAUCAAUUGAAAGACUAGAUCAAUUUUACAAGACUUUAGUUUUGAUAUUUGUCUUUAUUUUUCCAAAUAUUAGAGGAAUUUAAUUUCAGUGGCUUGUUUUAAUAAACAGGAGUACACUGUUAUUUUUGGAUCCUCUGUUUAUUACUUAUUUUGGUUAUUUAUAAAGAUAAUUUAUAUCAUAAAAGUACAUUGAUCUAUUCAAAGUAAGAUAUAAUGAUUAAAAGUAUAUGCAUUUAUCUAAGAAAAGAAAUGUUUCUUCUAACCAAAAAUCACCUCUGAUAGUUAUGCUUAAGUCAUAUAAGCUAUAAUAAGAUUUUAAGAAAAUGAUUAAUGAUAGACUUGUUGGCCUAUUAAGAUUGAUCAUUGUAACUCUAUAAAUCUUAUUUAGAAAAGUAAUAUGACAAGGAUACUCUUUAUGAGCUAAAAGCAUAACAUUGUAUUUGAUGAUUUAGCGCAUACAAAUGUAUACGGACUAAUCAGUUUACAUGUUAUAAGAGGUUAUGAGUAUUCUAUCAAUCUAGUUGAUGAAUAUUCAUUUUAUGUUUGUCUAAAUGAGUCAUGAUUCCAUUGCUUUUGAAAUUCAAAAGAGUACGUGAAUAAGACAGAAGCAAUUAGACAGGAACAUAAAAGAAUUUCGAUAUGAUCGAAACAAAGAAUAUCUCUAUGGAGAAUUCAAGCACUAUUUGGUUGUCAAUGAACACUAUGAUACAAUAGUGUAAUUAAAUAGAGAAACAAGAUUCUUUUGGAUAAGACAAGAUAUAUACUAAGUGGUUUAUCAUUUACCUUUUUGAUUCCAGAUACUAGUAUUUGAAACUACAAAGUUUAUUGAACUUAGUUUCAUCUAUCUCGGUGUCCACUACUCCAAGAAAUUAUGAAAAAGUCACAAACAUGGUUUGAGACACAUUCGUAUUUGGAGUUUACUAGAAUCAGAGAUAGAGAAGAUGGAUUCGUGUUCAGAAGCUUGCAUGUUUUAGGUAUCUUAAAGGAAUAAGGGAAAGUCUGAAUUAUAGUCCUCAAGAUAGGAAUGUAUUUAUAGAAAUAUUUUUUACUUUCUUUGAGGAAGACUAUAUAAUGACUUAUAACCUAAGAGUAAGGUAAAACUAGAGAAAUAAAAGAGAUCAGGUUGAUGCUCAGCUUUCAACACCUGUUAUAGAACAGGAAGAACAGCAACAACCAGCUGAUCAGCACAGGAUUAUCCUUGAACAACCAUCACUUUUAGAACCUCGUCGUAGUGGGAGGGUAACUAGGUUACCUGCAAGAUACAUGUUUUUGGGAGAAACCUAUAAGGCUAUCUCAGAUGAACAUGUACAAGAUCCCACUAGUUACAACGAAGCUCUAAUAGAUAGAGAUGAUGAAUUUUGAAAAAGGCCAUGAAUCAAGAAAUGGAAUCUAUCUAUUCCAAUAAAGUCUGGGAACUUGUAGAGGCACCAAAUGGGGUAAAACCUAUAGGGUGCAAGUGGAUCUACAAGAGAAAAAGAGGAGUAGACGGAAGGGUGGAAACAUUUAAAGCAAGAUUAGUAGCCGAAGGGUUUACUCAGAAAGAAGGAAUCAAUUAUGAGGAAACCUUUUCUCCGGUUGCUAUGCUUAAAUCCAUCAGGAUUCUGCUCUCCAUUGCUGCAGUGCUAGAUUAUGAAAUUUGGCAAAUGGAUGUCAAGACUGCCUUUCUUAACAGGCAUCUUGAAGAAAACAUCUACAUACAGCAACCAGAUGGAUUUAUACAAAAAAGGCCAAGAACACAUGGUAUGUAAGUUGCAGAGAUCUAUUUAUGGAUUGAAGCAAGCAUCCCAGUCAUGGAACAUCAGAUUUGAUCAAGCGAUUAAAUCACUUGGAUUCAUUCAGAACAUUGAUGAACCAUGUGUGUACAAGAAAAUUCAGGGAAAAUUUGUAGCCUUCCUAGUUCUUUGUGUAGACAAUAUUCUCCUGAUUGGAAACGAUAUAGGAGUAUUGACUACAAUAAAGAUUUGGUUAGCAAAACAAUUUGAUAUGAAAGACCUGGGAGAGACAAGUUAUAUUCUUGGUAUCAAGUUACUAUGAGACCGGAAGAAUAAAACUUUAGCCUUGUCUCAAGCGGUCUAUAUCGAUAAGAUAUUGGCUAGAUUUAGUAUGGAAAAUUCCAAGACUGGUUUAUUACCAUUCAGACAUGGAAUUACAUUCUCUAAGGAUCAAUCACCUAAAACAUCUGAAGAGAUAGAGAGAAUGAGACGAGUUCCCUAUGCAGAAGCUGUGGGAAGUCUCAUGAAUGCCAUGCUUUGCACUAGGCCAGACAUCUGUUUUGCGGUAGGGAUGGUUAGUAGAUAUCAAUCUAAUCCUGGACCUGAACACUGGACUGCGGUCAAGCAUAUAAUGAAGUAUCUGAAAAGAACUUAAAAUUAUAUGCUUGUGUAUUCUGGUGAUGAACUUAUUCUAGUGGGUUAUACUAAUUCUGAUUUUUUGUCAGAUAAGGAUUUUAGAAAAUCAACUUCCGGCUAUGUGUUUACAUUGGGAAGUGGAGCUACUAGUUGGAUGAGUGUGAAACAAUCUUGUAUCACAGACUCAACAACUAAAGCUGAAUAUGUGGCUACAUCUGAAGCUGCAAAAGAAGCUAUAUGGCUCUGCAAGUUCCUACGAAAUCUUGAGGUGGUACCUGUUGUAACUGCACCCCUUAAACUAUUUUGUGAUAAUGGUGGUGCGGUAGCUCAAUUUAAGGAACCAAGGAACCACAAGAAACAAAACAUAUUGAAAGGAAGUAUCAUCUUAUAAGGGAAUAGUGUAGAAAGGUUAUAUGACAAUACCCCAAAUGGCAUUAGAUGCUAAAUGGCAGAUCUUAUUACAAUGGCCAUUAGUGGGAAACCUUUAUAACCUGCACUUAGAGCCCUAGAGCAUGUGCAAUAUGCCAGAUAUGCUUUGAGAGCUAGUGGGAGAUUGUUGGGAAAAUAUGCUCUUUAAAAGCAUAUGUGUUUAUUUAAUUGUAAUAAACAAUUUUUCUGAUUAAUAAAAUAAAUGAGGUAUUUUAUUCAAAUAUCUUAAUUGCAUUAAUAUUUGUAUUAAAGUCCAUUUAAUCAUAUUAUAUGUAUUUAUGUGAUCACCAUGUGGAUUCACAGAAGACAUAAAUACAAGUUAUCUUAUGAUUAAAUAAAUUUAGUUCGCAGUUGAUAAAUAAAGUUGGGCACUUUAUUUAGGUAUAGACUGUAAUAAAUUCAUUGAAUGAUUUGUCUUAAUCAUGUAUGAAUUUAUUGAUGUAGUACGACUACAUUGAACAGGAUCACAUAUGAGAUUUAAUUAACUUUGUAAUAACUGUCAGACUUAUUAAAUCUCAUAGGCGUUGAUUUUACUGUAAUCUUAAUCUUGAGUUAAUUAUGAUUUCAUGAUUGUGAUUGUUAUUUCAUUUGAGUUACCAAUGGGCACGACACAUCCUUGUGGUCAAGAUUACCCGGUAUCUUGGUGGGAGCAAUUAUGAGUAUUGGAGUUAUGGAUUAACAAUAUAGAAUUUGUACAACACAUCUCUUGAUAGGUUUUCGGUACUUGAUCAUAGAAUUCUCUGGCCAGAGUGUGUCAACAUAUUUAGUAUGUUGAAAAUGAUCAUUAGAGAAAACCAGUAAGGAUCAAGGAAUAAGAUGUUAUUAAAUUGAUUGGACAGUUGAGAUAUCAAUUUAAUUAACGAUGUGGUACAAAGGAUUGUGCAGUAAAGAAAUCAAUGUGGCUUGGGACGAAUUAUUAUUCGAGCAUACAAUUAUGGAAGUCAGUUCCAAUCUUUUAGUGGAGUAGAUUUGGAAUUAAAUAAUUGGGCUAGUUUAAUUACAGGCCUAAUUAUUGUAGCCACUAUUGUAUGUUCCCAAAUGAUUCCCGGGUUAGCUCAUUUAAUUGAUUGCACCACUGCUGGACUAAUAAGCAAGAUAACUAGCUAUUUGGGUCAAAAGCCUAAAUAUAUCAUUUAGUGGGAGGCUCCAUUUAAUAAGCUUAUGUGUAAGGGGCCUUAUGUUAUUUUACAUGGUGGGUCCCCUAUUAAAUGAAAAGUAACGUGAGUUUUAUUUUGGGGGAAUCCUUGGAGCCUAGGGUUUUCACUAAAGGGAGAUAUAUAAGGCUUAUUUUCCCAAAAAGGAAAAAGCAGAAGCCACUUUAUACAAAUCAGAGAAUAAGAUUUUUCUCUCCAUUGUUGAGAGAAAAAUUUUCUCGUGCUAGUUGCUUUGGUAGUGAUAAAGGCGCCCACACGUCAAGUGCAGAUCGAACCUGAGUCAUAACCUGGAAGAUCAUUGGAGACAGUUCGUGAUCUAACAAGCGUGGUGGUGACGGAUCGUGAUCUAACAGGAGUGGUGGUGGCGGAUCGUGAUCUAGGAGCCUAAAUCACUUCAGCGGAAAAAGCAAACUCAGAUUUACAAGGUACGAUUUCUAGAAUACGAAUUCUUAUAUAUUAUAUGAGAGCGAUCUUCAAAAGGUUUUAUAAAAAUUUAAAAACCUGAUUUUUCCCCAACAGAAAAUAAUUAAAUCAUUUAAAGAAUUGAAAGGAAAUGGAAAAAAGGAUAAAAAGAAUCUCACGCGCUCACUAAUUGAGCUCUUAACAAGUAGUAUGAAUUAGAAUGCAUACUCAGCUGUCAGUUGGAAAUUGAUUCAGACUUGCAUUAAUUUGUAAUCAAAGAAGAAAAUUUCAACAAGUGCUUCCCAUAUGGAUAUUGGAUCUAACGAGAAAUUCUUAUUUUUUUAGGUUGCGUUGCCUAACUUGGAGGCUUUGGAGAUAUCUGCAAUUAAUGUCGACAAGAUUUGGCACUACAAUCAUCUUCCAGUCAUGUUUCCUCAUUUAACACGAUUGAUUGUGCGGCGUUGUCACAAAUUAAAAUACAUAUUUUCAGCGUCUAUGAUCGGAAGCCUUAAGCAGCUCCAACACCUAGAUAUACGCUUCUGUGAGGAUUUACAGGAGAUCAUUUCUGAAAACAGAGCAGAUCAAGUGAUCCCUUAUUUUGUCUUUCCACAGCUCACCAAUCUGAUACUCCAAGAUCUACCAAAACUUAGAUGUUUGUACCCUGGAAUGCAUACUUCGGAAUGGCCCGCGCUAGAAAUGCUUUUAGUGUAUGGUUGUGACAAAUUAAAGAUAUUCGCUGCAGAUUUAUCGCAGAAUAAUGAGAAUGAUCAACUUGGCAUUCCUGCACAACAGCCCCUAUUGCCGUUGGAAAAGGUAUGAAGUCAUUUUCUAGAUUUUUUAUCAAUAGCUUAUUUUUAACUUUGAAAAAUAUGAUAAAGCAUCGAUAAAUUAAUACUUAAUAAAUUAAAAACUUUUAUUAUACAAUAAUCUUUGCUAGUCUAGACUUAGGGAUCGAUGUGGUAGAUUAAUAAUUAUAUGAACUGUUUUAGGUAUAGCAUUUAUAAAAGAAUCCUUAGUCUUUUCAUAUAGAAGAACUAACAAAAUAAAUUAGUAAUUUAUUAUUGUGUAAUAAAAUAAUUUCGAGCCAGUUUAAAUCAACCUUUUUUCCCUAAUUUCUUUUUUACCUCUAAAAUUAACAUAUAAAAUAAAUUUUAUCAAUAAUUCAAUUUUUUUAAAAAAUAUAAUAUAAAACAAAUCCUAUAAAGUCACUGCGUGUGACCGUAGAUCAUCAAUUGACCUCAUUAGUUAUUAUGAUUGAUGAUGAUCAGAUCGUACCCAACUUGAAGGAACUAUCACUAAGUGGAAAAGAUGUGAAGAUGAUUUUGCAGGCCGAUUUCCCACAACACCUUUUUGGCAGUCUUAGAAAACUAGAGAUUGCUGCAGAUGACUCAGCUUGUUUUCCAAUCUGGAACGUACUGGAGAGAUUUCACAAUCUCGAAAUACUCUCACUGUUUAAUUUUUCAUUCCACGAAGAGGUAUUUUCGAUGGAAGGAUGCUUAGAGAAACAUGUGGGGAAGUUGGCAAUGAUAAAAGAAUUAAAUCUGCACCGGCCCUAUCAUCUGAAGCAGCUGUGCAAACAAGACUCCAAACUUGGCCCCAUUUUUCAGUCUCUUGAAAUUCUAAAAGUAUAUCAUUGUCAAAGUCUGUUAAUUCUAUUGCCAUCAUCAUCGGUAUCUUUUCGGAACCUAACAAAACUUUUAGCUUUCGGUUGCAAGGGAUUGAUGCACUUGGUAACAUCCUCCACAGCAAAAACUCUAGUGCAACUCGUCACAGUUCAAGUAUGUCGAUGCAGAGCAAUGACAGAGGUGGUAAUAAAUGACAAAGAUGGAGUUGAAAAAGAAGAGAUUGUUUUCCGCAAAUUGAAGGCGUUGGGCCUGCGUGAUUUAGAAAGUCUCACAAGUUUCUGCUCUGCCAAUUACACCUUUGAAUUCCCAUCUUUGGAAUAUCUGGAAGUGAUUGGUUGUCCCAAGAUGAAGACUUUCACUACAGGAGAAUCAAUCACGCCUCCAAGAGUAAAUGUCUGGUGUGGAGCGACAUCGAAUCAACGGCGUUGGGCUAAUAAUGAUCUUAACAGGACCAUACAACAAUUACAUGCUGAAAAGGUACGGAUAUACAUGUUACUCUUUAUCUCCCAUGGAAAAAUUUUACAAAAUUUGCUUUUUUUAAAUAAAAUAUCGAAAAGAUAUUUGUUAUAAAGUAAAAGUUUAAAUUGAUGAAUAAGAAUUUUAUUUUCAGCUGUUGGCGGUGCAGUCGGCGAUCUCUACCCAGUACUAAUUUCAUAGGCUUCUUAUGACUUGGGAGUUGUGAAUUUUUAGAAGAAAGCCUCAGCUGGUAAUUAACUGGUAAUUAAUUUUUAUUUCAUUUAUUUGAUCUCAUGGCUUGUUUCGCAAUUUCAUCUGAAUUAUUUAGAAUGGGUCAAUCGGCUUACUGUUAAAUUUGGAAUGCAAUUUUAAUGAUUCGUUCAGACUUUUGUGGACAGAUUUUGCAUCAUUGAAUGUCUUCUAGUCUAGUUUAAUUUGAGUAUUUUUUUCUUUUUUUCUGUUUUUUAGAUUUCCCCUAGUUUUCUAAAAUUUUAUAAUUCCUUGCAUACUUUGUAUGAUAAAAUUUCAUCAAAAGCCUUCAUAUUUUAUAAUUCCUUGAAAACAUCAUUGCUGUUCUCUUAUUUUAGUUUGUUCAUUUGGUUUGGUUUGCUUCACACCUAUCUUUCUUUGGGAUUUUUUUUUUUUUUUUUUUUUGAUGAUCUUUCCAAAUGCUCUUCCCUAUGAACACAUAAUUAAGAACAGCUGAAAAUCAUUCAUCGGAUAAAAAAUUAAAAAUAAACAAAAUCUAAUCAGAGCAUUAUGCCUAGAACAAAUCCUUAAACCAUCAAAGCAAAACUCUUCGCUAUGAAAAACUAUACUGUGGAAAUAUUGUUUGAAAACGUUGGAUACCAAGAAAGGGACUAAUUUGGUCUAGUUUUAUGAGAAGUAUAGAAGAACGUUGUUUUCUCUGUUUUUCCUGUUAGAACUCUUUACUCUGUGAUUGUAGAAUGUCUGGAUACUGAUGAAGAUUCAAGUAACUCUUCUCCUGUGCAUCAUUUGAAAUAAGGUUUUUUUUUUUUUUGGGUAAUAUCUCCUACUGGGUUAUAGUUCAUACAAAGAGAUUCUUAAAUCAAGCCGGAUACUGCUAGAAACAAGUGGGGAAGUAGGCGCUGAUAAAAUGGUUAAUCCUGUCCAGACUUAAUCAUUGAAGCAACUCCAAACUGGACUCCAUUUUAAAUAUCUUGACAUUCUAAGACUAUUUUACAAGCAUUUAAGUCUAUUCCCAUGAUCAUCUAUAUCUUUUGGGAAUCUAACAGAACUGUUGGUUUUCCAUUGCAAGGAAUUGUAACAUCCGUCCACUACAGCAGAAAGUCUAGUGCGGCUCGUAUCAAUGAAGGUAGCUGGAUGCAGGGCAAUGACAGAGCUGGUAAUAGGUGACGGAGAAGACGAUGGAGCACCAAAUUUAAAUUAAAACAAGAGAUUGUUUUCAGCAAAUUGAAGACAUCGAGUCUGUCUGAUUUAGAUAGUCUCACAAGUUUCUGCUCUGCCAAUUACGCUUUCAGAUAAAGAUUCUUGAAAUUGUCCUAUUUACAGCUGACAUUUCCACAAGAGUUGGAGAAUAUAAAAAAUUCAUUAAUCGUUAGUUUUUAAUUUCAUUAUUCAAUGAAAAGUCCUGUCAAAUUAAAUUGCAAAUCUCAAUGUGCAAGUACCUAAAUUUACUAAAUUUACUUUAAAUUAAUGAAUGAAAGAAUUUAUUUUCUGCUGUUGGAGGAGUCGUCAUCUCUCUCGACAUAGUAUACGAUAUGUUUUGAUCCCAUAGGCUUUUUAAUAUAUUACCUUGUGUUGUUUGAUCUCUAGGUUUAUUUUAUCGUUUCAUCUUAUUAUUUGCAAUGCGUCAGUUGGUUUAUUUGUUAAUUUUGGAAUGAAGUUGAUGCAGCUGAUGGUUGCAUAGGAUGAGUAGGAUAUCACUCCUGGAUCAUAACUUGAGCGGGUAUCUAUUCGGCAAGAAAUUCUGUUUAUUUCGUAGUUAUUUUACAAAGUUUAAGAUAUUUUCUUAUUUUUCUUAUUAUUUUCAAUAUUUUGAUAUUUUUUCUCUAAAUAUAAGAUUUUAAGUAUGAUUUAUUUUAUUUUUCUUAUUUCAGUUAGGAGAACGUUAUUAUGUAAUAAUAUUUUAAGUUUGCAAUUUUAAUAAAUACAUAAUAUUUAGAAUUUGUGUAAAAAGGGUCCAAUACCCUAAUUUUGUUAUUCAAACUUCUAUUAAUAAAAUUUCAGACUUUUUAAAAAAAUUUCUCUAUAUUUUCAAUCUCAACAUCUGUGUUUCCCUUUCAUCAUAAGUUUUAAUAUCUGGUUCUGAGCUAGCUUUAUGUGCAUAUUAUACAUCAUUGAAGGUCUUUUGAUCUGAGUUAUGAUCAAAAAAUUAUGCUCGCUUCUGUCUGGUCGUAUGAAAAUUGUGCAAAAUAUAAUUCUUAUAUAAUUUUUUAUCCUCCAUUGUUACAGAAUCCCAAGCUUCGAAUUUGUAAACUUUGAAAGCAUGGCAGAAAACUUAGUACUUAAUAAGGCUCUGGAAUAAGACUCUUUAUGGCUUCAAUAUUUUACUUAACAUGAAAAUUUCUUUCUAACUAGCAUCAUUGCGAAGAUAAAUUGGGGUAGUUCUGACAAGUACUGGCACUGCACAAUUAAUGUUACCAGCAAUCAAUUGUUGUGAGCACCGACAACCAUUUUCAUAUUUAAGCCUUAAGAACAGUAACUCAAAAUAUGGCAAGUGGCAACCACAUCAAAUAAUCAAAUUGUUGAUAGAUUUAGAGAGCUUUAAUUUGCUUGAUAUAUAUUUGAAUAUUUCAACAGAUGCAUCUUUUCUCUACUCACGGGGCACGUUGAGUUAGAAACGGUUUGAAUGUCAAUAUUACUCCAAGUGCCUCAACCAAAUUCAGAAUGAAAAAAACCAUCUGGUUACCUGCACUUUAGUUUAAGCAGCUGAUUUAGUUAGCACCAAGUAAUUCACACACAAGUGAGAAAUUUCAUUAGUAAAUCAUCAUACCGGGGAGGAAACCAGCAUCUUGACGCUUUUGUGACCAAGAAAAUCUGCCACAACCCGAUUAAUCAAGUUGUUACCAAACAAAUGAUCAAUUUAAUCAUGCCUUAAUUUUUUCUUUUUUUUUUUUGUGCUGGGGGGGGGGAAUAAAAAUCGUAACUUCAUUUACAUAUAAUUUUACAAAAUCAAUAGGACACUUACAGAGCACCUCCUACAGUCAUAGCAAGUCCAUUGGCAGCUCCUCUUUGAUGCUGUUCCCGUUAUUGUGGCAUAAACCAACAAAUUAAAUUUAAACUUUGACACAUACAAAAUUUGAUAAGGCUGAAAUCAUGGAAAUGUACUAAACAAAUAAAAGAAAAAAAUAUUUACCACUGCUCUGUUUUGAAGAAGGAAUAAUCCAGUUAUUAUAGACACCUGAUGUUACAAUUCAGGAAAAGUAAAAAAGAAUUACAAGAAUUCUAAUAAAAAAGACACAAAAUAAUUUUAUACAUACUUGCUGGUGGAUAAUAUAACCUAAGUAUAUGGAUCAAUGAUUAGGAUAUCCACUUACAAAUAAAACAUUCUUCAUCACAGAAGCACAGUUUAUCAAUAAGGCAAGGCUGAACCCAGAUAACAUUGCUAUAAAAGUGUAACUUGUCAAAAGCGGCAUCGAUAAAACCUGUACAUACAUAGAAAAUUAUGGGACCAAAACCAUGAAGAAAAGUAUUUUAUAAACAGAUAUGUUUGAAACAAACUAUCAAAUGGUCUAAAUGCCACAUGGUGUGUUCAAAAUUUUACCCCUGCAAUGCGUGUUAUGAUUAUUGGCCCAAUGAUCCUCUCGACGUAAGGGUAUAGAGUGAGUUGAAAAACAAGGAGGCUGAAUCCUAUAGUAAGUUCAAAAUGAGGACAAUCAUCAAGCAUGUGAUGGUGUCAAUGUAGUCAUUAUAAGAGAAGCGAAAGUUAUAUUUUAUAGUCCCACCAAUAAGAAAAUUUGAAGUUAUGGGAGAGUUGCUAUUACAUGCACAAUUCAGCCUGAAAAGAGAGCUAAAGGCUACGUACCGGAAUCCAGCAAGAAGCAAUAGUUACCGCAAAAGCAAAGAGUGACAUACAGAGACAGGGCAGGAAGUAAGGAAACCUGCAUAAAUUUGUUUUUCAGAAUACCAUCAUUUUGAAAGUACUACAGAAAAAGAAAAGGCUAAUGGCAGUAAAAAUUCACUUACUUUCCAAACAUAGAUUCUUUGGAAAAUGCCUUUGGAUAUUUCUCUGCUGGCUAGAUUGCAAAAUUAUCCACGAAUAUAUAUAUAAGAACAAUAUUUAUCAAGCCAAACUACUAAAAAUUCAAAAAAAAUGCCCAUAAUAAUCAAGUAAAAAUUGCAGAACCCGGGCCAGAAAGCCACCCACUGCAGGGCCAAUAAUCAAUCCUGUGCCCCAUGCUGUACUGAGCUGAAAUUAUAUUGUACCUAAAAAUGUAACUUUCAGAGUCUCUAGCCACUGAUGAGGACACGUCUUUUGUCUGCUAGCGGAAAGCGCGUGACGGCAAGUUUUUUGUCAGAGCCUAGGGACGCAGAGGGAAGGAAAAAAAAUAUCAUUAAUUUUUUUUCCUCUCUCGGUGGGCCCCACGUAAUGUGGGGCUCUGGUUUUUGUCGCAUUGUGUGGAGGGUGUAUAUCUAAAUCAACCCCUUGAAUACGGACACGUGUCGAUCUCAGAGAAACUCACGUUUUGUUGUUGGGACCCAUUAAUUCCCGUAAAAGUCCUAUUCUUAAAACAAGUCGAUACGAUGAUCAAUACUCCGCCUGUGGGUCCCGGCGACGACCCCCUACGCUGGGCAGUACAACACUAAAAAAUCGCCACGUGUUAUAUUUUAAAAAGCUUUGGGGGAGCGAAUCGAUAGAUUUUUUCUUUUCGUGACAAAGCAUGCGGGGGGGGGGGGGGGCCUCCCUGGUGGAUUUGCCUAGGGGUGGGUAUAUUUUAACCGAAUCGAUCCAAACCGACUAUUUGAAUCGGUUUGAAUUGAUUUUAUUAGUAAAAAAAUUGGUUUUGAUUUAUUGGAUUGUAAACCGACAUCAUUCGGUUUGGAUUUUGGUUUGGAAGGAUUCCAAACCGAUUCAAACCGAUUCAAUCCAGAAAUAUUAUAUAAUUAUAUUAUAUUUUAAGUUAAGCAAUCUAACUAAUUAUAUUUAUCAUUUUAUACAGAUUUUGACAAAUCAAAAGUAAUUGGGCCAUAAGUUUUGACAGACAAGAUGCACAAUAUUUUAAUUGUCAAAUGUUGUUCAAGUUUAUUUUAAUUUUGUGAGUUUGUUUUGAAUGAACAUGUUAAUAACUUCUUUAUUAGGGUGUAUUAUGUUAUAAACUUGUAUGGAUGUAUCUUUGAAUUGUUAUGUAGAUGUCAAAGUAGAUAUGAAUAAUAUAAAAAAUGUAUCAAUUUAGAUUACGGACACAAAAAAAUAAUAAAUAAUUUAGGUAAAAUAAUAUAAAAGAAGUGGGCUUUUAGCUAAUAAGCUCAAACCGAGGAUCCAAACCGAUCCAGUCGGUUUAGAUCGGUUCGGUUUGAAAAAAUUUUAAGUUGAUAUCGCUUUGAAAAUAUUUCAAACCGAUAAGUUUGGAUCGGUUUGAGAAUAUAUCUCAAACCGAUCCAAACCGAAUUUGCCCACCCCUAGAUUUGCCCGCCGUUAAUCAAUUUGUUUGAUGAUAAAGAUUCAAGCAAUCAUACACGAACUUAUUCAAUGGAGCUUCAGAAGAUUGGCAUUGCAGUGAAGUCCUGAGUCUUCUACUCAUCUUUUAACAACCUUUGCAGAAGCACAACAACAGGGACAAAUUCUGCAUAAUCGGGAAAAGAAAAAUCAGAAGACGUCAUAUUGAAAUGCAUUCAUAUUAAUUUGACAAGAAGAGAAUCAAACGCAGACCUCGUUAAAAAUCUUGUAUGCAUACGCAUAUAAGAGAAGUUCAAUAAUUGCGACGCAGGAUCAUUGCCGAAGCAUUAAACAAAUACGAGGCAGAGAAAGAGGAGCUCUGAGGAUGAGCGUGUUAGUGUGGUAAUACAAUAUCCUCGAUGCUUGCUGAAUGGUGGACAGUGGCGUUGGAAUAUCAUCUAAUAAAAGGAGAGAAAGAGGUGGCAACUGGCAAAGUGGGUGAGUGAAAGCUCAAGGCUGAAGCGGUUGGCUAAACUUUGUUAAAAAGAUGCACAUAUUGAUAAUAAUAUACGACCGUACGUUGUCUGUUAACUUGGAACUCUUUAGCAUUUAAGCGAGUCUCUCUCUCUCUCUCUCUACGAUUGGGAAUUGGGAUUUCGGAUCGGGAUCUACCGUAUUCUCCGUCUAUCCUAUGCAUGUCAUCAUACAUCAGUAAGCGUGCGUGCCUCUGCGUCUCCCCCUCUCCUUCUUUUUACACAACUAUUUACUGUUACUAUUUCUUUGCCAAUUCCCUUAUUUCACGGUACUUGUAGUAAGACGAAACAAAGGAAGAAAAUGCUAAGGUACUUCAUUAGGCACAUUUCUCAUGCGUACUUGAAAGUAAUCAGAACCGUUGAUCUUUCCCCGAUGGGCCACCCACUGCAGGGCCAGUAAAAUUUUCUCAAGACCUUUGCAAUCAUACACGAACUUUGCAAUCAUACAUUCCUACAGUUUGGUGCUGAUCGCGCAAUAUUUCACAUGCAUAUGCCUGGUGGUGUAAGAGAAGUUUGAGCACAAAUAUUUACAGGAGUUAAAUUGGAAUUAUCAACAAAUACCCCCAAUCAAUACCUUAAUUGGUCCAAGUAAACCAUUCAAAGCCCCAAGGAGAAACCUUGUAGUUAUGGCCAUCCAGAAAUUCACACUAAGCCCAAAGAGAGUGUUAAAAAUAACCCUGUGAGCAUUUUAAGACAAAUAAGAAACCCAGAAAUUGCCAAAGUAUCAUCAAUUUCAAGCUUAAUCAUUUGAAAAUAGAGGUCACUAACACUGUGAUGCAUCCUAUUAUUAUUACAGGCUUUCGACCGCAGCGGUCAGCUCCCAUUCCCCACAAAACAGAUGUUAAAGCUCUGCCAAGCAUGUAUGAAGACCCUUCAAUUUCAUCAAGGUAUUAAGAUGUUUGUUACGAUAACUUCUCGAGGAAUUUGAAAUGUUACAUGCAUAUAUGUUAAUUAUUUCGAGGUGCGAUCAUCUCUACUUUUUAAAGCAUAGACUUGGCGCCCUUUACAGUAUAAAGGCGCAAGUCUGCAGUGUAAAACCCUUGUACAGUGCCUUUACAGUGUUGUAAAGCCCUCGGUAGAACGUUUUUACAGAGUUGUAAAGGCGCGAGUCUGCACUUUGUAAGGUGUGGACAUUUGUACCAAAAAAGGACUCCAUACUAUGUGCCAUUUAUUAAACACAAUAAAAUACAUAAAAUAACUCACCCACGUAACCAGCAUAGAAUCCAAUAUCUUCCUCCCUUUUUGCAAUGUGAAAAUCCCUAAUCUGAAAAGAAAUCAUAACAUACUGUUGUGAAAAAGCAAUGAAUUGUUUGAUAGAUAAAACUUGUCUUUUCUUAUAUUUCUAAGAAAAUCAGCAAGCAUGAUAGAAAAAUAUAAAUUUUCUCACUAGUAACUACUCUGGUGAAGGCAACAACAGUCCACUCACCAUAAAAUAAAGAAAGGGAAAGAGAGAUGCGACCGGCAGAACUGAAAAAAAAAAAAAAAAUCACAAAAGAAUUAAGGACAAAACUAGAAGAGCACAAUAGGCCAAAAUCAUUGUAAAUGGUUCUCUCAAAAAUCAUUAUAUCGAGUUGAAGUUGAAAAAUUUACCAGUUGCAAGCACAACAAUCUAAAUUAUAAAAAGCUUGCGAAUUGGUAAGCCUCGUUCCGACUCUUUAAGCUUAUCAACCUUACAGCCUGAGCAGUUCUCAUAAUAUUUCUUCUUCAGCAGCGGCUCUCUCACUUUCGCCUCCGCCAUACUUGAAAAAUUUUCAGCUCAAGUAAUCGUCUUAGUCUAUGCAAUCCAAUUUCAAUGCCUAAAUAUAAGUACUAGAAAAUAAGUAACAAAAUCAAUAUGCUUAAGGAUAUAGUAGAACUAUAUAAGUGAUCAUUUAAAGAAUUUUCAAUAGAAUUGUAAAAUCAGUUGAUUUUGCAGCUGGGUCUGUCACCACCAUGGUAAUUAAAAUUAUUGGAUCCCAUGUAAAACAAAAUUUUUUCAUUACAUGCCCUCAUUGCUGACGUCCAAUUAAUCAUUACUCUUAUGAGAAUAAUUUUUGGUGACAAGAACGGCGGCAUCCUAGGACGUGACAAAAUAGUCACAAAAAUCCCUUAUUUUAAAAAAUGAUCAUGAAAAUUUAUCCACGGACACACAAAUUCAGGAUCUAUGUAACUAUUUUUAAUUACAAAAAGAGGUCUAUAUAUAUAUUUGAAAAUAAGGGAUAUUCAUGAUUACCAUGUUAAGCCACGAGAUAUCAUGCUGUUUUUUUUAUUUUUCAUUAAAUCGUUGUUACACAAUUCGACAUGUAAAAGUAAUUUAUUUUUUUUGAGAGAUGGUAACAAACAUAGUGACAAAACUAUCAUAGUACAGUCUAAUGAUGAAACUAAUUGUUAAUUAAUUAAUAAAAAUACUAAGUGACUGUAGCGGUUCCGGUCACAGUCACAGUCAAAUACAAUUAGGAUAAUUUAAUUUAAAUAAUGUGUAAUUUAGCGUUAGCCCCAAUUGUUUCGACAUUUUGCAUUGUGCCCCCCAAUCUUCCGACCAUGUCCACCACCCUCAUUUCUUUCAAAUCUAAUGUUAACGGAAAGAAGGGUAGAAUGGUAAUUAACACAAGAUUAAAAUAAUAUAUAUAAUUAAAAAAAACCCUUUUUCCUUCGCCGCCUCUAUAAUUUAAUUUUGGGUUUGAUAUCUUUAGUUUUAAGAUUUUUGAUUAUUGGGUUUCUUUUUAUCGAAUUUUCUUAGUAUGAAUUUAUUUUGUAAUAGAAUUUUACAAUGAAAUUUGCUCUCAGGGAUUUUGGUAUCAUUAGUUUAGGGUUUCUUUCUAUUGGGUUUUAUGUGGGAUUAUUGGACUUAUUUUGUAAUGUACUGAUGAAUGUGUGUUUGAUUUUUUUCUUUCACAUUGGAAUCAUGCUUUGCCUUUGAUUUUGUAAUUUACUAGGUUUAUAAUCUUGGGUUCGUAAUCCGGAAAAAAAUCGUUUCCAUAUAAUUUUAAAAAUAUUAUAAUAAAUUUUUACUUUUUGAUUUAAAUUUUAUUAGUUGUAAGGGUAUUUUAAUACUUAUAUACCCAAUUCAUUUCAAAAUAGGGGUAGUAUAGUCUUUUAAAUUUAUAACAGCCUAAAUAGUUAGAUUAGUUGAUUUUUUAAUAGAAAUAGGGGGAGGUGCACAUGGUCAAAAGAUGUGGGUGCGCUGUGUGAAAUACUGAACAAUUGGGGGCUGAUGCUUAAUUAUCCUUAAAUAAAUUAUUAGUUUAAUGGAAGGAGCAAAAUUCAGGAAAAGAGGAAUCAAACUGCGAAAGGAAUUAGGAAACCUGAAAAGAAAGAAUGAAAAUAACUUUUUUUUUUAAAUUAUUUAUUUGGACAUUGUGACAAACAAGUGAUGUGCAUUGUUAAUUCUGAUUACCCCAAAAUGUCAAGUCUUGAAAAACGACAACAUUACAUGAUUCAUGAGAAGCCUAUCACUUUGAGAUUAAUUUAAUUAAAAAAAAGUUCCGUUUGCUUAAUACUAAAAUGUCACGCGCAAGUUGUCCUGGACUAGAGAGUCGUUCACCCGUACUUACACUGUCACUGCAUUUGCUUGAAAAAUGAUUUUACUAGCAAUAGGUUCUCGUGUUUCGAUAGCUUUCUAAGUGGUUUAUUUACAGGUAUUCAAAAUAUAAAUUAUUGCUAUGAUUUUAGAAAAUAUUGUAUUUUUUUUUUGUAAUUUAUAUUAAAAUUUUGCGACAAUUGUUUGGCUGGAAUUUUUUUUAAUAAGAAAAAUAGUGAUCUCACACUGAUCCAUAGUUGAGCCAAUUACCUAGUUAAAAGCUACCUCCAUAUUUUUUAUUUUUUACCCUAAUGCAUGUCUGAUUCUUUUAAAAUUUUACGUUAUAUAUAUUAAACAAAAAUUAUAAUUUUAAUCAUUGAAAAAUUCAUGACAGACAUCAUUUGAAUAAUUUUUUUUUUUUUUGAAAAAUACAGAGCUAGAGAUAAUGCUAUAAUUGAUUGAAUAAGAAGGCUACAACUUGAUGAUAACUUUAUUGCAAUGUUGCGUGAUCUCAAUAUAUUAUUGGCUUUUGUGUGAGUAAAAGUUGCUGGCUCGUGUUUUACUAAUUUGCCUUUGUAUUUGACUGGCUCGACAAAGAAUCGAUUUACCUCAUACCCAAAUUACAAACAUCGAAACCGGAUCUGUCAUUACGUUAAUUGGCCUCCUAAAAUAAUCAAUCACUUUCUCUUUAGUCUACCAUCCACUCUUUCCAGUCGCUUACUUUCAUUCUAAUCAUCUAAACGGCUCUUUGCUACUGUUUCUUCUAUUCGUCAUUGUUCUUGUUCUGUUAUUAUUUAGCUUUGCUCACUCCUCAGUCUCAUUUCUUAUUCUGUACCCAUCAGCUCUUUUACUUUCCUUUGGCUUUCUUCGCUUCUAUGUUUUUCUCAGGAUUCGAGAUGCUGGAAAUCAUUGUGACUAUCGUCUUGGAACUUGUAAAAUGCUUGGCUCCUCCAACUGAACGCCAACUUGUGCAUUUGCGAAAGCGGAACUACAAUGCCAACUUUGAGAAUAUCAAGGCGGAAAUGGAGAAGUUGAAGGUUGAACGUACGAGCAUUCAGCACAGAGUUUCAGAGGCGGAAGAAAAAGGGGAAGAGAUUGAAGAGAAGGUUGAAAAGUGGCUGGUUAGUGCGAAGUGCGAACGGCAUCAUUGACCGGGCAGCCAAAUUCAUUGAAGAUGAGGAGUCAACGAAUAAGCGCUGUGUCAAGGGCUUGAGUCCUAUUUGGAAGAGUCGCUAUCAGCUUAGCAAGAAAGCAGAGACGGAGGUGAAGGGCAUUAUUGAACUAGGAGAAGAAGUUAGGAAGUUUGAUACUGUUUCCCACCGUACCAUUCGGGAGGAGAUAUGGCUUAAGUCUAGCAAUGGUUACGAGGCCUUCGAAUCAAGACUUUCUACUUUGCAGUCUAUAAAAAAUGCAUUGACGGAGGCGAAUGUCAGCAUUAUUGGGGUGCACGGCAUAGGCGGCAUUGGAAAGACCACACUGGUGAAGGAGUUUGCUAGGCAAGCCAGGGAAAAGAAGCUGUUUUAUCGGGUGGUUUUAUCAGAGGUUUCAUAAACUCCAGAGACAAAAAAGAUUCAAGGGGAAAUUGCAGAGAAGUUAGGUCUGGAGUUGUCCGAUGAAGCUGAAUAUAGAAGAGCUAGCAAGCUGUAUGACCGAUUGAAGAGUGAGAAUAAGAUUCUUGUGAUUCUACAUAAUAUCUGGAAACAUCUUGAAUUGGAGACGGUUGGAAUUCCUUUUGGAAAUAAUCAUAAAGGAUGUAGACUGUUGCUGACAGCACGAGAUAAUACUGUGCUUUUAGGUAUGGGCUCCAAAGAUAACUUUUUGAUUGGCAAUCUAACUGAACAAGAAGCCUGGAGAUUGUUUAAGAUAAUGAAUGGUGAUGAUGUUGAAAAUUGUAAGUUCAAGUCUACAGCAAUUAAUGUAGUUAAGGCAUGUGGAGGUUUGCCCAUUGCGUUGAGGGCACUGAGAAACAAGAGUCUCCAUGAAUGGAAGAAUGCCUUGCGAGAGCUCCGAACGCCUUCAAUGGUAAACUUCGAAGGUGUGUCUGCAGAGACUUAUUCAAGUAUUGAGCUGAGUUUCAAUUAUUUAAAAGGUGAGCAAGUCAAGAAAAUUUUUCUGCUUUGUCGUCUAGUAGGUAACAGUGUUUGGUUUUCAGACUUAUUUAGAUACUCCAUGGGUUUGGGCAUAUUUCAAGGAGUCAACAUUCCCUUCAUAUUUACCAAAGGUAAGUGAUAAAUCCUACAUAUCCCGCUCAAGAAUGCAUAUGUUUUUUCAAUCUCAAGUACCUAAAGUUUUCUUCUAAGUUUAUAAAAAUUUCAGCACCAUCUCCCUAUAAUUCUCCAAGCUCACGACAAAGCUAUAUAAGUGAUGCGUUAUGCCAAAACAACACAUGACACCCAUUCACCUAGUACGUACCCAGAGAACACGAGGAGAAGCUACCGUAAAAGCCAUUUUUACGUGGGAAGAAAACUUCAGCUACUAGCUACCAGAGAGAACUAUGCAUUCCCAAACUGUCCAAGCCUGGACAAUUCAAGAAUUAUUAAUAGACAUAUGAUCCUCACUAUCAUCCAAAGAUGACACUAAUACAACAUGUGUCUAUUAAUAAUUUCUUAAACAAGUCUAAGCUUUCAAUGCACGUAUCAAAAGUUUAAAAUUGAAUCUGAAAUUUGAAUAACACAUAAAUAUCAUAAAUCUCUUCAAUUUAUUCCUGAUACAAUGUAGCAUUAUUUCACAUAUCAUUUCUUAAGCAAAACCAUAAAAAAUACAAACAAUAAAUACAUUUUCCCACUGAUGCAGAUUAUGUUUACUGAGCAAUAAGUUUUAUGUCAUUCAUGUUGAAAUACUUCUGCCUAUUCUUUCAACAUAUAACUAGUACAUACACAAAAAAAAAACCUGGUGGUGAAUCUUGCAAAAUCUUCCUUUUUUCUUUUUUUUUUCUUUUUCUUCUUUUUUUGGGGUGGGGUGUUGGGGGAACUAUGAAUCUUGCAAAUCCUCAAGAAGCCAUGUUAAGACAAGGCCAGCUUACUAUUGGGGUAUGAAAGAUAAAACCUUUUAUUUCCUUUUCAAAAUAAAAAGGACAUUGACAGUGUUAAAAAAAAUCUAGAGGAUUUCAGGCCUCCAGAUCCUUACAAAUCAAGGAUAUUAAAAAAAAUUACUUAGAGGAGAAAGGUUAUGCUCAUUUGUAUCUUGUUAGAAGAAAUUGAUCCAAAGCCUCAGUUUUAAUUUGCUUCAUAUAGCCAAUGACUAGGUGUUUAAAAACCAAUGAAUAUUUUUAUAAGAAAUCAACAAUAUUGUUGAAAGAAAAACCAAAUAAAAAUAAUAAAGCCAAUGAAUAGAUCAAGGCUCUUUGUGGUCUAAAACUAAUCAAACUAAGUUGUGGGCAAAGGCAAAUAUGUUUGUUUGGUCAAUAAUAAGCUCAACAAGUCACUAAUAACCACCUAAUCACUAUUCCUUAUGCUAUGCAAUAUAAUGGCCUGGGUAAUGGCGCCAAGGCAGACAAUAAGUAGCUAGCCAGUUAUGAUAGUUGAUUAACUUAACCUACUGGAAAUCUGAAGACCAAAACGAAGAAGCUUUGUCUAGAACUAGAAUAGGAACAUUCGUACCCAAAACUAAUAUACACAAUUAAGAAACUUGAUUAUAUGUAUAUUUCUGUUGGCCACACUUAAAGAGAAUUUCCAAAAGAUGCUAAGGUACACCAAAUCCCACUAUUUCAUACUCAUAAACACAAAAAACCAUGGUAAAAAUUAAUGACUAUAUCAAAUAAAAUCGGUGAUAGGACAUUGAGAUUAGGACAACUUGAUUUGUAUACCGUAAAAUAACUAUAUCUGCAUGGUGAACUAUAUUUCUGUUAGAAGUCUGAAGUUUUCUAUUAAAUUUUUUUCUCUGUUGGGUAAACCACUUAACUGAAGUGCUUAAGCCAAUUUUGACAAUCAUAGACAUAAAAGUAUUAAUAGGCUCAUUCAAGUGAAAUGAGCAUUAUUUCACACAUCCUUUAGGUUUUUAAGUCAUUUAGAAGUCAUUCAUGUUAAAAAAAAAAUUCAUAUACUUUCAAUAUAAUUAGAACAUACACAAUUAAUUAAUUAAAUAAAUCUGUUUCAGCUAGUAUAGGAACUUAAUUAAUCAAAGCUAGUAGUUAUAGCUAGGACUUGAACGAGGCACCUUUCAAAGUUCAAGAAGAGCAUCUGAACAUAAUGAAAGCACUUUGUAGAUAUGGUAAUGAUGCUUUACAUCUACAUGCUCUUACACAGCAUGAACUUUCAUUUACUCCAAGCUCUUAUUCUACAAGUCAAUUCAGUUUGUAGAUGCACGCCAUUGUAAAAACUUUUGUAUUAUAAUUUCUGAAAAUAGAAUGUAACAUUAUUAAUAUAGAAUCAGCAAUGUAUAUAACUUAUCAGACAAUAUAACAAGCACUUGGUGAGCAUACAAGAUAAACUAAAACAAGUCAUCCAGAAAAUGAAACUAAAACCCAAGCUCCGCUAUUCAUUGUAGAUGCUUUAAACAUAAAAUUAAACUAAAUCUAAUAGCAAAACAUUAGAAUGGAUGUUGGAAUUAAAGCUAAAUUCAAUAGUAAUUCAAAUGAAUCCAUUUGAACUUUGUAAAUUCCGCAGAACAAAAUUAAUUUGAGUGAGCAAACUCACCAAUGGAACAAGAACACAGGGGCUUCAACUUGUAGGAAUAAAAAAAUAUUGCUGGCGGGACAAAAAUUGACAAUAAUGGCUACAAUACGAAUUUAAAAAAAAUUCAAAAUCUAUAAUUACAAGCUAAGUAAGAGAAGAAACUCAUAAUCACAAGCUUACCUCAAAAGAUGAAGGGAGAAUACGAUGAAGAAGAAGAUGCCCGGUGUUUUACGCCGUUCGCCGGCAACCAGUUAGGUUUACGAUGGUGGCUAGUCCAGCGAAUAGUUUUCUAACUGGAAAUAAAUUUAAAUUUCUAAAAUAGUGCUAUGCCGAACGGCUCUUUACCGUCACGUGGUUAGUAACAUAUGUGACAGCAGUGUGGCCGUCACAUAAAGGGUAACAAAAGCAACUCGAGGUUACAAAGUUAGAAGUUAGUGGCAUGCGUAAUGGCUGCUUUUGCAAAUUUGCAUUCACAUUAGGGGUCACAUAUACCCUAUUUUCUUGUAGUACAUGGUAAAUUCUAUUUCAAAAUUGCUAAGUAUUUUAGAUUUGUAUGAAUUCAUUUUUGUGUGCUCGUUGGAUAAUAAUAUAUUAUUUAAUAAAUUAAAUUUUUGUUGUAAUUUUCACAAUAUUGUAUUAUAAAUAUGUCUCGUUGAAAGGUUUUGAAAUCGUUUUUAUUGAUCAUAAGGCGAAAGCUACUGUGCAACUGUGAUACGGUAUCACCGUUGCACCCAGCCGUUGGAUCCCACUUGAUCUAUUCAUCCGCGUGGAUCCAACGGCUGGAUGCAACAGUGAUACCGUAUCACCGUUGCACCGUAGCCGGACCCUGAUCAUAAUUGAUAUUUCCACAGUUGCAAAAGAUACCAGAGAAAAUUUGAUUAUCUUAAGAAAUGAGGGAAUGAGAUCUGAAAUCAACCAUACCAUAAAAUCAAAUUUUAUCAUGUCAUCCUUCUCGGUUCAAAUUUAUGGAAACAAUAAUCAAAUGCAUCCAUGAACUAGUAUAUUCCGAGAUAUGUACCAUCAAAUUUUUGCUAUAUCAUACUUAUAUAUGUAUAUUGAAAUUUUAAUAACAACAAUUGGGCCAAGCAUAUGUUGGUACUUGAAGAUUUAUAAGCUCCAUCCUUGAAAAAAUAAAGCUUGACUGUUUUCAAUCUGAUUCUUUUUGUUUUAAGUUCUUAAUUAAGCUUUCUUACUUGUUUUCAAGAGCCAGUUUUGUAAUGAUCCACAAACAUGAUUUGCAUAUACAGUAUUGCAGUUGGCAUUUAUGUAUCACUUAUUAAUUAGAUUUAAAUUUUAUAAAUUAAUUAAGCUGAUUAAUAUUUUAUAUGUGCACUAAAUGAUAGAUACAACAUAAAUUGGGACACUAUAACUACGUAUCCUUACUAUGUAAUAUUUGUUUGUCUCAAACCCAAUCAUGGCUUGAUAUUCUGAAUACUAUUUAGGAUAACAUUUCAAGCCCCAUGAGGGCUCUUUCCGUUUAAAAAAAAAAGUAUGAAAUAGAUGUAGAUUUUUCUUUAGAUAUUAUUAGUGAAAGUACCUUUGAUGGCAAUGGUUCAAGAUGAUUUGAGAUUUGACAAUUCCGCUCUCAUCUUAAUUAUCAAAUGGAAUGUAAGUAGAGAUAAACUCGUCCUGUUUAUAUAUUUGUGAUCAAAAUUAGGACCAAUAUCAAACCGCUCACAAUCAUGUCCCAUCCUAACUAUCUUGAAUGUCUUGAUUGCCUCCCUUAAUUAUCUUUUUAAUUCUCAUUAACAUAUUAGCAAAAUUUCCAUAUAUUAAAAAAUUAGGGUCCGACUAUCUAUACUUUAAAAAUCAUUAUGAACACUCAAUUAUUUAUGCACUCAGCAAAUAAAUUUAAAAAAUUAAGUUUUACUUUCUACACUUUUUAAAAUAACAAAAACAUCUUUACAUGAACCUAAUAAGUUUAUUUAAAAAAAUUAAAUCAACUAUUUUUAUUUAUUCAAAAUACUAAUAAAAAUAUUUAGCAAACCGUGAAAGAAAUUUUUUAAGAAAUUUAACACGAUUUUAGUUAUUACUUGUUGUUUAUUAAAGAAUGUGUUCACUAUUGUUUUUAAUUUUGUUAGUAAAAAAAAUAGAAGAAGAAGUUUGGGUUUAAGAUACAUUUAAUUUUAGUGUAACAGUUGUACUAUAUAGCUUUAUUUACCCAAGUGGGCAAUACAUUUAAUUUUUAGUGUAACAGUUUUAUUCAUACAACGCUUUUAAAACUAAAAGUACUUUUAAAAAUAAAUUUUACUAAAUAUUCAGCUUAUUCUCUUGACGAUUGAUCAAUUUCUACAAUAUAACUAAUUGUAAUUAUUUUAAAAGCUACAGGAUUACCAAAUUGACCCUAAAUCAAACCAAUAAAAAUGUUUAAAAAUAAUAAUUAUAAACCAAAGUAAACGUACAAAAAUUCAUGCAUAAUUUGAUAAUCAACAAAAACAUCCACAAGUUUACCUCCAAGUUUUCUACUCAAUUGACAUAACCCUUAAAUUUCAAAAGGCAUAAUCAAUUUUGUGUCUAAUCCUAUAAAAUUAGAAAAUUAAAGAAUAUUAUAUACUGAUAAUUAAAUAAUAUGCACUUAACAAUGUUAAAAAAAUAAUGUUAAACACAUUGUCAACUAAAAUAAUUGGGAGAAUUGGAGUUCCAAGAUAAAUUCUUAUCUAGUCCCAAAUCAAUAAUUGGGAUUAACAAGCUGCUAUUGAAAUUAAUGUUAACAACUAAAAUAGAUGCAAAAGGAGAAACAGGCAUCAUGUGCAGUACCCACUGUGAACUGCUCACAAGUUGUUGGCAGCUGGUCAAAAAUUCAAUGUUGAUUUUGAUCCCACUAAAUUAAGUCAUCAAAAAUUGCUGGGAAGGGAGUAAUAUCUAUUUAUAACUGGAAAUUACUCACCGUACAACGAUGAUUGGAGCUGCAUAUAUCAUUUAUUAUUAACAACUAACUUAUGAAAUGCUUUGAAUGUAUCUCCUAGGUCGUAUUAUUCACUAUACUAGUUAGGAGAAAUUGCAAUGUUAAAUUAUUUGAUAAAUACUUAUUAUAAUUUGAAAAUAUGUUAAUUUUGUCCUCCAUUUAUGAUAAAAAAAAUUAUAAUAUAUAAAAAUCAUUCAUUCUAUAAUCUUGAACUUUAUUAAAGUUUGAAAAACUAUUACUCUAUAUGAUAUAAUUGUGUGAUGUUAUUACACUAUUAUACCAUAUAAAAUAUAUUUGCUUUCUUAAAUUUUAAUAAAGUCUAGGUCUUGGACAGAAGCACUUUAUAUAUGUAUAUAUAAUGAUUCUCUAGUAACAACAUUCUCAUUUUAACAAAAUAAUGAUAUCACUAACAAACUAAAUAACACGUAUUUCAAUACACCAAUAGAUAAAAAAAAAUAUAAUUUUUAAUGUGUUAAAAUAUGUCUUUUGUAUAUUAUUGAUAUUUUCACUUUAACAAAGUGAGGGUGUCCACACUACAGAAGUACUUUAUAAAUAUUCUUUGUAUUUUUGUGAAAAUUAUUAUUUAAAUGUCAUAUCUUACCAAAGACUAUUAGUUUUUAUUUUAUUACUACACUAUACUUUUCAAGAUAGAACACCUUAAUACCAUGACCUUAAUUUUUGAACUCUCUUGUGCAAAGUUGUUGGCUGGUCUAUUUAGCUUAGUCUUUCAAUUAUUUGUCGUUUGAACUCAAAUGAUCCGAAUAAAGCUAUGUAUCAAUAAUUUCCUAGUGAAACUUCGGGAAAAAAUAAAAAUCCUCUCAUACAGUAGCAUUAUUUUAAUUCUCAGCUUGAUUAUGUUUUGAGUUAACUUAUAGAUUAUUUGAAAUGAAAAUAAUAUAAUUUAUUUUUUCCAACUGAAAUUUUUAAAUAAUUUUAUUAGUUUGAUGAGUAAGUAUACACUUACAAAGUUAUGAUAUAAAAUUAUAUCCCAGAAUCUGAAUAAUAUGACACCAAUUAACUACUGCUAUUUGUUUCUUAGUAUUAAAAUUUUCAUACCAUUAUUAAUGAGAUAAUUAACUUCAACACCAAUAAACAAAUUUUAUAUUAAUACAUCCUCUAGCUUUAUUAUCAAAUAAUCAUAUGUCAUAAUCAAACCAAGCUACCAGAGCCUACCACUAAAAGAUUGAUUGAAGGGUUUUCCAAGUUUGAAAAUGUUAGUAGCAUUGGCAAAUGGCAACUUCCAGGAAUCUUCCUGCUACAAUCAAUCAUUUAGUGAAAUGCCCAAAUGACACAAAGGACCCCGCCAAACAUGAAGUCACAUCAUUUAUUUAUUUGUAAAUGAAAAAUAAGGUUCCGAUCGGAAGAAAUCAGCACCUUAUAAUGCAUGAUUACUCGUAUGUCAAGUUUGGCGAUUAUAAGUCAUCAUCACAAUAACUUUGGACUUUGAUAUUUAAGUCUCCAUUUGGGACCAAUGUAUGUGUUGUGAAUUUGGCUUUGAUAAGAUUAACCAAAUUCUCCCCAAGACACUUAGUUCUGUAUCGAUGGUUUUAAGAAUGAUUAACACAGACUAUUCAGCAACAAAUACACACACGAAUCAAAGUUUUAAAGAUCACAAACAAGACACCAAGCAUAAGUGGUUCAGCACCAAGAAGUGGUGCUUACAUCCACUGGAAACAAAGCAACAGUCUUUCACUAUUUCGUUCACAAAACAAUACAAGAAUAGGAAUUGAUUUACAGAGAACAAGAACUUGUAAACCCCUUUCUCUCUCUAUCUUCUCUCUACUCUUAGUGUUUCCCAAAUCAUGUGAAGACGAUGACAAAGCCUGCACCUUUUUAUCCUCUGUUUCUGGGUUGUUACGCCAACUACCAUUCCCGCCAAAUCUAUCCAAGAAGCUCUGCCUCACGUGCCUGUCGCACGCUGAUUUAAGUGUGAUUAAGAAACGGCACUCAGAGACGUCGUUUCUUGACCCAAGCAAGAGUUAGCUUCAACACAUGUGCAAACCACGUGUACUACUAAAGAUAGAACAGAUGACUGAGAUUAUGUCGGAUCUGGCUUCAGGAACUUCUACAAGUGACAAGUCAUCCGAGACUGAAUCCUCUAAACGACUUGUAGUACUUGAGUUUCGAGUUCACUGUUUAUCAGUAUGGCAGUUGGACAACACAUCACUCAAUUAUAGAGUGUGAAAUAUUGAUAUUGUUCUUAUUAUUUUAUGUAAUGUAUAAACUUUUCCUUUUAUUUGUGUUUGUUUAUUUUUUUUAUACUUAAUAAAUAUAAAUUUAUUUUUUAAAUAUUUAACAAAUAGUCACGACCAGACAAUAUUGCCAGAGAAUAACAAACAAUGACCCAAAUCCUUUUAUCUUACAGAAAUAAUUUCAAGUAGUCACGGCCAAACAAUAUUGCCAGAGAAUAACAAACGAUGACCCAAAUCCUUUUAUCUUACAUAAAUAAUUUCAAUUCACAACAACUAUGACAUUACAUUACCAAAUAAACACUAAAUAUUUUGAUGAUUGUAGUUUAUCUUUCAUUCAUAGCAUGAAGAGUUUGAAAUAUGAUCUCAAAACAAAGAGUACGACAUGUCGUGUUCGGUUUACAGAAGAAGUGUACCCCAUGUCAUCCGAAAACUAAAAGGCGCGUAUGACAACCAGACGCUGUCAUCUCUUAUUUGCUUACACUUUAAGGAAGAAUUCUGGGUUUUGAGUGACAAUUAAAAGCUAGAGUGAGAAUUAGAGAGAGAGUUAUAUAUUCUUAUUUAUUCCUAGUCACUUGCUAUAUUGUGUAGGUCUUUUGUGAUUCCAAUAAUAAAAACGCUCAAUAUUUUUUUUUAUAGAGCAAUAUUUGUUAAAGCAUGAAGAAAGACAGAAAUAUUGUAAAUCCAUCUCAACUUUUCUGUUUAUUGUGGUCGCUGCUAGAGCUAGCUGUUUUCUUAUUUAACAUUGUUCUCUUUUGCCAUCAGCUCUUAGCAUUUUCAUUCAAUCAAGCGACCCUUUUCUUGCUUCAAUUUUUUUUUAUCUCAAAAGCACUUUGAUUCUCUUCAGUUACACUGAUUUUCUCCUUGUUUUGCACAAAUAUCAUUUCUCUUUCCCAUUUAGCCUUGAUUUGCUUCUACUUGACUAUCAAUUGCCCAGUCGUUGAACCUGUUGUAUUUUUAUUUCGUUCACUUCAAAUAGACAAAAAAAAAAAAAAAAGAUGUUGGAUAAAAGCCUAAAAUCUAAUUUGGUUUUUAAUUUGAUUUAGCUAAGAUGUCCAAUUUAAUACUAAGAGCAAUGUUAAGGAUCCCAAUAAUUGAGUCUCAAUUGAUAUGAUAGUCAUUUAUUAGAUGAUCGAAAUAUUAAUUUUACUAGUUAUGAAAUUCAUUAUCCAAUAAAAAAAUGAUACAUAACAAUUGGAUCUCAAAUUAGAAUUCUACUAUCGAAAUUCCUAACAUUAUUCUAAUAUUAAAAAUUCAUCAAAAUAAUAUCUAUUAUCUAAAAAAAUAAAAUAAAAAUCUAAAACCAUAGAUUUACUCUUCAAUCUUCGUGAUUUGGCUGAUUUCUUUUAAAGCUUUGGUUUCUUUAUAUUUUUAUCGGUCAUUUUAACGGUACUGGCGUUUGAUUUUCUGACUAAGCUACUGUUUAGUUCCAAGUUUUGGCAAUUACCCGGACUGCUUUCUUUUGUGUAACAUCGACACAAUGAGGCUUUGCAUCUAAAAGUCGGCAGCCAUGCAACUUCUUGGAAUCUUCGUGCAAGUGUUGGAUAUCGACCGUUCGAUAAUGACGGCAGCAUUGGUCUGGAGUGUUAGAUAUUUUAUUGAUUAAGGAUCACAAAUAAUGGAUAUUGGAUGAGGAUCACAUGUUUUAUGACAAUCGUAAUGUUACUAAUAUAAGUCAAGCAAUUAUUUUUAAAUAAUGAUAUUAUAAUUAAAAAUAAAAAAAUAUUUAUAAUACUUAAACACUAAUUCAGAGUAUUAAUUUUUUUAUAUGAAUUAAUUAUUUGCUGACAAAUAAUUAAAAGGUCAUAGAACAAUAUUUUCAGCUCAAAUUUUUAUUCUAAUAUGACACAACUUGGUACUUUCAUUCCUAUGCUAAAAUAUAUCUAACCUACUAAUAGUCAAGAAAUAUAUCUAUUCAACACAUAUUUGUUAGAAAGAUUAUCUACUAAUUAAUCAUUGAGACGAGAUUACGAAUCUCAACAUAAAUUAGGAUAAAAAUUAAUAUAUUGAAAUUCAGAAUAUUUCAAGCUUGUAAAACUACUUUCAAGCGAAUCUGAUAAAAUUAUUUCAAUACUCGUGGGUGACUCCUUUUUAAACCGCAGAAGGAAAUGAUUUUCUCCUUGUUUGUACAAAUAUAAUUUCUUUUUUCAAUUUUGCCUUGUUUUGCUUCUACUUGAUUAUCAAUUGCACAGCCGUUGACCCUGUUCUAUUUCUAUUUCGUUCACUUCCCUAAAAAAAAAAAAAAGAUGGACAUUUUGAAAAGCAUUGUUCCAGGAGUUGUAAACUGCUUGUCCCCUCACGCACAACGCGAAUUUAGUUACUGGUAUAACUCCGGUGCCAACUUUGAGAAUCUCAAGGCAGAACUCCAUAGGCUCAAGGUUGAAAGAGAAAGCAUUCAGCGCAGAGUUUCUGAGGCUGAAAGAAAAGGUGAAAAGAUUGAAGAGAAUGUUGAGAAAUGGCUGGUUAAUGCGAACGAGAGCAUUGAGCAGGCAGCCAAAUUCAUUCAAGACGAAGAGAAAGCAAAUGAUGGCCGAUGUCUCAUGGGGCUGUUUCCUGAUUGGUUUGCUCGCUAUCAUCAUGGAAAGAAAGCAGAAACAGAGAAGGAGGCCCUUUUUAAACUCCGAGAAGAAGCUGGGAGAUUUGAUGAUAGAAUUUCCUACCGUACCGUUCCGGAGGAUAUAUGGCUCAAGUCUCACAAAGGCUACGAGGCCUUCGAAUCAAGACUUUCUACUUUGAAAGCCAUACAAAAUGCAUUGAUCGUUGUUGAUGUCAGCAUCAUUGGGGUCUACGGCAUGGGCGGCAUUGGAAAGACGACACUGGUGCAGGAGGUCGCCAGGCAAGCUAUGGCAGACAAGCUCUUUGAUACGGUGGUCUUUUCAGAGGUUUCGCAAACUCCAGACAUAAAAAAGAUUCAACAGGAAAUUGCCGAGAAGUUGGGCCUGGAGUUGCACGAGGAAGUUGAAUCUAGAAGAGCAAGUAGGCUAUGUGAGCGAUUGAAAAAUGAGAAAAAGAUCCUUGUGAUUCUGGAUAACAUCUGGAAACCUCUUGAUUUGGGGACUAUUGGAAUUCCUUUUGGAGUUGAGCACAGAGGAUGCAAAUUAUUAUUCACAACAAGAGAUCUUGAUGUGCUGUUAAGGACAGAAUCUGAAAAAAACUUCUCGAUUGGCAUUUUAAAUGAACAAGAAGCCUGGAGAUUGUUCAAGAUAAUGGCUGGUGAUUAUGUUGAAAACCGUGAGUUAAAACCUAUAGCAACAAGGGUAGCCAAGGCAUGUGGAGGUUUGCCUAUUGCCCUUAACCACAGUAGCAAAGGCACUGAGAAACAAAGAGCUGCCUGUGUGGAAGAAUGCGUUGCAAGAACUCCAAACGCCUUCAGAGGCAAGCUUCGACGGAGGAGUACCAGCAGAGGCAUACUCAACAAUUGAGCUGAGUUACAAGUACUUAAGAGGUGAGCAACUCAAGAAAACGUUUUUACUGUGUAGUCUUAUUACGCCAGCACCAAUUAUGGAUUUGUUCAAAUACAGCAUGGGCUUGGGUGUAUUUAAAAGUGUCCAUAAACUAAGAGACUCUUGUUUGUUGCUUGAGGAUGGUGGCAGUAAAUACAUUUCUAUGCACGAUGUUGUUCGCGAUGUUGCCAUUUCAAUUGCAUGUCGUGACAAAAUUGGAUUUGUGGUGAGAAAUGAGGAUGUGUGGAACUGGCCAGAUGCAGAUGCACUAAAAAAAUAUCUUGCAAUUUCUUUUAAAGAUAGUAUUGUUAAUGACAUUCCUGAAGGGUCCGAAUCUCUACAACUUCAACUUCUAGUCAUGUCUCCCAAGAACUCUUUUUCUGUGCCUAAUAUUCCUAAGAACUUCUUCAAAAGGACGAAAAAGCUUCGGGUUUUGGAUUUGACUAGAAUGCGGUUAUUGUCAUUGCCAUCUUCAAUUGGUCUUCUAGUAAAUCUUCAGACACUCUGUCUUAAUCAAAGCAUUUUGGGAGGCAUAGACAUAGCCAUUAUUGGAAAGUUGGAAAAUCUAGAAAUCCUCAGCUUUUUGCAAUCUGAUAUUGUAGAGUUGCCUAAAGCACUGGGUCAACUGACUAACCUAAGGCUGUUAGAUUUCACAGACUGUUUCCGUCUGAAAGUUAUUGCCCCAAAUGUCAUAUCAAGCUUAACCCGAUUAGAAGAAUUGUAUAUGGGUAAUUGCUCCAUUGAAUGGGAGGUUGAAAGAGCCAACAGCAAAAGAAGUAAUGCUAGCCUUGAUGAAUUGAUGCAUUUACCUCGGCUAACCACUCUAGAAAUUGACGUUAAAAAUGACAGUAUGUUACCAGAACGUUUUUUGGCCAGAAAGCUUGAAAGGUUCAAAAUACAUAUUGGAAAUGAGUCAUUCACGCAUCCCAUGAGAGUCAGACAAGCUUGGUUUAAAAGUCGGCGACACUUUUAUAUCGACAGUGAUUGCAAGAGUUUAAGAGCAUUGAAGCUCAAGCUUGCUUUUACGGACAUUUGCUCCAUGAAAUUGCAGGGCGUCAAUAGCGUUGAAUACUUAUUGUUGGACAAGCUGCGAGGUAUCAAGAACGUUCUUUUCAAUUUGGACACGGAGGGCUUUUCACAAUUGAAGGUUCUCUGGGUUCAAAAUAAUCCUGACUUCUUUUGCAUCGUCGAUUCAAGGGCGAUGGUCGCUUGUGAUGCCUUUCCUCUUUUGGAGUCACUUGGCCUUCACAAUUUGAUCAACAUGGAGAGGAUAUGUAUUGAUCGGCUCAAAGUAGAGUCCUUCAACGAACUCAAAAAUAUAGAAGUAUAUAAUUGUGAUAAGUUGAGUAAUAUCUUUUGGCUCUCUACUAAAAAAUGCCUUCCAAGACUUGAGAGAAUUGCAGUUGUUAAUUGCAGCAAGAUGAAAGAGAUUUUUGCAAUUGGGGAAGAAGUUGAUAAUGCAAUUGAGAAGAUAGAGUUUGCUCAAUUAAGAUCUUUGAGUCUGGGGAAUCUUCCAGAGGUUACAAGUUUUUGCCGGGAAGUAAAGACUCCUUCAGCAUCACCAAACAGACCAGCGUCGCAAGAGGAAUCGACGACUAUGUAUAGCUCCAGCGAAAUCACUUUGGAUAUUUCAACUCUGCUUUUCAACGAGAAGGUGCGUAGUGUUGCGGACCGCCCAAUUCGCUAGCCCAAUUGCCCACAAUUUCGGGCUAGAGAGCCAACACAAGGCCAAGAGUGCUAGCUUGGCCCAAUUCCGGAAGGUUCUAGGCAACUCUAGCACAUGUGAACAUGUAAAUAUUCUAGAAUACUUUAUACAAUUCCAGCACAUGUAAAUAGCUAGGAAAUUGUAUAAUACUCUAGAGUUUGACCAAGUUUGGCAAAGUUAGGCAAAGUUAGGCAAAGUUAGGCAAAGCCUCCCCUAUAACUAUGGGAUGGCAUUAGGCAUUUGUAUCCAACAAGCAUUGUAAUCUCUCUUUGUGCAAUACAAGUUUCUUUGGCUCAAUUGCUCUCUUCUCUUGUUCGAGAAUCUCUAGGCUUACUUAGCAACAUUCGGCAAAGUUGUCUAAGUGCCGCACGGGUUAGCUGCGCAAAACACUCAUCCCGUGACAAGUGGUAUCAGAGCUAAGGUUUGCACGCACGCAAAUUAGCUCACGAAGCAAUGGCCAACCCUUCGAACGUAGCACAAGAGGGUGUUGUUGGUGUGGAUGUUCCACCGGAACCAAGCCGUGGCCGAGAGGGAGAACGCGCCCAAGGCAAGACUCGCGGCAAGUCCAAGGCCCUAUCCGUGGAUGCGUUGGAGCCUCGUGUAGGCACUCUCGAAAUAGCAUUGUCCGCCGCUCAAGAUAGCCUCGUGGGAUUGGAGGAAAGAGUGGAUGGUCUCGAGGGAGAAUACGCCAAGUUCACGGUGGCCACAAAAGCUCUCAUCCAUGAGCAAGCGAACAUUCUCCGAGGUGAGUUUCGUUCUUUCCAUGAUGAGUUGCUCAAACUUCGUAGUUUUGUUCAGGACGAACUACGUGCUGUCCGUGCGGAAGUGGAUGAAGUCCGCUCGGAUUGGGCAUGGCACAAGCGCACACUCUCCACAAGUCCAGCUUCCGCAAACUCGAGUGAUGCGCGCCGCAUUGACGUGCCAAAGCCCGACACCUACGAUGGCACACGCAAUGCCACCAUCGUGGACAAUUUCCUCUUUGGGCUGGAUCAAUACUUCGAUGCCAUGGGUGUCCGAGAUGAGGCAUCGAAAGUGGGCACUGCACCCACCUAUCUUAGAGGCGCUGCACAACUAUGGUGGCGUCGCAAGCAUGGCGAGAUGGGCAAGGGCAUUUGCGCCAUCAACACUUGGGCCGACUUCAAGCAAGAACUCCGAAAGCAGUUCGCCCCAAGCAAUGCGGAGAAGGAAGCGCGAGUGCGCUUACGUCGCCUCAAGCAAUCGGGUAGCAUUCGGGACUACAUCAACGAGUUCACUACCCUCAUGUUGGAGAUAAGCGACAUGUCCAACAAGGAUUCACUCUUCUACUUCCAAGAUGGCCUCAAGGAUUGGGCCAAGACCGAGCUUGAUAGGCGUGGUAUUCAAACACUUGACGACGCCAUUGCCGUUGCGGAGUCGCUCACCGAAUACUCUACCCAAUCCAAGGACAAAAAGGCCAACCAAGGCAAAGGUGGGGGAGAGAGUCGCAAGGACAAGGGCAACAACCGCAAAGAUUGGGGGCAGAAAAAGCCGCCUAGCAACAAGAGUUGGCAAGGAAAAUUGGAGGGCAAGAAGGAGGCGCCAAAGCCGCGAAGCCCAUGCUUCAUAUGCAAUGGUCCUCAUUGGGUACGCGACUGUCCGGAGAAGAGGUUGCUUAAUGCUCUUGCUGCCCAACUCAAGAGCAACCCCACAAUGUCCACGGAGGAACCCCAACUCAGCAUGGGUUCUCUCCAACGCCUCGGCGCCCUCAAUCGCCAACAGCCCGCACUCGUCAAGAAAGGGCUCAUGUAUGUAAGCGCAAAGGUAAACGGUCAGUCCGUUCGCGCGCUGCUAGACACGGGAGCAACACACAAUUUCGUGUCCGUAGACGAGGCCAAGCGCUUAGGCCUCAAGGCCACCAAGGAAGGAGGCACAAUGAAGGCUGUGAACUCACCCGCCAAGCCAAUUGCGGGAAUCGCACAAGGCGUGCACAUCACACUUGGUACGUGGAGCGGAAAGCUUGACUUCUCCAUCGUGCCCAUGGACGACUUCAAGAUGGUCCUCGGCAUGGAAUUCUUCGACCAAGUCCAUGCCUUCCCACUGCCCGCUACAAACUCCCUAAGCAUCCUCGACGGGAGUAAAGCAUGCAUGGUACCCACGGAGCGAGGCAAGUCCGAGGAGAAGACACUCUCCGCCAUGCAAUUCAAAAGGGCUUUCAAGAAGGACCCAAGCUUCUUGGUCUCCAUUCGGGAACUAAAUGAGGAAGGAAAUAGCGGAACGUCGCCAAGCCAAGUCCCUCCACAAAUUCAAGCCGUCCUCGAAGAUUACAAGGAUGUGAUGCCUCCAGAACUUCCAAAGAAGCUCCCACCUCCGCGAGAGGUAGAUCAUGCGAUUGAGCUAGAACAAGGCGCGAAGCCACCAGCCUUGGCACCCUACCGCAUGGCGCCACCCGAAUUAGAGGAGUUGCGGAGACAACUCAAAGACUUGCUGGAUGCCGGCUACAUUCGCCCCUCAAAGGCCCCAUUCGGUGCACCGGUCCUCUUCCAAAAGAAAAAUGAUGGAUCGCUGCGGAUGUGCAUCAACUAUAGAGCGCUCAACAAGAUCACCAUCAAGAACAAGUAUCCGAUUCCAUUGAUUGCGGACUUGUUCGACCAGCUUGGCAAAGCGCGGUACUUCACCAAACUUGACUUGCGCUCCGGGUACUACCAAGUGCGCAUCGCCAAGGGAGACGAACCGAAGACAGCGUGCACAACAAGGUACGGGUCUUUCGAAUUCCUUGUGAUGCCUUUUGGCCUUACUAAUGCACCCGCCACAUUUUGCACACUCAUGAACAAGGUACUCCAACCAUUCCUCGACCGCUUCGUGGUCGUGUACUUGGACGACAUUGUGGUGUAUAGCACCACACUCGAGGAUCAUGCCCAACACUUGCAACAAGUCCUCCAAGUACUUCGAGACAAUGAGCUCUUCCUCAAACUAGAGAAGUGCUCGUUUGCCCAACAAGAGGUGGAGUUCCUUGGCCACAAGAUUGCGGGCGGGAAGAUCAUGAUGGAAAAUGACAAAGUAAAGGCCAUCCUCGAUUGGGAGCCUCCCUCGAAAGUACCCGAGCUUCGCUCAUUCCUUGGGCUGGUGAAUUACUACCGCCGCUUCAUUAAGGGCUAUUCAGCCAAGGCGGCACCCUUGACGGAUAUGCUCAAGAAAAACAGAACGUGGCAUUGGUCCGAAGAGUGCUAACGUGCAUUCGAGGAGUUGAAGGCAAUUUCGGAGGAACCAGUCCUCGCUCUUCCGGACCACACCAAGCCCUUCGAAGUUCAAACGGAUGCCUCGGAUUUCGCCAUAGGUGGAGUCCUUAUGCAAGAAGGCCACCCAAUAGCGUUCGAGAGUCGAAAGCUAAAUGACACGGAACGCCGCUACACGGUGCAAGAAAAGGAGAUGACAGCCAUCAUCCAUUGUCUAAGAGUGUGGCGACAUUACUUGCUUGGCUCACACUUCACGAUCAUGACGGACAACGUGGCGACAAGCUACUUUCAAACUCAAAAGAAGUUGAGUCCGAAGCAAGCACGGUGGCAAGAUUUCCUUGCGGAAUUCGACUAUCGGCUAGAGUACAAACCGGGGAAAGCCAAUGUUGUUGCGGACGCUCUAAGCCGCAAGGCGGAAUUGGCAACACUUAGCAUGAGCCAACCGAAGUCCGACCUUGUCUCACGCAUCAAGGAAGGCCUCCAACAAGAUCCGCUAGCAAAGGAUUUGCUGGAGAAGGUGCUCGAGGGAAAGACAAGGCGGUUUUGGCAAGAGGAAGGCAUCCUCCUCACCAAGGGAGAUCGGCUGUUCGUGCCAAGGUGGGGAAACUUGCGGAAGGAAGUAAUCAAGGAGUGCCACGACUCUAAGUGGGCUGGUCACCCAGGAAUCGAGCGCACCACCGCACUAGUUCAAGCCUCGUAUUUUUGGCCGCACAUGAGGGACGACAUUGAGGCAUAUGUGCGAACUUGUCUUGUGUGCCAACAAGACAAAGUGGAUCAUCAACUUCCAGCGGGAUUGUUGGAGCCGCUACCACUAGCAACAAGGCCAUGGGAAAGUGUCUCCAUGGACUUCAUCACAUCGCUGCCCAAGUCCGAAGGUUGCGGAAGUAUCAUGGUCAUUGUCGACCGAUACAGCAAGUACGCCACAUUCAUUGCUGCACCAGUCGAUUGCAAAGCGGACGAGGCAGCCCGCCUAUUUGUCAAGCACAUUGUGAAGCUUUGGGGAGUACCGAAGAGCAUUGUGAGCGACCGAGACCCUCGGUUCACUGGACGCUUUUGGACGGAACUCUUCAAAAUGUUGGGGACCGAUCUCAAGUUCUCGACAAGCUUCCACCCACAAACGGAUGGGCAGACCGAGCGCAUUAAUGGCCUCCUCGAGAUGUACCUGAGGCAUUAUGUGAGCGCUCACCAGCGGGAUUGGGCGAAGCUACUCGACAUCGCCCAAUUUUCUUAUAACUUGCAGCGAAGUGAGGCUACGGGCAAGAGUCCGUUCGAGAUCAUCAUGGGAUUCCAGCCCAUGACCCCCAAUGCCAUAGCCUCGACUUACGGAGGGAAAAGCCCCGCGGUACACAAGCUCGCCCGCGAACGGCAUGAGGAAGCGGACAUCACACGAGCCUACCUCGACAAAGCCGCGAGGAAGAUGAAGAAAUGGACGGAUACAAGGAGACGACAUGUUGAGUACAAGGAAGGUGAUCAAGUCAUGAUCAAGCUCCUACCCCAACAAUUCAAGACUUUGCGGAAAGUUCACAAGGGGUUAGUGAGGCGCUACGAGGGACCCUUCCGAGUUGUUCGACGUGUGGGCAACGUCUCGUAUCAACUCCAACUUCCGCCAAGACUCAAGAUCCAUCCGGUCUUCCAUGUGAGCCUUCUCAAGCCAUAUCACGAAGACAUGGGAGAACCAAGUCGCGGAGAAUCGAGGCGCGCGCCAACUGCCGUUGUCACCGCGUUCGACAAAGAUGUGGACUACAUCAUUGCGGACCGAACGGUUUCGAGGAGGGGCGUGCCAGCACAUAGCGAGUACUUGGUGAAGUGGAAAAACCUCCCCGAGAGCGAAGCCACUUAUCGCUGAGCACAUCCAGCACUUCAAGCACGAGACCGCGACGAGGACGCCACGAGCUUAGGUGGGGGAGGAUGUUGCGGACCGCCCAAUUCGCUAGCCCAAUUGCCCACAAUUUCGGGCUAGAGAGCCAACACAAGGCCAAGAGUGCUAGCUUGGCCCAAUUCCGGAAGGUUCUAGGCAACUCUAGCACAUGUGAACAUGUAAAUAUUCUAGAAUACUUUAUACAAUUCCAGCACAUGUAAAUAGCUAGGAAAUUGUAUAAUACUCUAGAGUUUGACCAAGUUUGGCAAAGUUAGGCAAAGCCUCCCCUAUAAAUAUGGGAUGGCAUUAGGCAUUUGUAUCCAACAAGCAUUGUAAUCUCUCUUUGUGCAAUACAAGUUUCUUUGGCUCAAUUGCUCUCUUCUCUUGUUCGAGAAUCUCUAGGCUUACUUAGCAACAUUCGGCAAAGUUGUCUAAGUGCCGCACGGGUUAGCUGCGCAAAACACUCAUCCCGUGACAGUAGGCUAACAUUUUCUUUAUUCUAUCAUGCGUUCUGUUUUGAUGUCAUACGUGGAAAAUAAUUAAAUCAUUUAAAGAAUUGAAAGAAAAUGAAAAAAAAAGGAUAAAAAGAAUCUCACGCGCUCACUAAUUGAGCUCUUAACAAGUAGUAUGAAUUAGAAUGCGUACUCAGCUGUCAGUUGGAAAUUGAUUCAGACUUGUAUUAAUUUGUAAUCAAAGAAGAAAAUUUCAACAAGUGCUUCCCAUAUGGAUAUUGGAUCUAACGAGAAAUUCUUAUUUUUUUAGGUUGCGUUGCCUAACUUGGAGGCUUUGGAGAUAUCUGCAAUUAAUGUCGACAAGAUUUGGCACUACAAUCAUCUUCCGGCGGCCGUGUUUCCUCACUUUCAAAGUUUAACACGAUUGAUUGUGUGGCGUUGUCACAAAUUAAAAUACAUAUUUUCAGCGUCUAUGAUCAGAAGCCUUAAGCAGCUCCAACACCUACGUAUACACUACUGUAAGAAUUUACAGGAGAUCAUUUCUGAAAACAGAACAGAUGAAGUGAUCCCUCAUUUUGUCUUUCCACAGCUCACCACUCUGAGACUCGAAGGUCUACCAAAACUUAGAUGUUUGUACCCUGGAAAGCAUACUUCGGAAUGGCCCGCACUAGAAAUUCUUGUAGUGUAUCGUUGUGACAAAUUAAAGAUAUUCGCUGCAGAUUUAUCGCAGAAUAAUGAGAAUGAUCAACUUGGCAUUCCUGCACAACGGCCCCCAUUGCCAUUGGAAAAGGUAUGAAGCCAAGUUCUAGAUUUUUUAUCAAUAGCUUAUUUUUAACUUCGAAAAAUAUGACAAAGCAUCGAUAAAUUAAUACUCAAUAAAUUGAAAACUUUUAUUAUACAAUAAUCUUUGCUAGUCUAGAUUAAGAGAUCAAUGUGGUAGAUUAAUAAUUAUAUGAACUUUUUUUGGUAUAGCAUUUGUAAAAGAAUCUUGAGUCUUUCCAUAUAGAAGAACUUACAAAAUAAAUUAGUAAUUUAUUAUUGUGCAAUAAAAUAAUUUCGAGUCAGUAUAAAUCAACCUUUUUUCCCUAAUUUCUUUUUUACCUCUAAAAUUAACAUAUAAAAAAUCAUUUAAUAAAUUUUAUCAAUAAUUCAAUUUUUUUUUUAAAAAUAUAAUAUAAAACAAAUACUAUAAAGUCACUGCGUGUCAUUGGAUUACUCAAAAUCAUUUGAGAGAUCAUCAAUUGACCUUAUCAGUUAUUAUGAUUGACGAUGAUCAGAUCUUACCCAACUUGAUGGAACUAUCACUAAGUGGAAAAGACGUGGAGAUGAUUUUGCAGGCCGAUUUCCCACAACACCUUUUUGGCAGUCUUAGAGAACUAGAGAUUGCUGCAGAUGACUCAGCUUGUUUUCCAAUCUGGAACGUACUGGAGAGAUUUCACAAUCUCGAAAUACUCACACUGUGUGAUUUUUCAUCCCACGAAGAGCUAUUUUCGAUGGAAGGAUGCUUAGAGAAACAUGUGGGGAAGUUGGCAAUGAUAAAAGAAUUAGAGCUGUACCGGCACUAUCAUCUGAAGCAGCUGUGCAAACAAGACUCCAAACUUGGCCCCAUUUUUCAGUAUCUUGAAAUUCUAAGAGUAUAUCAUUGUCAAAGUCUGUUAAUUCUAUUGCCAUCAUCAUCGGUAUCUUUUGGGAACCUAACAAAACUUGUAGCUUUCGGUUGCAAGGGAUUGAUACACUUGGUAACAUCCUGCACAGCAAAAACUCUAGUGCAACUCGUCACGGUGCGUAUACAAGGAUGCAGAGCAAUGACAGAGGUGGUAAUAAAUGACAAAGAAGGAGUUGAAAAAGAAGAGAUUGUUUUCAGCAAAUUGAAGGCGUUGAUUCUGUGUGAUUUAGAAAGUCUCACAAGUUUCUGCUCUGCCAAUUACACCUUCAGAUUCCCAUCUUUGGAAUAUCUGGAAGUGAUUGGUUGUCCCAAGAUGAAGAUUUUCACUACAGGAGAAUCAAUCACGCCUCCGAGAGUAGACGUCCAGUAUGGAGAGACAUCGAAUCAACGGCGUUGGGCUAAUAAUGAUCUAAACACAACCAUACAACAAUUACAUGCUGAGAAGGUACGGAUAUACAUAUUACUCUCUAUCUCCCAUGAUAAAUUUUUACAAAAUUUGCUUUUUCUUUUUAAAUAAAAUAUAGAUAAAAUGUUUGUUAUAAAGUAAAAGUUUAAAUUGAUGAAUAAGAAUUUUAUUUUCAGCUGUUGGCGGGGUCGUCGAUAUACUCUACGCAGUACGACUAAUUUCAUAGGCUUCUUAUGACUUGGAGUUGCGAAUUUUAUUUAAUUUAUUUAAUCCCAUGGCUUGUUUCGCAAUUUCAUCUUAAUUAUUUAGAAUAGGUCCCUCGGUUUACUGUUAAACUAGGAAAUAGAACCGCGCUUCGCGCGGCUUUAAAAAUAUCAAAUUAAAAAUAAAAAAUUUGAUGAAAUUCAAAUUUCUUAAGAUAACCUUCUGAUCUCUUCUCAAAAGGAAGAUUAAACAAGUUAAUUUUGUAUGUUUAUUUCAAUAAUAAUAACGAUCGCACAUAAUAAUAAUAAUAAUAAAAAUAAUAAUAAUAAUAAUAAUUGGCACCUGACGACGUUGAGGCUCAUGAGCAUUCCACAAAAUAUAAGUUUCAAUUGCAUCGAGCCCUCCAUCCUUUGCCUUCUGUAUAAGAUCUGGCCACAUCUGCACAAAUAUAACGCAUAUAGAAAUAAAUCAUAUCAAAUUUUACAUAUUUUAAGAAUAAUAAUGCUGUUGGAUCCAAAAAUAUUGCCCAUAAUUUUUCCUAAACAUGAAAGCGCACCGUUUUGAAUGUGGGAUCAUGUUUGGCUUGUUAGGAAAAAAAAUUAAGAUAAUAUUUUUGCAACAAAGUAGCUUUUUUUUUUUUGGUUAAAAGAAGAAGAAAAUGUGAAAGUGCAAGUGAUUUGAGAAAUUGUAAAUUAAUUAUUUGCAUACAGUACUUGUGGACUACUGCGAAAAUAUAAUGAAUUGCACCAGAGAAGAUAACUCGUCGUUCUCCAUUAAUUAUAAUGGUAGUUGCAUCAUAAUCGACUUGUGUUGCUGAUGAUGACAAGCAACUUAAAUUUAGAAUAAGAAGAAUUAUGCCUUAGUGGCAUUGUUGAGGGAAGAUGAAAGAACCUCUCUUCCUAUGUUAAUUAAUUAAUGUAUUUUAAGCCGCUAAAGUUUAAUUGCUAGUAUAAUAAAAUUUGAAGAAGCCAAAAGACACUAAAUAAAAGGUUGCAUAAUUAAAUAUGAGAUUAUGGCAUUAAAAUUAGGCCCUUAUGACAUUGUUGAAGGAAGAUGAAAGAGCCUCUCUUCAUAUGUUAAUUAAUUGAUGUAUUUUAAGCUACUAAAGUUUAAUUGCUAGCAUAAUAAAAUAAAUGAAUGUUUCAAAAGAUUUAUUAUUAAUUAUUAUUCAUGAUUAUAUAUUGUUGGAUUUCAAUAGAAAGAGGAAGAGACAUGAAAAUUAAACUUAGGCCCUAGCUGCAUUAUUGAGGGAAGAUGAAAGAACCCCUCUUCCUAUGUUAAUUAAUUGAUGUAUUUUAAGCAACUAAAGUUUAAUUGCUAGCAUAAUAAAAUAAAUGAAUAUUUCAAAAGACUUAUAAUUAAUUGUUAUUAAUGGUUACAUAUUGUUGGAUUUAAAUAGAAAGAGGAAGAAAUAAUGAUGCCACAAAUCUUAAAUAUUUAAUGUUUAUAGAGUUUGAAGAAGCCAAAAGGCACUAAACAAAAUAUUGAAUAAUUAAAUAUGGGAUCAUGACAUUAAAAUUGGGCUCUAAUGGCAUUGUUGACAUUAAAAUUGGACUUAUAAUUAAUUAUUAUUAAUGAUUACAUAUUGUUGAAUUUAAAUAGAAAGAGAAAAAAAGUACAAAGAAUAUUCACCAAUAUUUUAGAUAUUUUAGAUAAUAGAAAAUAUAAAAAGAUGAGGAAUGAUAUAUAUUAAUAAAGUUACUAUUUAUUAAAUGAGUUAAAUACAAUCAAAUUAAUUAUGAGAAGAUGAAAAGCUAAAUCUAAAAAAAAUUCUCUAUUUAUUAGAUAAUAGAGAAUAUACAAAGAAGCAAAAUGGUGAUGCCACAUCACCUCCUCAAGUCCUAGCUUUAUAUAGAUAUAUAGAUAUAUAGAUAGAUAGAUAUAGAUUUGCAAUGCAAUUUUAAUGAUCCCUUCAGACUUUUAUGGACAGAUUUUGCAUAAUUGAAUGUCUUUUUAGUCUAGUUUAAUUUGAGUCUUUUUCUUCUUCUUUUUUUUUUUUUUUUGGGAGCUCCCCUCGUCUUCUAAAAUUUUAUAACUCCUUGCAUACGUUUUUAUGAUAAAAUUUCAUUAAAAGCCUUCGUAUUUUAUAAUUCGUUGAAAACAUGCAUACUUUUUCCAUUCUUUCUUUGCCAAUUAUUUAUUCUCAUCAUUGCUGUUCUUUUAUUUUAGUUUGUGUUCUGUUUGUUCAUUGGGUUUGCUUUUCUUCACGCCUAUAUUUCCUUGGAAAGUUAGAAGGCAAGGAAAGUACUUAGAAAAUGUUCUUGUUCUUCCCUAUGAACACAUAAUUAAAGAACAGCUGAAUAUCAUUCAUCGGACUAAAAAAAUUUAAAAAAAAAAACGUAAUCAGUGCAUUGUUCCUAUAACAAAUGCUUAAACCAUCAAAUGUUAGCUAUGAACAAGUAUAUUGUGGAAAUAUUGUUUGAAAAUAUUUCAUAAAAAAUCAAGUUUUCACAAACCAAAAAGGGACUAAUUUGGUCUAGCAUAUUCAUAAUAUUUUCUCCACUGUUCCUGUUAAAAUUUCUCUACUCUAUGAUUGCAGAAUGUUUGGAUACUGAUGACGAUUUAAGUCACUCUUCUUCUGUGCGCAAUUUGAAAUAAGGUCGUUUUUCUUUUUUCCUCUAUUCAAAGUUUACAUUCUGAGGGGUUCCCGUUUCCAUCUUCGUGAUCUUCUUGUGAUUCACUGCAUCGUGUCGCUACAUCUGUGAUAGUGUGAGUUGCAACCUGUCUGUUUUCUUUGUUUGAUCAUUGUAUGUAUUAAAAAAGUUUACAUUUCAUUCUAGAUAAGCUCUUUGUAUGUAUUAAAAAAAUUUUAUUCUCAAUAUAUAUGACUCAAUGAGAGGUCUUUUAUUAUAUAUAUGUCAUGAAUUUCUAUUGUAUUUUGAGAUUUGAUGGUGUAUUAUUGUCUCAUUGCAAGGUCUUGUAAUCACUCUGAUUCUCAUUUGAGGAGGUUGGUCUCGUCUAUGUGUAUGUAUUUAUAUCCACAAGAAAUUUGAUAAAUGGUCUUGUCGUUUUCUCAUUAAAACAUCUAGUGCUUCAUGGGUUGGAGGGCUACUAGGCAUCAGGGCCAGAUCUUUAAACUCAAAGUUCUUCGUGUCAUUUACCCAUUUGAUUAUCAAAUAGUCAUAAAAGCAUAUAAAUUCAAGUUAGUGUAUCAUUUUUACACAAUAUACUAAAACUAACACAAGAACUUGGCCGACAUUUUCAGUUGAAUAACUCAGACCCCCGAACUUCCUCGGGCUGACAUCCCAAAGUGAAAAUGUCUAAAAAAAUAGUUGCAACAUUUACCCAUUUGAUUAUGAUUCAAAAAAAAACACAAACGGAGAAAUUAUUGGGAUUGUUAAGAUAGUUAAAAUGGUUAGUUAUUGUUUCAGUUUGUUAAGCAAGAUAGGUAGAGUUACUGACGUGUUAGCUGAGCUGGCAUAAGUUAUUCAACUCUCAGGUGCUUAGAAACCUUGUAUAAAUACAUUUGUAAUCAGCUAAAGAAUGGAUGAUUCAGAUUUAUUCAUCAAAUCCAGCUCUUAGAUGAUCUCUGUUCUUUCUUUCAUUUUCUCUCAUUUUCUUACUUAUCAAACAGAUUAGAAACUUUAACUUGGUAUCAGAGCCUGAAAGGUUUGGUAGUUGUUCUGUUUUAUCUUCAGUUUCAUUUUGUGAUCACAGAAACGUUAGGACUUGCUUGCAUGAACGCACAUUAAACCACGGAAAUUUUGUCAGACAUGCACGCAAAUGAAAUUUUAUCAGCAGUCUUGUAAUUUUCUAUUUUUGUUGUUGUCGUCAUUUUUUUACUACUAGUACUGUUUGAAAUUCUAGUAUUUUGGAUGUGAAAUUUAUUAUAUUAUGAUAGGUCCCAGUCAGAAUUAGCGGAAACAACAAGUAAAUAAUUUGUUCUUCUUAGGGUAAGAACUACCGCAAUUGCUAAUUGAAUUAGAUAAAAGUCUGAUAUCUUUUUAUUGAAUUAUUCGAGUCUAUUUAUAGAACAAAAUUAAUGAAAUAAAGUAGUUAAAAUCAAUUAAACCACUUAGCUAUAAUUUCGAAGUAAAUAAUAAUCUUAAAGGAAUCAUGAUUAAAUCUGAAUUCUUCAUCAAUACGGCUUGACUUAGUAAGCUUUCCGUUGAUUUUGUGAAGAGUCCUUGAAGGAACGUGAUGCCCACCUCAUGCAUGGCUUGCAUGUUACUUGCAUGUGCCCAUACAUUUUCGUUAUUGGCUUGCAUGGUUGCUUGCAUGUGCCCAUGCAUAUUCGUCAUAUUUGUUGUUGGGUUUUGCUUCUCACUUGGACUUGCGUAUACUCUUAUCAUAUUAGAUAUUCGACAUAUAUAUGAUGCUGAAUACAGGGUAUGUGUUGUCUAAAUUUAUUUUAUUUUGUUUGCUUCACAUCCAAUUUUCAAAAGCUUUGAAGAAUGCUAAGAGAAGGAGCAAAGGGCUAAAGAGUCAAAUGUAACAUUGCUAUUAAUUUGUUAAUUGCCAUCAUUUUUAAUUUUUGCCCUGCUUGUUCUGUUUACUCAUUUAUUUCACUUGGUUUUGCUCCACGUCUAUCUUUCCUAACUUAGGAAGGCAAGGAUUUUGAAAGUUCUGAAGAAGAUUCAGGUCACUCGUGUGAAUAAGAGCUGUGUUACUGUUUAAAAGUUUUCAUGCUCUGGAAUAAAAUUUGCUUUACUGUGUUACUGGUCAACUUCAUUAUUCUACUAAUGCUUUACUUCAUCUUCAUUGUAUCACUACAUUGACAGCGUUGACAGUGUAAGAGUCGUUUUCACGAUUUUUAAGAAAUUUUGAUCACAUUAAACUUUUGAUCUGAGUUCAUAACAAAAAUCAAAACGGCGCAUGACAUCAAGAUUAUGAUGAAUCAAAUUGAACUCCCAAUACGUUAGUUCAUAAAAAAUGCUUUUCUUCUUCCAAGUAAUCUUAUCAUUUCUUUCAUUUUAUUCAUUCUCCUCUUUUCUCCUCUUUUCAAGUCUUCAAUCUUAUACUCAGUAAGUACAUUACUGAACUGCUUUUUCACCUCAGCUCCAGACAACCGAGAAGGUGCUUGUCCGGUUGUCCCCACUCUCUAGUUUUAUCAGAUGGCACUAUAUUUUCGGAACCUAUGAUUUGUUGGUAAAAAUCGACGGUGACCCACGUGACAAUUUUCUACUAUGUAUCAACCAAUUAGAUCUAGUGUUUUGUUGGCAAACAAGAAAUGCUUAUUUACCUUUAAUACUCCACCCAAACAAGUUGGCAUAUGCUAGAAAGUCGGAGAUAGUCCAUAACAAUGCUGCGUGUGACUUGAACAUUUGAUUAUGUGAUGCAUUAUGCAUCAUUCCAACCAUACUAGCAUCACUACCCGAGUCAUGACUAACCUGUUUCUUAGUUAGAUUUCAAAGAUGAAGAUGGCUCACCCUCCAAUAUCCAGUUUUAAUACUUUAACCAAUAGCCAUUUAUAAUGAUAUGGUCUCUUGCCACUUUCCUUAUAAGGAAAUAUCGAUAUUACGACACUUCUUAGAAGGACAAUAAAUUCUUUUAUCACCAACAACAUUCUCAAAUGCAAAAUCUAUAAAUUUUUUGACCCAUCAGUAUAUGAAUUGGAUAUCUAUUUGGCAAACCAACCCAACUCUGGUCCAUGACUAUGUCCUUUUAAUGCACUAGAAAAAUUAGUUAAAUAAAUCACUUUAAUUCUUCAUUUCUACUACUAAACAAGAUAUUUUCAUGUGUGCGCAGUUUCGCAAUAUAAUAAAAAAAAUUAUUAUACAAUUUUAUGGUUAAUCUCAUUAGAACGUUUAUAUAUAUGGAAGCAAGCAAAGCCACAAGAAUCAGAGAAAAAGAUGUGAAAAUUAAAGUAUAUAUACAACAAUAAUUAAUCUAAAAAACAGUUUGCAAUACCUUCUGUAAAGAAAUAUCCUCACCCACUGCUGAGAACUUCACUUGGCUAUCAAUUACAGAUAUAUAAAGCCUGUUACCUAGAAACAAAAAAUUAGGUCAGCCAGCUAAAACAUAUUUAUAAACCAACAUUGGAGAUAGUACUCCAUUUAUAAACAAAAUUACAAGACUCAAAACCAAGUCGACUCAGCAAAAUCAUAACCGAUUACAUUCAUCCCACUCAGCUCCUCCACUCCCAUCAAUAUAUCCAACAUUCCCUUCAUAUUUACAAAAGGUAAGUGGUCCUAUAUAUCCCACUCAAGAAUGCAUAAGUUUCUUCAAUCUUAAGUAUCUAAAGUUUUCCUCUACGUUUAUAGAAACUUCGGAAGCAUCUCCCUAUAGUUCUUCAAGUACACGACAUAGAUAUAUGAAUGUUUAUGUGUUAUGCCAAAACAACACAUGACACCCAUUUGUCUAGUAUGCACCCAGAGAACAUGAGGAGCAGCUGCUGAAAAACCCAUUUUUACGUGGGAAAAAAAUUUCAGGCACUAGCUGCCAUAGAAAUCUAUGCAUUACCAAACUGUCCAAGCCUAGAUAUUUCAAGAAUUAUUAAUAGACAUAAGAUCCUCACUAUCAUCCAAAAGAUGACACUAAUAAAACAUGUGUCUAUUAAUAAUUUCUUAAAGGAGUUUAAGCUUUCAAUGCAUGUAUCAAAAGUUUAAAAUUGAAUCUGAAACUUGAAUAACACAUAAAAAUCAUAAAUCUCUUCAAUUUAUUCCUAAUAAAAUGUAGCAUUUUUUCACAUUUCAUUUCUUAAGCAAAACCAUAAAAAAUUACAAACAAUAAAUACAUUUUCUAGCACUGAUGCACAUUAUGUUUACUGAGCAAUAAGUUUUAAGUCAUUCAUAUUAAAAUACUUCUUCCUAUUCUAUCAACAAAUAACUAGUACGUACACACAAUUAAUAAAUUAAAUGUAACCUGGUUGUGAAUCUUGCAAAGUCUUCCUAUUUUUUUUUUUUUUUUUUGGUGGGGGGGGGGGGGGAGGGGGGAGGGGGUGGUUAUGCUCAUUUGUGUGUUGUUAACAGAAAUUGAUCCAAAGCCUCAGUUUUAAUUAGCUUCAUUAUAGCCAAUGAUUAGGUGUUUAAAAACCAAUGAAUAUUUUUUAUAAGAAAUCAACAAUAUUGUUGAAAGAAAAACCAAAUAAAAAUAAUAAAGCAAUGCAUAGAUUAAGGCUCUUUAUUAUCUAAUAACUAAUCAAACUAAGUUGUGGGUAAAGGAGAAUAUGUUUGUUUGGCCAAUAAUAAACUCAAGGAAUCACCAAUAAUCACCUAGUUACUAUUCCUUAUGCCAUGCAAUGUAAUGGCGUCGGUAAUGGCGACAAGGCAGGCAAUAACUAGCUAGCUAGUUAUGAUAGUUGCUUAACUUAACCUACUGGAAAUCUGAAGACCAAAAUGAAGAAACUUUGCCUAGAACUAGAAUAGGAAAACAUUCAUACCCAAAACCAAUAUACAUGAUUAAGAAACUUGAUUAUAUGUAUAUUUUUGUUUGCCACACCAAAUCCCACUAUUUCCAUACUCAUAAGCACAAAAAACCAUCGCAAAAAUGAAUGACCAUAUAAAAUAAAAUAGGUCGCAGGACAUUGAGAAUAGGACAAUAUGAUUUAUGUACUGUAAAAUAACUAUAUCUGCAGUCAACUAUAUUUCUGUUAGAACUCUAAAGUUUUCCAUUAAAUUUUUUUCCCUGUUAGGUAAACCACUUAACUGAAACACUUAAGCAAGAUUGACAAUCAUAGACAUAAAAGUAUUAAUAGGCUCAUUCAAGUGAAAUGAGCAUUAUUUCACAUAUCCUUUAGGCUUUUAAGUCAUUUAGAAGUCAUUCAUGUUAAACAAUUUCUUCAUAUACUUUCAAUAUAAUUAGUACAUACACAAUUAAUUAAUUAAAUAAAUCUGUUUCAGCUAGCACAGGAACUUAAGCAAUCAGAGCUAUUAGUUAUAGCUAGGACUUGAAUGAGGCACCUUUCAAAGUUCAAGAGGAGCAUCUGAACAGAAUGAAAGCAGUUUGUAGAAAUGGUAGUGAUGCUUUACAUCUACAUGCUCUUACACAAUAUGAACUUUCAUUUAUUCAAGAACAUAACACUAAUCCAAGCUCUUACUCUACAAGUCAAUUCAGUUUGUAGAUGCAAGCCAUUGUAAAAACUUUUGUGUUAUAAUUUCCGUAAAUGGAACAUGACAUUACUAAUAUAGAAUCAGCAAUGUUAUAUAACUUAUCAGACAAUAUAACAAGCACUUGGCGAGCAUAUAAGAUAAACUAAAACAAGUUAAUUAGAAAAUGAAACUAAAACCCAAGCUCCGCUAUUCAUUGUAGAAGCUUUAAACAUAAAAUUAAACUAAAUCUAAUGCCAAAACAUUAGAAUGGAUGUUGGAAUUAAAGCUAAAUUCAAUAGUAAUCCAAAUGAAUCCAUUUGAACUUUGUAAACUCCGCAGAACAAAAUUAAUUUGAGUGAGCAAACUCACCAAUGGCACAAGAACAGAAGGGCUUCAACUUCUAGGAACAAAAAACAUUGCCGGUGGGACAAAAAUUGACAUUAAUGGCUACAAUACGAAUUAAAGAGAUCAAAACCUAUAAUUACAAGCUAAGAAAGAGAGGAAACUCAUAAUCACAAGCUUACCUGAAACGAAGAGAGAGAAUAAGAUGAAGAAGAAGAUCGCUGCCGUUUUACGCCAUUCUCCGGCUACCAGUAAGGUUUAGGAUGCUGGCCAGGCACGAGAGAGAAUUUGGGACUUUGGUCUUCAAAAUAUUGACUCCAGCAAAUAGUUUUCUAUUUAGAAACAAAUUUAUAACUCUACCGUCACUCUCUACCGUCACGUGGUUAGUAACAUAAGUGAGAGCAGUCUAGCCGUCACAUAAACGGUCACAAAAGCAACUGGCUGUUACAAGUUUAGGAAUGGCAGAUAUUGCCGCGGGGACAUGACCCUCGAGAUUUUCCCAAUUCAGGUGGGUACAUAAUUUUUUACUUAAUUUUUUAUUUGAAAAGGAGACGGAGAUAGUUUUUUUACCUAAUUUCUUAUUCAGAGAAAGAAUGGGGGAUCGGCAGAAUCCCUAUUCUCUUCUAAUUUUUUGAUUUAAUUUUAUUUUUUAAAAUUAUUUGUAAAUAAAUAAUAAAAUAUAAAUAAUAAAAUAUUAAAUAUUAGUAUAAAUAAAAAAAUAAAAUAAUUAUAUUAUUAAAAUUUAGGCCUAAUUGACUACAUUAAUAUUUGGAUGAGAAAGUUAUGCUUAGGAUGAAAGAUUUUAAUAUUUUGAGUUGGUGUAAAAUAAAUGUCUAUAGAUAUCCUAUACUGGCAUGAAUUGCUAGAGAUAUUUUGGCAAUUCUAAUUACAAAUGUUGCUUCUGAAUUAGCUUUUAGCACCAGUGGUAGAGUACCGUAACACGCUUUAUUCAAGCACAUUGGAGGCUUUAAUAUGUUGUCAAAGUUGACUACAAGCUUACAAUGACAGUAUGAGUUUAUUUUACAUUGUAAUUAUAUUAUAUAAUUAUUAAUAUUUUCACUUAGAAUUUACAUUACUUAUAUUAUUUUUGUUGUUUUAAAUUUGAAAUCUGAGGCUAUCUCUCAAUUUGUCACAUUCCUCGAGGAAGAACAAGAAGAGUAGGAGACACAAGAGGUAAAUACUUUUAUUAGAAAUAUUGAUUAAGUAUCUAUAUUCAUUUCAUUUAUCUCAUUGUUGAUAUAAAAGUAAUUUCUUUUUUUUUAUUAUAUGAUUUUGAAGAUUGCCGAAGAUAAUUAUUAUGGUGAUUUAUACUUUGUAAUGUGACUUUUGUAAUAGAUUAAUGUUAAUGUAAGAUAUAUCGUCAAACUUUAUUUUUAUUUUUAUUUUUUAUUUUAAUAUGAUUAAAUUAAAAUUUAAAACUAAAAACGUAUCAGUUAUUCGAGAAUCGAGGACCUUUAAGGAUCCCCUAUUAUUAUUUGGGGAGGGGAGGGGGAUUCCCUAAAGCAAUUUUGUGAAUGGGAAGAGGCCAGGGAUAUAUACAGAAUAUCGAGAAUGGGUACGGGGAGGUCGGUCUCUUCCCCUCCCCUUCCCAUUGCCAUUCCUAACAAAGUUGGCAAUACAUGUACGGGCCGCUUUUGUAAAAUUGCUUUAAGGGUCGUUUGGGAUUGCUUUUGGGAAUAGCAUGCAAGAUAUAUAUAAAAAAUAAAAUCGUAGAAUAACUUUUACCUCUAAUUCGAUUUUUUCUUCUUUUUUGUAAAUUAUUAUGCAUUUAUAUUAAAGUCACUGUGUAUGAUUGGAUUAUUAAAAGUUAUUUGAGAGAAUAUGAAUUGACUUAAUAAGUUAUUACGUGAUUGAUGAUGAUCAGAGCUUACCCAACUGGCAUUAAGUGGAAAAGACUCGAGGAUGACUUUGCAGAGCGAUUUCCCACAACACCUUUUUGGCAGUCUUAAACUACUACAAACAGUGGAUGAUGACUCAACUUGUUUUCCACUUGAUUUACUUGAGAGAUUUCAUAAUCUGGAAACUCUCAUACGGCGUCGUUGUUCAUGCGAAGAGGUAUUUUCGAAUGGAGGAUACUUGAAGAAACAUGUGAGGAAGUUUACAAUGAUAAAACAUUUAGAUCUGCACAAAUUUAAUCAUCUGAAGCAAUUGUGGAAACAAGACUCCAAAUUGGACUCGUUUGUUCAAUGCCUUGAAAUUCUAAAUGUACAUUAUUGUCAAAAUCUGUUAAUUCUUUUGUCUUUGCUGCUAAUUCUUUAAUUCUUUUCGGUUCUUAAGUUUCUCUGUGAUUUGUUCUGGAUUGAUUCUUUUUGCAUCUUGGUUGUUUGAUUUGCGAUCUUGGCGAGUAUUUGGAGUUGAUCAUUAUCGAAUCUGUCACUCCAAACUCUACAGCGACUCUUAUCAAUGUUGGUAUAUGGAUGCAGAGCAAUGAGAGAGGUGGUGAUAAAUGACGAAGAUGGAGCAGCAAAUUUUGAAGAAGAGAUUGUUUUCACCAAAUUGAAGAUUUUGUAUCUGUAUGAUUUGGAUAGUCUCACAAGUUUCUGCUCUGCCAAUUACACCUUCAAAUUCCCAUCUUUGGAAGAUUUAUCUAUAAUUGGUUGUCCCAAGAUGAAGAUUUUCACUAAAGGAGAAUUAAACGCGCCUCUCAGAGUAAACUUCUACUAUGGAGAGAGAGACGAUCAACAGCCUUGGGCUAAUAAUGAUCUUAACACAAUCAUACAGCAUUUACAUGCUGAGAAGGUACGAAUAACUCACUAUCACCAGUGGAAAAAUUUUAUAAAAUUUCUCUUUUAAAUAAAAUGCACCAAAUAGAUCAGAUAUUUGUUAUAAAGUAAGUUUAUGAUCACGUACUGGCAGAUGGGAUACAUAUGUGCUUCAUUCUUGAAACUCUACCCUAUUUAAAAUUGAUAUUUUCACAAGAGUUAGAGAAUCCUAUUCAUUCAAUUAUCCAAAAUCAGAGAAUCUUAUUCAUUCAAUUACAAAAUUUCGUUAAUCGUUAGUUUUUAACUUCAUUACUGUAUGGAAGUCCUGUCAAAUUAAAUUGCUGUUGUUAAAUUUAUUAAAUCUCUUGCUUCCCUGCAAAUCUCUGCGUGCUUUACUUUUAAUUGAAACUAAUGAAUGAAAAUUUUACUUUCAGCUGUUGGAGGGGUCCUCAUCUUAUUCAAUGAUGUAUAUGUCCUAAUGGCAUUGGCCUUUUACUUUAAUUACAAGCGAGUUGUGAAUUUGAAAAACAAAGUCCCAGGUAAUUCAAUUUCAUUUCAUUUUAUUUUAUUUCUUGGCUUGUUUUAUCGCUUCAUCUAAAUUGUUUGGAAUACACCACUAGUUUAUUUUUACUUUUAGAAUGAGUUUUAAUGUUUUGUUCUGAGAUUUAUAUGCUGAUUUUAUAUCAUUAAAGGUCUUAGUGACUUAGUUUGGUCUUCACUUAUUUAUUUAUUUAUUUUUUUGACGUCGUGGCUUUAUAAUGUGUUUUUUUUUUUAAUUUUGAAUUUUAUAAUUCCUUGAAAAUGUCAUUGAAAGGGCCAGCACUUUUAUGUGGAAACCAUCUCAUCCUCCUUAUUUCAAACUAUUAAACAACCAAAUGUAUCCUAACAUAUAUGUUUAGAAUCAAUCUACUCAUUAAGAUAUAUGGUAAUGGUGUCAUCUGUUUGCUAUAGUUUGAUUACAAGAGAACUUUUCCAUUUGUUAGUUGCCAUCUUUGUUGAUCUGUUAAUUCAGUCUUCUUCUGUUUGUCCUGUUUAUCUGUUUAUUUCAACCUUUCUUUCAAAACUUAGAAGGUAUGGAAAGAGCAAGUACUUAGAAAUUGCGAGAAUUAUAUCAAAUCAUGCAUAUAUGCCCCUGCCUAUGAACUCUUAGGAACAAUCGAAUAUCUUUCCUUGAAUAGCAUAAAACAAAAUCUACAGAUCAUUAAACCAUCAAAAGUUAGCUAUGAACAACUAUAUAAAAAUCAUUUGUUUCUCACCUUUUCGUGAGUCUGAGAAGUUGUAAAUUCUACUGAGUUUCUCACCUUUUUUUUUUUUUGGACAAUUGGAGUUUUUAGUUUAUGAAACUUAAUGCCUAUAUUUCUCACAUUGUAAAAGUGUUUUGAAAAGAUGGUUUAUAUUGCACCAUAAAAAUGUGGUCUGAUAAACCAACAGGGGAGUAGUUUGAUCCAGUUACGUGAAAUGCAUGCAAAAUAAUAUUUUCUCUAUAGUUACUGAAGAGAAUUUUGGUCACUUUGGUGUGCAUUAUCUGGAAUAAAGUCGUUUUCCAGUUUCUUCAAAGUUUAUGUGCGGAGGACUUCCGGUUUCCAUCUCAAGUUCAAAUACUAAUAAAGAUGAGUAAAUUCAUCAUCCGUGUGUCUGCUCUUUCUAUGCAUUUUGACAUUUUUUAUUAAUGCGUCUUUAACAGUAGUUUUUUUUCACAGAAAAAAUUGUCAGUAUUUUGUGUCAAAUAAAAAAUUAAAAAAUAUAUAUGUAUUUUGGGCGAAACUUUUUGCGAAAAAUAAUGAGUGCCAACACUUUAUAACUUAAUAUGUAUUUUGGGCUUGGCGAAGUUACGGUUCAUGUAACUAAUCAAUUUAAUCAUUACCGGAUAAAAUUGAAUACACCAGUAGUGUUUUUCCACGGAGAUAUUGCCAAAUUUUGUGUCAAAUAAAGAAUAAAAACCAUAAAUACCAGUAGUGUCCGAUUUUGAAAGCAAAGCAGCAUACAUAUUAACUACUAGGCUUUGAUGGUGGUUGCAGUAAAAAGGAUUAAAAGAGAGAGAGAGAGAGAACUUGAAAACUAUGGAAUGGAAGAUAAAUCAAAGUUAUAAAUUUGGACUCAAUAGUUUUGAUGUUCAAUCAAAUAUGGAGGGGCGAUUAGAAAUUAUCAAAAAUUUAGAGGGAUUUCAACCGUUCAAUUCAUUAUUAGGCGUUGUAGACUGCAGGGAUGCAGAAAUUUCCACAGGGACGAUGGCCCCGAGGGAUCUUCCUCAUUCGGGAGUUUGAUAAUUUUAGAUCUAAUUUUUCUAUGUGGAGACAAGACUGUGAUCAAUUAAUAUGUGUGGGUGUAAGUUACAUGAAAUAUAACUUAGUGUUUGCCCUAAUAUUUUAUUUGGCUCCACAUUUUUCUAUUUCUAUCUUUAGUUCUAUUUUUAAUUAAUUUAUUUCAAAUUUAUAGUAAAUACAUUUAAAAUUUCAAUUAUAAUAGUGUGAUGUAAAUAAAAAAUAUCACAAUACAUUUAUAAAAAUAAUAUAAAUAACAGCCAAUAUAAAGUAAAUAUAAACAUUUUAAAAUUGACAAAGAUAAUUUAAUUGAUGGUUUAUACUAUAUGACAUUUAUGGAUGAGUUCAACUUUGAAGAUUUACUUUUGCUUAAUUAGUUCAAAGAUUAUCUUCUAAUUUGAUGACAUUGACUUAAUUUGAUGGAAAUGAUUUUAAUCACUUUAGUUAAUUUGAUAUUUUUUGUGUUAAUAUGAUUUUAUAUUUUUACUUUAAGAUGAUUAAAUUAAGAAAAAAAAGAAAUUAAAUAAUCAGAGAUCGGAUAGCAUCGGAGAUCCCUUUGUAUUAUUUAGAAACAUCCAUCCCCUUCUUUCAAGUGAUUUUGAAGGAAAUGUCUAGAGUACAAAGAGAUAGACAGAGUAUUAAAGAUGAGUAUGGGGAAAUCAAUCCCCUCUCCUUCCCUUCUUAUUGACAUCUUUACAUGUGAGCCCAAGGGGAAAUGCACCAUGCCUGAUAAAAGUAAAAUUAAAAAUAAAAAUUUUCUUUUAUCAAAUCACUCUAUGUGGUGGAGAUUAUUGUAUAAUCAAGUACACAUGGCAUUUUUAAAAGCUUUUUCUUUAUUUAAAGCUCUAAAGGUUUGCCUAAGAGUCAAGGUUGGUGCCGUUCUUCUAGAAGAACAACCCGUAUCUUUUGAUAUUCAAAGUUUGAAUAUCAAGUUCAAACUUUAAAUUUUGAAAUAAUAAUAAUAAUAAAUAUAAAAAGUGCCAAAUUUUUAGCUAUAAAUAGAGGGGUUCACCCCCUCAUUUCACUCAUUCCAUUCUUUUCUUCUUUAGUUCUAUAAUGAGAGAGUAAGAGUUUUAUACUCUUGAGUGACUAGUGUUUAGAGAGAUUGGGUGUAUUAAGGUUUUGAUAAGUGAAACAAAAUACUAAAAUACUUAUAAUUCUCAUUUCACUAGUAAAGUUUUAUCCUUUUGUCCUUGCCUAUGGGCAUAAGUUAAAAGCCGAACCAAAUAAUUUAUGGUGUCCUCUGUGUGCUUGUUCUUCAUUUUCUUCCAAUUUCAUUUUAGUCGUGGCCCUACUUCACCAAUCAAUUUUCUAAUAGUGGUAUUAGAGCCGGGUUGUAUUUUUUGGGGUCGAGAUACUAUUUACAUAUAUUGUAUUGUUCAUGUAUAUGAUAUUGUUUCUGUAUACGACACUUUAUUCAUAUAUACAGUUACUGCUCAUGUGAAAUGGUAGGAAUCGAUCUUAGCAAAGGUAGCUCGUGGUGAAAAGUGAUGGCGGAAAAAUACAAAAUUGAGAAGUUCAACAGAAAUAAUUUUUCGUCAUGAAAAAUGAAGAUGAAGGUUGUAUUGAGGAAAAGUAAUUGCUUGGCAGCAAUUGAAGAGAGGCUCACAAAGAUAACUAAUGAUGGCAAGUGGAAUGAGAUAGACAAUAAUGCCAUUGCAUAUCUACACUUACCACUUUCAGAUAGGGUAUUUUUCAAUAUGGUAGAGUAAAAGAGAGUAAAGGAAAUAUGGUUUACUCUCACAAGACUAUACGAGGUCAAAUCACUACAAAAUAAAAUCUUCUUAAAGAUGAGGCUUUAUACUCUUCAAAUGGAGGAAUCUACAUCAGUGAUCGACCAUAUCAACACUUUAAAGACUUUAUUUUCAUAACUUACAACGUUGGGUCAUAAAAUAGAGGAAAAUAAACAUAUAGAGCUUUUACUUCAAGGUUUACCAGAUUCGUAUGAUCAAUUCGUCAUUAAUAUAACUAAUAACAAUCGAGCAAACAAGUUAGUCUUUGACAAUAUGGCAGCCUCCGUAUUAAAUGAGGAGAGUAGCAAAAAAUAAAAAAGAUAGACAGAAGAGUUCGCAACAAGUAGAAGCGCUAUUGGUGAUGAAAGGAAGAUCCAUGGAACGUGGCCCUAGUGAGAGCCACAGUCACGGUAGAUCAAAAUCUAGAAGUAAAAAGAAUGUCAAAUGCAACAACUGUUGCAAGAAAGGGCAUGUCAAGGAAGAGUUUUGGAACAACUAGAAGAGAAGAGAUGGUAAAGAUUCUGAGUCAUCAAAUGCUCAAGGGUAUGUAGUAAGUACCUCGUAUGAUGGCAAAAUUCUCUACAGUAAGGCAACAACUGCUUCAGAAGAUAGAAAACCACUAUAUGACAUCUGGCUUAUAGACUUAAUAGUUGCCUGGCACAUGAUCUCUCCAAGAGAAUGAUUUCACAAAUAUGAACCUAUUUCAAGAGAAUUUGUAUACAUAGGUGAUGAUUAUGCCUUUGAGAUUACUGAUAUUGGUACUGUCAAAAUAAAUAUGUUUAAUGGUAUGGUUCGCACAAUUGAGAAGGUAAGACAUGUCAAAGACUUGAAAAAUAUCUCUUGUCUUUAGGACAAAUAGAUAGUCUUACGCGCAAAACUCAUGUAGAAAAUGGGAUCAUAAAGAUAGUCAAAGGCGCACUUGCAUUAAUGAAGGUGGAAAAGAUCGGUGAUAAUUUAUUCAUGCUUAAAGGGAAACACUACAGAAAGCUUUUGUGUCAGUCACAUCAAAUAGAGAAAAUUCAGUGAUGAUGUGGCAUCUUAAACUUGGCCACAUGUCAAAACAAGGAAGCAACAUAGAUGAAAGUUUAGCAGAUCCACUUUCAAAAGUAAAUGUAUUUUAGACUUGAUUCAUUCUAAUGUUUGGGAAUCAAUUGAUAUAUCUAUGGGAGGUGCAAAGUACUUGGUGACUUUUAUUAAUGAUUAUUCUAGGAGAUAUUUGGUGUAUCCAAUCAAGAAAAGGUCAAAUGUAUUUCCAUUGUUCAAAGAAUUCAAAGCGUAGAUUGAACUUAAAUCAGGGCAAGGGAUCAAGUGCCUGAGGACAGACAAUGGUGGAGAGUAUACAAAUAGCAUGUUUCUUGCAUAUGUAAGCAAGAAAGUAUCUAGAGAUAGUUCACGGUGGCAUACACUCCUCAAUAAAAUAGAGUAGUAGAGUGAAAGGGCAUGACUCUUAUAAAAAAAAAAAGAGUUAUGUUGAGAAAUGCUGGUCUACCAACUCAUUCUAGGUGGAAGUAGCAAAAACUACUUAUUAUGUGGUAAGUGGGUCAUCAUUCAAUGCAACCGGGUUGAAAAUUCCAAUGGAAAAAAUAGACAGGAAAGCCAGUUGAUUACUCUCAUCUCAGGCAUUUUGAUGUCCUUUUACGUGAUAUACAAUACCCAAGUGAGAUUAAAGAUGGAUCCAAAAUCCAAGAGAUGUAUCUUCUUAGGAUAUAUUGAUGGAGUGAAAGGGUAUUAUCUGUGGGACCUCAAUGCCCAUAAGAUCGUUAUCAGUAGAGAUAUUAUCUUUGUAGAAGAUCAAAUGCAAAAGAGAGAUAUGGAUGAUAGCACUAUAAAAAUUCAGAGAUUGUGCUAAUAUAUGUUGAAAAUAAUCUGGAAAAUGAAGAUUUAGAUUUUUUUGAAGCAGCACCAAAGUAUGAGAACAAGAACCAAUCGAGUCUGAGGCCCCAAAAGUUUGUUGGUCAACUCGUGAUAGAUAAUUGUCAGUGUGGCAUUUGGAUUAUGUCACAGAUAUCAAUUUUGCAUACUGUCUUUUAAUAGAGAAUGGAAAGCCAUCAACUUUUCAUGAAACCUUAAACAGCUCAGAUGUUACUUUGUGAAUGAUAGCAAUGCAGGAAGAAAUUAAGGCUCUACACAAGAAUAUGACAUAGGAACUCGUACUACUACUAUAUGAAAAAAAAAAGACCCAUUGGUUGGAAAUGGGUCCAUAAGAUCAAACGUGAUGGUAAUAACCUAGUGGAGCGGUAUCAUGAAAGAUUGGUGAUGGAAGAAUAUCCUUAGAAAGAAUGUAUUAACUUCAAUGAGAUAUUUUCUCCAGUGAUUUGACUCAGGACAGUCAGAGUGGUCUUGUCGAUGUGUGCUACAUUUGACCUAUAUUUGGAGCAGUUAGAUGUGAAAAUUUCAUUUCUUUAUGGAGAACUUGAAGAAAAGAUUUCUAUGCUCUAACUAGAAGGUUUUACUAAAAAGGGACACUUGGUUUGCAAGUUAAACAAAUCUCUAUACGAUCUCAAACAUGCACCGAGAUGUUGAUAUAAGAGAUUUGAUCCAUUCAUCAUAAACCUUGGAUACAAUAGAAUCAGUUCAGACUGUUGUACAUAUUACAACAAGUUUGAUAAUAAUAAUUUCAUCAUUCUACUGUGGUAUGUUGAUGACAUAUUAGUAGCAGGCCCCAACAAAGAUCGAGUCCAAGAACUAAAGCACAGUUAACUAGGGAGUUUGAAAUAAAAGACUUAGAACCAGCAAACAAGAUUUUAGGGAUGCAAAUUCACCGAGAUAGUAAUAGCAAAAAGAUUUGGCUUUCUACCCCGCCUCCCAUUAAUUUCAAGUUAUUCUUAAGUAUUCAUCUAGUAAUGAAGUAGAGAAGAAGAGAUGUCUUGAGUACUGUAUGCAUCAGCAGUGGAAAAUUUAAGGUUCGCUAUGAUUUGUACAAGUAGUGGGAGAGGUUAGUCGAUACAUAGCGAAUCCUUGCAAAGAACAUUGGAAGACUAUUAAGAGGAUUCUGAGAUAUAUCAUAGGAACAUCAGAUGUUGCAUUAUGUUACGAAGGAUACUGUCAAGGGCCAUGUGCAUUCAGAUUUUGCAGAAAAUCUUAAUAAAAAAAAAUCCACUACUGGCUAAGUAUUUGCACCAGAAUGAGAAAUUGUUAGUUGGAUUUCAAAAUUGCAGACCAUUGUGGCUUUAUCAACAACAGAAGCAGAUUACAUAGCAGCUACACAAGCUUGGAUGAGCUAUUUAGAUACAAAGGUUACUGAAGGAGCUUGGGCAUAAAAUUUUUUAUGGCUUGUGAUAGUUAGAAUGCAAGGAAUCCAACCUUUUAUUUUAGGACAAAGAAUAUAGGAGUACAAUAUCACUUCUUCGUGAAGUAGUGAAAGAUAUAAGAGUGGAUACCAAGGAGAACUUAACAAAUGUUUUGCCCAAGCCUAUCAAUGCUGAUAAAUUUGUUUGGAGUAGAUCAUUUUACGGCCUAGUAGAGACAUAAACAACAUGACAGCGGCGAAGUAGAAAGGAUGGUGUGGAGAUUGAUUGAUUCUCAAUCAAAUUUCUAAGUGGGAGAAUAUCAAAGUCAAUGUCGCUUUUCUAGAAGAGCGACCAAUACCUUUUGAUAUUCAAAGUUUGAAUGUCAAGUUCAAACUUUGAAUUUAAUAUAUAUAUAUAUAUAUAUAUAUAUAUAUAUAUAUAUAUAUAUAUAUAUAUAUAUAUAAAUAGUGCCCAAAAUUUUAACUAUAAAUGAGGGGUUCACCCCUGCAUUUCAUUCUUUUCUUCUUCAAUUCUAGUGUGAGAGACUAAGAGUUUUAAUGCUCUUGAGUGAUUAGUGUUUUAAGAGAUUGAGUGGAUUGGGGUUCUGGGAAGUGAAACAAAAUAUUAUAAUACUAGUAAUCCUCAUUUCACCACUAAAGUUUUAUCUUUUGUCUUUACCCAUAGACGUAGGUUAAAAGUCGAACCACGUAAUUUUUAGUGUCCUCUGUGUGCUUGCUCUUCAUUUUCUUCCAAUUUUAUUUUAGCUAUGGACCUACUUCACCAGUAAAUUGAAGACGUUGGAACUGCGUGAUUUAGAUAGCCUCACAAGUUUCUGCUCUACCAAUUACACCUUCAAAUUCCCAUCUUUGCAAGAGUUAUGUGUGAUUGGUUGUCCCAAGAUGAAGAUUUUCACUACAGGAGAAUCAAUCACGCCGAGUAAACGUCUGCUAUGGAGAGACAGCGGAUCAACGGCGCUGGGCUAAUAAUGAUCUAAACACAACCAUACAACAAUUACAUGCUGAGAAGGUACGUAUAUACAUAUUACUCUCUAUCUCCCAUGAUAAAUUUUUACAAAAUUUGCUUUCUUAAAUACAAUAUAGAUAAGAUAUUUGAUGAAUAAGAAUUUUAUUUUAAGCUGUUGGCGGUGUCGUCGUCAUACUCUACGCAGUAGUACGACUAAUGUCAUAGGCUUCUUAUGACCUGGAGUUGCGAAUUUUUAGAAGAAAGUCUCAACUGGUAAUUAAUUUUUAUUUCAUUUAUUUAAUCCCAUGGCUUGUUUCGCAAUUUCAUCUGAAUUAUUUAGAAUGGGUCCCUCGGUUUACUGUUAAAUUUGCAAUGCAAUUUUAAUGAUCCUUUCAGACUUUUAUGGACAGAUUUUGCAAAAUUGAAUGUCUUUUAGUCUAGUUUAAUUUGAGUUUUUCUUUUUUUUUUUAGAGCUCCCCAUGUUUUCUAAAAUUUUAUAAUUCCUUGCAUACUUUUUAGGAUAAAAUUUCAUUAAAAGCCUUCAUAUUUUAUAAUUCCUUGAAAACUUGCAUACUUUUUCCUUUUUUUUUCUUGCCAAUUAUUUAUUGUCAUCAUUGCUGUUCUUUUAUUUUAGUUUGUGCUCUGUUUGUUCAUUGGGUUUGCUUUUCGGAAAGUUAGAAGGCAAGGAAAGUACUUAGAAAAUGUUCUUCCCUAUGAACACAUAAUUAACAGCUGAAUAUCAUUCAUUGGAUUAAAAAAAAUUAAAAUAAAAAAAAGUAAUAAGCCCAUUAUUCCUAGAACAAAUCCUUAAACCAUCAAACGUUAGCUAUGAACAAGUAUAUUGGUCUAUAGCAUAUUCAUAAUAUUUUCUCUGCUGUUCCUGUUAAAAUUUCUCUACUCAAUGAUCGCAGAAUAUCUGGAUACUGAUGAAGAUUUAAGUCACUCUUCUUCUAUGAAUAAGGUCGUUUUUCUUUUUUCUUCUAUUCAAAGUUUCCAUUCUGAGCAGUUCCCAUUUCCAUCUUCGUGAUCUUCUUGUGAUAGUGUGAGUUACAACCUGUCUGUUUCCUUUGUUUGAUCAUUGCAAGUUCAAAGACAUUUUAUUCUAGCUAAGCUCUUUGUAUGUAUUAUAACAUUUUUAUUCUCAAUAUAUAUAUGACUCAAUGAGAGGUCUUUUAUUAUAUUUAUGUCGUGAAUUUCUAUUGUAUUGUGACAUUUGAUGGUGUAUCAUUGUCUCAUUGCAAGGUCUUGUAAUCACUCUGAUUCUCAUUUGAGGAGGUUGGUCUCGUCUAUGUGUAUGUAUUUAUAUCCACAAGAAAUUUGAUAAAUGGUCUUGUCAUUUUCUCAUCAAAACAUCUAGUGCUUCAUAUGUUGGAGGGCUACCAGGCAUCAGGGCCAGUUUUUUAAACUCAAAGUUCUUCCUGUCAUUUUUUAACAAUAAUAAGGAAAGCCCAAGAGAAAAUCUAGAAGUCCUAAUAAGGACCGCUUCUGCAUAUAUUGUUCAUUUUCUUAAUUACCUUCAUUAUUAUUUUCGUUUUCAAUCGAUCAAACUUCAGUUUCUUAGCAUUAAUCUAAUUAUGUACUUCAUCUUGAAAUCCUUAAAUUACCCAUCAAAAUGUGAACGAUUAGUGUAUCAUUUUUGCACUAUAAGAAAUAGUUGUAUUACCGACCAGACAUUUCCACAAUAUACUAUUGAAAAUAAGUACUUUUUACAAAGGUAUUGUCAUUGAUGAGCCGUUGGAUAAAUAUGAAAAGUAUCAUACCUCGGUGAUAAAGAAAAUUCGUUUGUCGGAAAUGGAAUGUCGAGCCCAAAAUUACUCUAAACUUGGUAAAGUUAGAUUUUGGCCCAAUUUGUUUGAAAGUUUUAUACAUAAAGCACUUUUUUUUUUAUGUAAUUUGUGCAAUCUGAAGGGAGGUAUUGUAAAAUUAACAUAAAUAAAUGUAAUAUGCCAAUACCGUUUAAAACAAAAAAGAUAUCAUGAAAUUGAAAAAAAAUAAAUAAUAAUAAUAAUAACAACAUUAAAAGAAAAAGGAAAUUACGGAGAAGAAUAAUCGCUUCUUGAUCUCAACUCUCAAUUUGAAUACAAUCUCUGAAUCUCACUUCUCGAUCUGUCUCCAUUCUUCAUUCGCAUUUACUCGGUGGUAAUUAAUUCUUCACUCUCACUCGCCUUAUUUCCUGCAGAUUUCUUCAUUUUCCUUCACUGUUCGUUUUUAAGGUUCCAUUGUAUUUCCAUUGAGUUUGCAACUGUUCAAUUGCUCGAUCCACAUUAGUUUUAAGGUACGAUUGUUGGUUAUUUUCCUAAUCAAUAGACAACCCUAGAUACGAUCAUAGGAUUUAAUCAAUUGACAGUCUGAAAAAUCAGAGAGACCCAAAUCCUAAUCAACAAACGCAUACGAUGAUUCAUUUAAAUUAGAUUGUUUAUUCUCAUAACACAAUGCACUGCUAUGCUAUUUGUCACAAACAUUAAAAUCUUCAUACGAUAAAUCUUUUAAUUGACAAUAGAUUAAGUUGAUAAUUAAAUAGUAGCCAAUUAUCUAAUUAACAAACAUAAUCAUGACAAUAAUUCAGAGAAUAAACAAAUACCCAAAAAGUAAUAAAAUAAUUAAAGUAUAAGAAAGAUCUCACAGCAGUGAUGAAUCAAAGUUUCAUUAACCUUCAACCAGAAUAAUAGAUUUAGUUUUUCAUAGACAGGAGAGAAAAAUUUAGAUCUAGGGUUUCUUUCUCUUCAAAAAUCUCCGUCUUUGACAAUAGAUUCCUCCCUUAAAUUCUCUUCUCUCUCUUCUCCUCUAGAGUUCUUUUUAAAAUAAAAUACUAAUUUCUAAAAUAUUAUCUAAAUAUUAAAUGCGUAAUUACAAAAAUAACUAAAAAUACAAAACACGUUAAACUAAAAACUGCAGGUCCGUAGUAGACAGCAUGCGCCCACACCUUAUCAACAAAGUUCUUCUGAAGCUCAUAAUUUCUUCAAGAAAACAAUCAUCCUCAAACAUCAUCUUGUAGCUCAAUUUUAGCACCAAUCAAUAAAAUUGCACCUACCAAAAUAAAACACAAGUAAAUCACUAUUAUUAAGUGCAAAACAUCGAUAUUAAAAGAAGUAAAUAAUGCAAAACUAGUGCAUAAAUUGUACUCUAACACUUCAUUCCGAUCCCUUGAUCAUUACUCAUUUAUUUAUUUAUUCUUUGCUUCACUUCUAAGCUUAGCAAAGGAACUUGAACUUUGGCUUUUCAAAUAGGUCACUUUUGCUUUUAAUCUCGCCCAUGAUCUUCAUCAUGAAGAUGACAAACCAUUAUUCUUUAUUCUUCACUUUUGCUUUUAAUCUCGCCCAUGAUCUUCAUCGUGAAGAUGACAAACCAUUAUUCUUUAUUCUUCACUUGUUGAAUUUACAGAAUAUAUAGCAUUCUUAAAAUUUUAGCAAAUCGUUAUUCUUCAGCUUCAGCACCUCAUUAAAAAGUCAUUCUUUGAACUUAUUCUCAAUCAAGAAAAACAUAUGCGUUCGUUCGUUGUAGUCACUGUUGUUUUGUUAUUAAUGUUUGCUCCCUAUUGCCGUUAACUCUCUUGAGCUUCACAGGAUCAGGAAACCCUUUUCUCUUGGCAUCUGUUUUGUUGUAAUCUCUCAGUCCUUGUUGAUUAGUUUCUCUCCGCUCCCAAUUUAGUUGUGUCCUGCUGUUGUCUCUGUUUUGUUCCAUAUCUACUCUCUGCACUUCUGCUGUGUCAAGACAUCUUCUUUUGUUCAUUCGGUUGUGGUCUAUAAUAUAUUUUUCAUCUUUCUUUUGGUCUAUACUUAAGUUAUUUUGAUUGGUUCCUUUCUCCUUUAUUAUCUAAAUCCCUCCUUAUAUUUAUUCAAUCAGUUGUUACGCUUUCUUUCAUUUCUCCGCUUCCACAACCAGAUAAACUGUCCAUCUUUGUUGUUUCUUCUUUUUUCUCUUCUGUGGUUGGCUCUUGUUUAUUUGCUUUUCAGAACUCAAAAAAAAAAAAAAAAUAGAAGGAUCAAAGAUGGUGGAAACCAUUAUUACUGUUGUUUUGGAAGUUGUGAAAUGCUUGGCUCCUCUAGCAGAACGCCAACUUGGUUAUUUACGUAACUAUAAAACCAACUUUGAGAAUCUCAGGGCAAAAUUUGAUGAACUCAAGGAUGAAAGUAGGAGCAUUCAGCACAGAGUUUCUGAGGCUGAAAGAAAAGGAGAAAAGAUUGAAGAGAAGGUUGAAAAGUGGCUGGUUAGUGCAAACGACAUCAUUGACAGCGCAGCCAAAUUCAUUGAAAAUGAGGAGUCAACGAAUAAGCGUUGUCUCAAGGGCUUGUGUCCUAAUUUGAAGACCCGCUAUCAGCUUAGCAAGAAAGCAGAGACAGAAAUGAAGGCCCUUGUUGAACUUGGAGAAGAAGUAAAGAAGUUUGAUAUUGUUUCCCACCGUACCAUUCCGGAGGAGAUUUGGCUCAAGUCUCACAUAGGCUACGAGGCCUUCGAAUCAAGACGUUCUACUUUGGAGGCUAUAAAAAAAGCAUUGAUCGAUGUUAGCAUCAUUGGGGUGUACGGCAUGGGCGGCAUUGGAAAGACGACACUGGUGAAGGAGGUCUCCAGGCAAGCUAUGGAAGCCAAGCUCUUUGAUAUGGUGGUCUUUUCAGAGGUUUCGCAAACUCCAGACAUAAAAAAGAUUCAACAGGAAAUUGCCGAGAAGUUGGGCCUGGAGUUGCGCGAGGAAGUUGAAUCUGGAAGAGCAAGUAGACUAUUUGAGCGAUUGAGAAAUGAGAAGAAGAUCCUUGUGGUUUUAGAUAACAUCUGGAAACACCUUAAUUUGGAGACUGUUGGAAUUCCUUUUGCAGAAGAUCAUAAAGGAUGCAAACUACUGCUGACAGCAAGAGAUCGUAGUGUCCUCUUACAAAUGGGAUCCAAAGACAACUUUUUGAUAAACAACUUAAAAGAAGAAGAAGCCGGGAGAUUGUUUAAGAUGAUGGCCGGUGAUGAUGUUGAAAAUCGUGAGUUGAAAUCUACAGCAAUAGACGUCGCCAGGGCAUGUGGAGGUUUGCCCAUUGCCUUGAGUACGGUAGCAAAGGCAUUGAGAGGCAAGAGUCUGCAUGAAUGGAAGAAUUCCUUGCGAGAACUCCGAACGCCUUCAAUGGUAAACUUCGAAGGAGUAUCUGCAGAGACUUAUGCAAGUAUUGAGCUGAGUUUCAACCAAUUAAAAGGUGAACGCAAGGAAAUUUUUCAGCUCUGCAGUCUAAUGGGUAACCGUAUUUUUACUUUCGACUUGUUUAAGUACUCCAUGGGUUUGGGUAUAUUUAAAGGAGUCAAUAAGAUGGAAGAUGCACGAGACAAAUUAUAUGCAUUGGUCCAUGAACUUAGAGACUCUUGUUUGUUGCUUGAGGGUGAGAGCAAUGAACAAUUGUCAAUGCAUGAUGUUGUUCGCGAUGUCGCGAUAUCAAUUGCAUGCCGCCAGCAACAUGUGUUUUCGGUGAGGAAUGAGGAUGUGUGGGACUGGCCAGAUAAGGAUGCACUUCGAAAUUGCAAAGCUAUCUCUUUAAUAAAAAAUAGUAAUCGUGAAUUUCCUGAAGGAUUAGAAUGCCCAAACCUUGAAUUUUUAUAUAUCUCUCUCAAAGAUUUUUCUCUUGAAAUCAAUAUUCCUGAGAACUUUUUUGUAGGGAUGAAAAAGCUUAGAGUUCUAGAUUUUACUCGAAUGCAGUUUUCUUCUUUUCCAUCUUCAAUUGAUCUUCUAGUAAAUCUUCACACACUAUGUCUGGAUAAAAGUGCGUUGGGCGACAUAGCAAUCAUUGGGAAGUUGAAGAAUCUAGAAGUCCUUAGCUUUUUGAAGUCUGAUAUAACGCAGUUGCCAGAAGAACUAGGUCAAUUGAAUAAGUUGAGAUUGUUAGAUUUAACCAAUUGUUUCCGUCUGAAAGUUAUUGCCCCAAAUGUCAUAUCAAGCUUAAUCCGAUUAGAAGAGCUGUAUAUGGGUAAUUGCUCCAUUGAAUGGGAGGUUGAAAGAGCCAACAGCAAAAGAAGUAAUGCUAGCCUUGAUGAAUUGAUGCAUUUACCUCGGCUAACCACUCUAGAAAUUGAUGUUAAAAAUGACAGUAUGUUACCAGAAGGUUUUUUGGCCAGAAAGCUCGAAAGGUUCAAAAUAUCUAUUGGAAAUGGGUUAUUCACACAUCCCAUGAUUGCUGAACAAAAUUGGUUCCAAAGUCUGCGGCGCUUUUCUCGCAAAAGUGAUCGCAAGAGUUUAAGAGCAUUGAAGCUCAAGCUUGCUUUUAUGGACAUUUGCUCCAUGAAAUUGCAGGGCAUCAAUAACGUAGAAUGCUUAUGGUUGGACAAGCUGCAAGGCAUCGAGAAUGUUCUUUUCAAUUUGGACACAGAGGGCUUUUCACAAUUGAAGCUUCUCUGGGUUCAAAAUAAUCCUGACAUCUUUUGUAUCGUCGAUUCAAGGGCGAUGGUCGCUUGUGAUGCCUUUCCUCUUUUGGAGUCACUUGGCCUUCACAAUUUGAUCAACAUGGAGAGGAUAUGUAUUGAUCGGCUCAAAGUAGAGUCCUUCAACGAACUCAAAAUCAUACAAGCAUAUAAUUGUGAUAAAUUGAGUAAUAUCUUUUGGCUCUCUACAACAAAAUGCCUUCCAAGACUUGAGAGAAUUGCAGUUAUUAAUUGCAGCAAGAUGAAAGAGAUUUUUGCAAUUGGGGAAGAAGUUGAUAAUGCAAUUGAGAAGAUAGAGUUUGCUCAAUUAAGAUCUUUGAGUCUGGGGAAUCUUCCAGAGUUUACAAGUUUUUGCCGUGAGGUGAAGACUCCUUCAGCAUCACCAAACAGACCAGCGUCGCAGGAGGAAUCGACGACUACGUAUAGCUCCAGCGAAAUCACUUUGGAUACUUCAACUCUGCUUUUCAACGAGAAGGUGCGUAGGCUAACAUUUUCUUUAUUCUAUCAUGCGUUCUGUUUUGAUGUCAUACGUGGAAAAUAAUUAAAUCAUUUAAAGAAUUGAAAGAAAAUGGAAAAAAGGAUAAAAAGAAUCUCACGCGCUCACUAAUUGAGCUCUUAACAAGUAGUAUGAAUUAGAAUGCAUACUCAGCUGUCAGUUGGAAAUUGAUUCAGACUUGCAUUAAUUUGUAAUCAAAGAAGAAAAUUUCAACAAGUGCUUCCCAUAUGGAUAUUGGAUCUAACGAGAAAUUCUUCUUUUUUUAGGUUGCGUUGCCUAACUUGGAGGCUUUGGAGAUAUCUGCAAUUAAUGUCGACAAGAUUUGGCACUACAAUCAAAUUCCAGCGGCCGUGCUUCCUCACUUUCAAAGUUUAACACGAUUGAUUGUGUGGGGUUGUCACAAAUUAAAAUACAUAUUUUCAGCGUCUAUGAUCGGAAGCCUUAAGCAGCUCCGACACCUAGAUAUACGCUUCUGUGAGGAUUUAGAGGAGAUCAUUUCUGAAAACAGAGCAGAUGAAGUUAUCCCUUAUUUUGUCUUUCCACAGCUCACCACUCUAAGACUCGAAUGUCUACCAAAACUUAGAUGUUUGUACCCUGGAAUGCAUACUUCGGAAUGGCCCGCACUAGAAAUUCUUUUAGUGGGUCGUUGUGACAAAUUAAAGAUAUUCGAUGCAGAUUUAUCGCAGAAUAAUGAGAAUGAUCAACUUGGUAUUCCUGCACAACAGCCCCUAUUGCCGUUGGAAAAGGUACGAAGCCAUUUUCUAGAUUUUUUAUCAAUAGCGUAUUUUUAACUUCGAAAAAAAUGACAAAGCAUCGAUAAAUUAACACUCAAUAAAUUGAAAACUUUUAUUAUACAAUAAUCUUUGCUAGUCUAGAUUAAGAGAUCAAUGUGGUAGAUUAAUAAUUAUAUGAACUUUUUAAGGUAUAGCAUUUAUAAAAGAAUCCUUAGUCUUUCCAUAUAGAAGAACUUACAAAAUAAAUUAGUAAUUUAUUAUUGUGCAAUAAAAUAAUUUCAAACCAGUAUAAAUCAACCUUUUUUCCCUAAUUUCUUUUUUACCUCUAAAAUUAACAUAUAAAAUAAAUUUUAUCAAUAAUUCAUUUUUUUUUUAAAAUAUAAUAUAAAACAAAUACUAUAAAGUCACUGCGUGUGACCGUAGAUCAUCAAUUGACCUCAUUAGUUAUUAUGAUUGAUGAUGAUCAGAUCGUACCCAACUUGAAGGAACUAUCACUAAGUGGAAAAGAUGUGAAGAUGAUUUUGCAGGCCGAUUUCCCACAACACCUUUUUGGCAGUCUUAGAGAACUAGAGAUUGCUGCAGAUGACUCAGCUGGUUUUACAAUCUGGAACGUACUGGAGAGAUUUCACAAUCUCGAAAUACUCACACUGUUGUUUUUUUCAUCCCACGAAGAGCUAUUUUCGAUGGAAGGAUGCUUACAGAAACAUGUGGGGAAGUUGGCAAUGAUAAAAGAAUUACAGCUGCGCUGGCACUAUCAUCUGGAGCAGCUGUGCAAGCAAGACUCCAAACUUGGCCCCAUUUUUCAGUAUCUUGAAAUUCUAAAAGUAUAUCAUUGUCAAAGUCUGUUAAUUCUAUUGCCAUCAUCAUCGGUAUCUUUUGGGAACCUAACAAAACUUGUAGCUUUCGGUUGCAAGGAAUUGAUACACUUGGUAACAUCCUCCACAGCAAAAACUCUGGUGCGACUCAUAGCAAUAGAAAUAUAUGGAUGCAGAGCAAUGACAGAGGUGGUAAUAAAUGACAAAGAUGGAGUUGAAAAAGAAGAGAUUGUUUUUAGCAAAUUGAAGACGUUGGGACUGUUUGAUUUAGAUAGCCUCACAAGUUUCUGUUCUGCCAAUUACACCUUCAAAUUCCCAUCUUUGGAAUAUCUGGAUGUGAUUGGUUGUCCCAAGAUGAAGAUUUUCACUACAGGAGAAUCAAUCACGCCUCUAAGAGUAAACGUCUGCUAUGGAGAGACAGCGGAUCAACGGCGCUGGGCUAAUAAUGAUCUAAACACAAACAUACAACAAUUACAUGCUGAGAAGGUACGUAUAUACAUAUUACUCUCUAUCUCCCAUGAUAAAUUUUUACAAAAUUUGCUUUCUUAAAUACAAUAUAGAUAAGAUAUUUGUUAUAAAGUAAGUUUAAAUUGAUGAAUAAGAAUUUUACUUUCAGCUGUUGGCGGUGUCGUCGUCAUACUCUACGCAGUACGACUAAUUUCAUAGGCUUCUUAUGACUUGGAGUUGCGAAUUUUUAGAAGAAAGUCUCAACUGGUAAUUAAUUUUUAUUUCAUUUAUUUAAUCCCAUGUCUUGUUUCACAAUUUCAUCUGAAUUAUUUAGAAUGGGUCCCUCGGUUUACUGUUAAAUUUGCAAUGCAAUUUUAAUGAUCCUUUCAGACAUUUAUGGACAGAUUUUGCAAAAUUGAAUGUCUUUUAGUCUAGUUUAAUUUGAGUUUUUCAUUUUUUUUUUAGAGCUCCCCUUGUUUUCUAAAAUUUUAUAAUUCCUUGCAUACUUUUUAUGAUAAAGUUUCAUUAAAAGCCUUCAUAUUUUAUAAUUCCUUGAAAACGUGCAUACUUUUUCCUUUUUUUCUUUGCCAAUUAUUUAUUGUCAUCAUUGCUGUUCUUUUAUUUUAGUUUGUGCUCUAUUUGUUCAUUGGGUUUGCUUUUCGGAAAGUUAGAAGGCAAGGAAAGUACUUAGAAAAUAUUCUUCCCUAUGAACACAUAAUUAACAGCUGAAUAUCAUUCAUUGGAUUAAAAAAAAUUUAAAAUAAAAAGAAAGUAAUCAGCCCAUUAUUCCUAGAACAAAUCCUUAAACCAUCAAACGUUAGCUAUGAACAAGUAUAUUGGUCUAUAGCAUAUUCAUAAUAUUUUCUCUGCUGUUCCUGUUAAAAUUUCUCUACUCUAUGAUUGCAAAAUGUCUGGAUACUGAUGAAGAUUUAAGUCACUCUUCUUCUGUGAAUAAGGUCGUUUUUCUUUUUUCCUCUAUUCAAAGUUUCCAUUCUGAUGGGUUCCCAUUUCCAUCUUCGUGAUCUUCUUGUGAUAGUGUGAGUUACAACCUGUCUGUUUCCUUUGUUUGAUCAUCACAAGUUCAAAGACAUUUUAUUCUAGCUAAGCUCUGUGUAUGUAUUAUAACAUUUUUAUUCUCAAUAUAUAUGACUCAAUGAGAGGUCUUUUAUUAUAUAUAUGUCGUGAAUUUCUAUUGUAUUUUGACAUUUGAUGGUGUAUCAUUGUCUCAUUGCAAGGUCUUUUAAUCACUCUGAUUCUCAUUUGAGGAGGUUGGUCUCGUCUAUGUGUAUGUAUUUAUAUCCACAAGAAAUUUGAUAAAUGGUCUUGUCAUUUUCUCAUCAAAACAUCUGGUGCUUCAUAUGUUGGAGGGUUACCAGGCAUCAGGGCCAGAUUUUUAAACUCAAAGUUCUUCGUGUCAUUUUUUAACAAUAAUAAGGAAAGCCCAAGAGAAAAUCUAGAAGUCCUAAUAAGGACCGCUUCUACAUAUAUUGUUCAUUUUCUUAAUUACCUUCAUUAUUAUUUUCGUUUUCAAUCGAUCAAACUUCAGUUUCUUCAUCUUGAAAUCCUUAAUUUACUCAUCAAAAUGUGAACGCUUAGUGUAUCAUUUUUACACUAUAAGAAAUAGUCGUAUUACCGACCAGACAUUUCCACAAUAUACUAUUCAAAAUAAGUACUUUUUACGAAGGUAUUGUCAUUGACGAGCCGUUGGAUAAAUAUGAAAAGUAUCAUUCCUUGGUGAUAAAGAAAAUUCGUUUGUCGGAAAUGGAAUGUCGAGCCCAAAAUUACUCUAAACUUGGUAAAGUUAGAUUUUGGCCCAAUUUGUUUGAAAGUUUUAUACAUAAAGCACUUUUUUUUUUUUAUGUAAUUUGUGCAAUCUGAAGGGAGGUAUUGUAAAAUUAACAUAAAUAAAUGUAAUAUGCCAAUACCGUUUAAAACAAAAAAGAAAUCAUGAAAUUGAAAAUAUAUAUAUAAUAAUAAUAAUAACAACAUUAAAAGAAAAAAGGGGAUUACGGAGAAGAAGAAUCUCUUCUGGAUCACAACUCUCAAUUUCACUCAGUGGUAAUUAAUUCUUCACUCUCACUCGCCUUAUUUCCUGCGGAUUUCUUCAUUUUCCUUCACUGUUCAUUUUUAAGGUUCCAUUGUAUUUCCAUUGAGUUUGCAACUGUUCAAUUGAUCGAUCCUUAUUAGUUUUGGGACUUCAAUGACCAUAGAAGAAGAUUCUCACAGACAACUCUUCCUUCUUUUGUCUUUGUUUUUUUUUUUAUUUGUUUAUGCAUGUUUCCUUUGCUGAUUUAUUUACUUAUUUCUUUCUCUGAUGUCCCAAUUUAUCCUAUGAUAUUUCAAUUGAUGUAUUACGUUCAUGUUAUGUUUAUGGAUGCUUGCUCUACUGUCCUAAUUUACAAUUAAAUUUUACUCCGUCCUUAGCUAUCGAUUCACAGUGGUGUGUCAUUAAUAUGUACUUGUCUUAUUUUAUAUUUCAUUAACUAUUAUUUCAACAAUUGCUGCAGGUGUCAAAUAAUGAAUUUGUAUGAGCUUCAGUCCAAGGUAAUUAUCUUUUUCAUUUCAUGUUAUUUGAUCUCUAGGUUUAUUUUAUCGUUUCAUCUAAAUUAUUUGGAAUGCAUCAGCUGGUUUAUUCUUAAUUUUGGAACGAAUUUGAUGCAGCAGAUGGUUGCGAAGGAUGAGUGGAGUAUCUCUCUAGGGUAACAACUUGAGCUAUAAGUAUCUAUUUAGGGUGCAUAAUAUACAUUUCGAAGUUCGCGACGAGGGGAAUCUAAUCUAAUACUGUAGCGCCGCAUUAGUCUCGUGGUUCGAUUGAAAAUUAUAUUUAUUUCAUAUUAUUUUACAAGUUUAAGAUCUAUUUUCCUAUUGUUUUCGGGAUUUUUAUCUUUUUUUUUUUUCUAGAUAUAGAAUUUGAGUAACAUUUAUCUUAUUUCAGUUAGGAGAAUGUUAUUAUGUAGUAAUAUGUAGGUUUACUUAUUUUGGUAAAUUUGUGAUAUUUAAGUUUAGUUUAAAAGAAGUCCAAAACCUUAAUUUUGUUAUUCAGACUUUCAUUAAUAAAAUAUAAAACUUUCUAAAAAAGAAAAUGCUCGUCUGGUACCUAUAUUUUAACUUCAAUGCUCGUUUAGUUUUUAUAUUUUAAAAAAUACCUCAAUAUACCUUGAUAUUAAAUACGUUACAUUUUUCCUUAAAUUUUAUUUACUUUUACAAUAAUAUCUUGGCAAUAAUAUUCUUAAAUUAAUUAAUUUAUUUAUAAAAAAGUUAAUUGGAAAAUUAAUCAAGAAAUAUCAAUAUGAAAUAACCAGUAUUUUUUGUACUUUUACAACAAUCUUGCCAAUAAUUCUUUAUAAAUAAAUUAAUAGCAGCCAUCUUAAAGUAAUGUUUAAUAUUCUUAAAGCAAUCUUACUAAUAAAUGCAUAAAAAAUUUAAUUUACGAAAUUAGUCCUAAAACUAAAAUAAUAACAUAAAAGUUUUUAUUAAUAUUUAUUUUGUUUAAGGCUGGCUAGAUGAAUUACCAUUUUUUUCUUUUCAUUGAUAUUCCCAAAAAUAUUAUUCCAACACAGUAGGGGUGUCUUGAGGUUAGGGAUGGCAAUGGGGAGGGGAGGGGAGGGGACUAAUCUCCCCGUACCCAUCCCCGAUAUUUUGCGUAUGUCCUCGUCCCCUCCCCGUCCCCGUCCCCGUCAGAAUUACUUGAGAGAAUCUUCAUCCCCUCCCCGAAUAAUAACAGAGGAUCCCCGAUCCCCGAAUAACUAAUACAUUUUUUUUUUUCAAUUUUGAGUUAAUUAUAUUAAAAUAAAAAAAUUCAAAUAAAAGUAAAUUUCGAAAUAUAUCUUACAUGAAUAUCUAUUUCAAAAGUCACAUACAUUAAAUUAGUAAGUAACGCAGCAUGCAAGGGAUACAAACUAUCAUGAACAAAUUAAUAGUCUAAUACAAAAUUGUUACAAAUAAAAUCGAAUUUAGAUUCAAAAUUAACUUUUUCAAUGGUGGCGUGGGCACUUUAUAAAUGUGGACUAUUCCCUUUACAGCACAAUAGUUAAGUCCGAGCAAAUCAAGAGCAAAUAUUAGAUUAGAUUAGAUAUUAAAAUUGUGAUUCGCUGUGGGCAAUUAUAACAUCUAAAAAUAAAUAAAUAAAUAGAUUUAAGUUUAAAAUAUUUAAUGAAUAUUAAAAUUAAAACAAAAUUUUUGGGCUAAUAGAAUCUACUGGUCUUUUUAAUGUCCUAAAUAAAAAUUUAAGACUUUAAUUUGUUAAUUAGGCCUAAAAGUUUAAUAAUAUAAAUAUUUUGAUAUUUGUUAUUUUUACCAAUAUUUAUAAUUUUAUAAUUUAUUUACUAGUAAUUUUAAAAAAUAAAAAUAAAAUUAAAAAUUAAAAUGGGGAAAUGGGUAGGGUAUGGGGAUUCCACCUCAUCGCCGUCCCCUCCCUAAAUAAGAAAUUGGGUAAAAAAAUUUGCCCGUCCCUUCCCCGAAUAAGAAAUUGGGUAUGAAAUUAUCCUCAUACCCUCCCCGAAUAGGGAAAAUCCCCGAUGGUACCCGUCCCCGUGGGGAUUUUUGCCAUCCCUACUUGAGGUUGAGGCACUUUUUAAAAUAUAAGAACUAAAUGCGCUCUCAAGUCAAAAUAUAGAGACUAAAUGAACAUUUAUUCCUUUUAAAAAGCUUGUGUUUCUCUAUCUUUUCAAUCUCAAUGUUUUUGUUUCCGUUUCAUCAUAAGUUCUAAUGUUUGGUUCUCAUCUUAAUGUGCAAAUUUUACAUCAUUGAAGGUCUUUUGAUCUGAGUUAAGAUCAUAAAAUUAUACUUGCAUUGGUCAGGUUAUACGAAAAUUGUACAAAAUAAUAUUCUUAUAUAACUGUUGUCCUCUGUUAUUACGGAAUCCCCAAGUUCUGAAGAAGGUCGAAAUCAGGUCUCUCUACUGUGAAGCCCCUGGAAUAAGAGCUACAAAUGUGUUACCGUUGAAAGCAUGGCAGAAAACUUAGUACUUAAUUCAGACUCUUUGUGGCUUCAAUAUUUUACUUAACAUGAAAAAUUCUUUCUAGCUUGCAUCAUUGUAAAGAUAAAUUGUCGCAGUUCUGACAAUGAACAAGUAUAAAUGUCCACAGAGAAAAGUACUGAACAAUUAAUGUUAACAGCAAUCGAUUGGUGUGAGCGCCAACCACCAUUUUCAUAUUUAAGCCUUUAGAACAGCAAAACAAAAUACGGCAAGUGGCAACCACAUCAAAUAAUCAAAUUGUUGAUAGAUUUUGAAAGCUUUAAUUUGCUUGAUAUAUAUUUAAAUAUUUCAACAGAUGAUCUUUUCGCUACUCACGGGGCACGCUGAGUUAGAAACGGUUUGGAUGUCAAUAUUACUCCAAGUGCCUCAACCAAAUUCAGAAUGAAAAAAAACCAUCUGGUUACCUGCACUUUUGUUUAAGCAGCUAAUGAAGCUAAUUAGCACGAAAUAGUACACAAACUCGCGAGAAAUUUCAUUAGUAGAUCAUCAUCCUGGGAGGAAACCAGCAUCUUGACGCUUUUGUGAUCAAGAAAAUCUGCCAGAACCCCAAUUAAUGAAAAAGAAAUUAUAACAUCAUUUACGUAUAGUUUUACAAAAUCAACAGGACACUCACAGAGCACCUCCUACAGCUGGACCGGCAGUUUUGGUAAGCGACACUACAGUCAUAGCAAGUCCAUUAGCAGCUCCUCUUUGAUGCUGUUCCUUUUGUUGUGGCAUAAACCAACAAAUUAAAUUUAAACUUUGACACAUACAAAAUUUGAAAAAGCUGAAAGCAUGUAAAUGUACUAAACAAACAAAAGAAAAAAAAUAUUUACCACUGCUCUGUUUUGCAGAAGGAAUAAUCUAGUUAUUAUAGACACCUGAUAUUAUAAUUCAGGAAUAGUAAAAUAGAAUUACAACAUUUCUAAUAAAAAAAGACACAAAAUAAUUUUAUACAUACUUGAUGGAUAAUAUAACCUAAGUAUAUGGAUCAAUGAUUAGGAUAUCCACUUACAGCUAAAACAUUCUUCAUCACAGAAGCACAGUUUAUCAAAAAGGCAAGGCUGAACCCAGAUAGCAUUGCUAUGUAAGUGUAACUUGUCAAAAGCGGUAUCGAUAAAACCUGUACAUACAUAGAAAAUUAUGGGACCAAAACCAUGAAGAAAAGUAUUUUAUAAACAAAUAUGUUUGAAACAAACUAUCAAAUGGUCUAAAUGCCACAUGGUGUGUUCAAAAUUAUUGUUCUGUUUUAGUGACAAAACACUCAUCCCAUGACAUUGAGCUAUCAAUUCUCAUGGAUUCGUCACGCUUGAAAGGUUUGGUAGUUGUUCUGUUUUAUCUUCAGUUUCAUUUGUGAUCACAGAAACGUUAGGACUUGCGUGCAUGAAAGCACAUUAAAAUUUGAAAGUUCUGAAGAAGAUUCAGGUCACUCGCGUGCAGCCUCUGGAAUAAGAGCUGUGUUACUGUUUAAAAGUUUUCAUGCUGUGGGGCUUCCAUCUUCAUUAUUCUACGAAUGCUUAACUUCACUAUUCUACGAAUGCUUCACUUCACUACAUUGACAGCGUUGAAAGUGUAACUAAAACCCUUGCUUUCACAAGCAAGCAUCGGUGAAUGAAAAAGAAAGUCUCUCUCGAAGGUAAUUGACAGAGGAGCAAUCUUCUUACUCUUUAACUAAAUAUCAGAAAUACAAGGUUAAGGCAGCUAGGGUUGCGAAGGAGAAGGAUCGUUCCCGGAUUUUGCCUGCUUCAAGUUGUUGGGCUUGGUGAACCAAGUUGUGUACACGAAUUGCUUAUGAGGGCCCACAUGGUUGCAGACAAGCCUGAGCUUUUGUCUCUCCCUCAUGUCUCACAUUUUAUGAUGAAUCAAAUUGAACUCCCAACACGGUAGUUCAUAAAAUAUGCUUUUCUUCUUCCAAGUAAUCUUAUCAUUUCUCUCAUUUUAUUCAUUCUCCACUUUUCAAGUCUUCAAUCUUAAACUCAGUAAGGAUAUUAUUCAACUGCUUUUUCACUUCAGCUCCAGACAUCCGAGAAGGUGCUUGUCCCCACUCUCUAGAUUUAUCAAAAGGCACUAUAUUUUCGAAACCUAUGAUUCGUCAGUAAAAAUCGACGUUACCGACGUGACAAAAUUUUCUACUAUGUAUCAACCAAUUAGAUCUAGUGUUUUGUUGGCAAACAAGAAAUGCUUAUUUACCUUUAAUACUCCACUCAGACAAGUUGGCAUGUGCUAGAAAGUCACUGAUAGUCCAUAACAAUGCUGUGUGUGAAUUGAAUAUUUGAUUACGUGAUGUAUCAUGUAUCAUUCCAACCAUAUCAUCAUCAGCACCCGAGUCAUGACUAACCUGUUUCUUGGUUAGAUUCCAAAGAUGAAGAUGGCUCACCAUGCAAUAUCCAGUUUUAAUACUUUAACCAAAAACCAUUUAUAAUGAUAUGGUCUCUUGCUACUUCCCUUAAAACGAAAUAUUCGACACUUCUUACAAGGAUAAUAAAUUCUUGCAUCACCAACAACAUUCUCAAAUGCAAAAUCUAUAACUUAGAUAUCUAUUUGCCAAACCAACCCAACUCUUCUCCAUUACCAUCUCCUUUUAAUGCACUACAAAAAUUAGUUAGAUAAAUCAUUUUAGUUUUUCAUUUCUACUACUGACCAAGAUAUUUUCGUGUGUGCACAGUUUUGCAAUAUAAUUAAAAAAUCAUUAUACAAUUUUAUGGUUAAUUUCAUUAGAAUUUAUAUAUAUGAAAGCAAGUAAAGCGACAAGAAUCAGAGAAAAAGACGUGAAAAUUAAAGUAUAUAUACAACAAUAAUUAAUGUAAAAAACAGUUUCCAAUACCUUCUGUAAAGAAAUAUCCUCACCCACAGCUGAGAACUUCAGUUGGUUAUCAAUUACAGAUACAAAGCAUGUUACCUAGAAACAAAAAAAAAGGUCAGCCAGCUGAAACAUAUUUAUAAACCAACAUUGGAGAUAGUACUCCAUUUAUAAACAAAAUUACAAGCUCAAAACCAAGUUAACUCAGCAAAACUAUAACCGAUUACGUCCAUCCAACUCAGCUCCUCCACUCCCAUCAAUAUGUCCAACACUCCCUUCAUAUUUACAAAAGGUAAGUGGUCCCGUAUAUCCCUCUCAAGAAUGCAUAAGUUUCUUCAAUCUCAAGUACUUUAAAGUUUUCUUCUACGUUUAUAGAAAUUUCGGCAGCAUCUCCCUUUAGUUCUCCAAGCAACGACAUAGAUAUAUGAGUGUUUAUGUGUUAUCUAGUAUGCACCCAAAGAAGAUGAGAAGCAGCUUGCGAAAAACUCAUUUUUACGUGGGAAAAAAACUUCAGCUACUAGCUACCAUAGAAAACUAUGCAUUCCCAAACAGUUCAAGCCUAGACAAUUCAAGAAUUAUUAAUAGGCAUAUGAUCCUCACUAUCAUCCAAAGAUGACACUAAUAAAACAUGUGUCUAUUAAUAAUUUCUUAAACGAUCUAAGCUUUCAAUGCAUGUAUUGAAAGUUUAAAAUUCAAUCUGAAAUUUGAAUAACACAUAAAUAUCAUAAAUCUCUUCAAUUUGUUCCUAAUACAAUGUAGCAUUAUUACGCGCAUCAUUUCUUAAGCAAAUCCAUAAAAAAUACAAACAAUAAAUACAUUUUCUAGCACUGAUGCAGAUUAUGUUUACUAAGCAAUAAGUUUUAAGUCAUUCAUGUUAAAAUACUUUUUCCUAUUCUUUCAACAUAUAACUAGUACGUGCACACAAUUAAUAAAUUAAAUAUAACCUGGUUGUGAAUCUCGCAAAAAUCUUCCUAUUUUUUUUUUUUUGGUUGGGGGGGGGGGGGGGGGGUGUGAGCUGCUUGUGAAUCUUGCAAAUCCUCGGGAAGGCAUGUUAAGUCAAGGCCAACUUACUAUUAGGGUAUGAAAGAUAUAACCUUUUUUUUCCCUUUUCAGAGUAAAAAGAACAUUGACAGUGUUAAAAAAAUCUAGAGGAUUUCAGGCCCAUAUCCUAACAAAUCAAGGAUAUUAGAAAAAUUUACUGAGGAUAUAGUUUAUGCUCAAUUGUAUCUUGCAGGAAGAAAUUGAUAAGCCUCAGUUUCAAUUAGCUUCAUUAUAGCCAAUGAUUAGGUGUUUAAAAACCAAUGAAUAUUUUUAUAAGAAAUCAACCGUAUUGUCGGAAGAAAAACCAAAUAAAAAUAACAAAGCCAAUGAACAGACUAAUGCUCUUUAUGGUCUAAUAACUAAAAACCAAUGAGUAUUUUUAUAAGAAAUCAACAGUAUUGUUGGAAGAAAAACCAAAUAAAAAUAACAAAGCCAAUGAACAGAUUAACGCUCUUUAUGGUCUAAUAACUAAUCAAACUAAGUUGUGGGUAAAGGCGAAUAUGUUUGUUUGGUCAAUAAUAAGCUCAACGAAUCACUAAUAAGCACCUAAUCACUAUUCCUUAUGCUAUGCAAUGUAAUGGCCUGGGUAAUGGCAGCAAGGCAGGCAAGAACUAGCUAGCCAGUUAUGAUAGUUGAUUAAGAAACUUGAUUAUAUGUAUAUUUUUGUUUGCCACAUUUAAAGAGAAUUUUCCAAAGAUGCUAAGAUACACCAAAUCCCACUAUUUCCAUACUCAUAAAAACAAAAAGCCAUGGCAAAAAUGAAUGACUAUAUAAAAUAAAAUAGGUCAUAGGACAUUGAGAUUAAGGCAACAUGAUUUGUAUACCAUAAAAUAACUAUAUCUGCAUAGUCAAUUAUAUUUCUGUUAGAACUCUAAAGUUUUCAUUUAAAUUUUUUUCCCUGUUAUGUAAACCAUUUAACUGAAAUGCUUAAGCCAAUAUUAACAAUCAUAGACAUACAAGUAUUAAUAGGCUCGUUCAAGUGAAAUGAGCAUUAUUUCUCAUAUCCUUUAGGUUUUUAAGUCAUUUAGAAGUCAUUCAUGUUAAAAAAUUUCUUCAUAUACUUUCAUUAUAAUUAGUACAUAGACAAUUAUUUAAAUAAAUAAAUCUGUUUCUGCUAGUACAGGAAAUUAAUUAAUCAAAGCUAGUAGUUAUAGCUAGGACUUGAAUGAGGCACCUUUCAGAGUUCAAGAGGAGCAUCUGAACAGAACCUUUAUAGAAAUGGCAAUGACGCUUUACAUCUACAUGCUCUUACACAAUAUGGACUUUCAUUUAUUCAAGAACAUAACACUACUCCAAGCUCUUAUUCUACAAGUUAAUUCAGUUUAUAUUAUAAUUUCUGAAAAUAGAACGUAACAUUAUUAAUAUAGAAUCAGCAAUAUAUAUAACUUAUCAGACAAUAUAACAUGCACUUGGUGAGCAUACAAGAUAAACAAGUUAUCUAGAAAAUGAAACUAAAACCCAAGCUCCGCUAUUCAUUGUAGAAGCUUUAAACAUAAAAUUAAAGUAAAUCUAAUAGCAAAACAUUAGAAUGGAUGUUGGAAUUAAAGCUAAAUUCAAUAGUAAUUCAAAUGAAUCCAUUUGAACUUUGUAGAACAAAAUUAAUUUGAGUGAGCAAACACACCAAUGGAACAAGAACACAGGGCUUCAACUUGUAGGAAUAAAAACAAUUGCUGGCGAGACAAAAAUUGACAAUAACGACUACAAUACGAAUUAAAAAGAAUCAAAAUCUAUAAUUACAAGCUAAGUAAGAGAAGAAACUCAUAAUCACAAGCUUAACUCAAAAGAUGAAGGGAGAAUACGAUGAAGAAGAAGAUGCCCGGUGUUUUACGCCGUUCGCCGGCAACCAGUUAGGUUUACGAUGGAGUCCAGCGAAUAGUUUUCUAACUGGAAAUAAAUUUAAAAUUCUAAAAUAGUAGUAUACCGAACGGCUCUUUACCGUCACGUGGUUAGUAACAUAUGUGACAGCAGUGUGGCUGUCACAUAAAGGGUAACAAAAGCAACUCGGGGUUACAAAGAAGUUAGUGAUAUACGUAAUGGCUGCUUUUGCAUUCGCAUUAGGGGUCACAUAUACCAUAUUUUCUUGUAGUACAUGGUAAAUUCUAUUUGAAAAUUGCUAAGUAUUUUAGAUUUGUAUGAAUUCAUUUUUGUGUGCUCGUUGGAUAAUAAUAUAUAAUAAAUCAAAUUUUUGGUGUAAUUUUCACAAUAUUGUAUUAUAAAUAUGUCUCGUUGAAAGGUUUUGAAAUCGUUUUGAUUGAUCAUAAUUGAUAUUUCCACAUUUGCAAAAGAUGCCAGAGAAAAUCUGAUUAUCUUAAGAAAUGAGUGCAUGAGAUAUGAAAUCAACCAUAUAAUAAAAUCAAAUUUUAUUGUGUCAUCCUUCUUGGUUCAAAUUUAUGGAAACAAUAAUCAAAUGCAUCCAUGAACUAGCUAGUAUAUUCCGACACAUGUACCAUCAAAUUUUUGCUAUGUCAUACUUAUAUUUUGAAAUUUUAAUAACAACAAUUGGGCCAAGCAUAUGUUGGUACUUGAAGAUUUAUAAGCUCCAUCCUUGAAAAAAUAAGGCUUGACUGUCCUCAAUCUAAUUCUUUUUGUUUUAAGUUCCUAAUUAAGCUUUCUUGCUUGUUUUCAAGAGCCAGUUUUGUAAUGAUCGACAAACAUGAUUUGCAUAUAUUGCACUUGGUAUUUAUGUGUCACUUAUUAAUUAGAUUUAAAUUUUAUAAAUUAAUUAAGCUGAUUAAUACUUUAUGUUGAUGCAGAAAUCUAGUUGAGUUGGUUGUUGACUCAAAACCACAUCCCCGCAUCAGUAAUAAAUUUGUUUGGUGAAGAAGCGGCUUAUUAAUCUUCAAGAAAAUCCUCUAACCAUGAGCAGAUAAUUCAUGAGCCGAUAAUCUAUGAGCUGUUGAUUAGUGAGCACCAUGAGCAGAUAAUCCACGAGCUGCUGAUCAGUGAGCACCGUGAGCAGAUGUUCUAUGAGCAGAUGAUCCAUGAGCAGAUAACCCGCGAGCAUGCAAGCACAAAGAACAGUCAGGGGGCGCUAGAAGUUUUUCUGGUGAAAACCCUCCGACGCUCAAGUCACAAUAUUGUAUCCAACCAAUAAAAACUAAAAGAUCCAAAAGUUACAAGUUCUAACACCACCCAAAUAAAGGCAUGUUAGGAUUGUUUUUGGGAAGCUCAAAAGUGAUUUUAAAAACUAAAAGCUAAUUUUUAAUGUUUUAUAAAUUUAAAAACUAAAAGUUCUAACACCACCCAAAUAAAGGCAUGUUAGGAUUGUUUUUGGGAAUCUCAAAAGUGAUUUUAAAUAUUAAUGGUGCGUUUACUUCUUGGAAUAGGAAUGAGGUGGAAUGGGAAUGGACUGGAAAGGAAAUGAGGAAUGGGAAUGAGAUUUCAAUGUUUACUUGGCAAAAAUAAAUGGGAAUGGGAAUGUGCUGGAAUGCAAUUGAUGUGUUUACUUGGAAAAAUAAAUGAGAAUGAGAAUCAAUUUACCAUAAUACCCAUAGUAUUAAUAAUUAAUAAAAAUAAUUAAUUUAUCAUUAUUGUUGUUAUUAUUACUAUUAUUACUAUUAAAAAUAAUAUUAACAAUAAUUAAUAAUAACUAAAAUAAUAAAGUUAAUAAAAUAUUAUUAAAUUUUAUUAACUCUAUUAUUUUAGUUAUUAUUAAUUAUUGUUAAUAUUAUUUUUAUUAAUAUUAUCAUUAUUAACAUUUAUUAUUAUUAUUAAUAUUAUUAUUAUAUUUUAUUAACUUUAUUAUUUUAGUUAUUAUUAAUUACUGUUAAUAUUAUUUUCAUUAAUAUUAUCAUUAUUAACAUUUAUUAUUAUUAUUAUUAUUAUUAAAUUUUAUUAAAUUUAUUACUUUAGUUACUAUUAAUUAUUGCUAUUUUUAUUUUUAUUAAUAUUAUCAUUAUUAAAUUUUAUUAUUAUUAUUUUAAUUAAUAUCAUUUUAAUAAUAAUAUUUAUACAUGUAUCUAGAUAAUGAAAAUUACAUUAUUAUUAUUAUUAUUAUUAUUAUUAUUAAAUUUUAUUAACUUUAUUAUUUUAGUUAUUAUUACUUAUUGUUAUUAUUAUUAUUAAUAAUAAUAAUAAUAAUAACAAAAAUAAUGAUAAUAUUGUUAAUAAUGAUAAAUUAAUUAUUUUUUAUUAAUUAUUAUUUUUAUCAUUAUUUUUAUUGUUAAUAAUAAUAAUAUUAAUAAAAAUAAUUAAUAAUAACUAAAAUAAUAAAGUUAAUAAAAUUUAAUAAUAAUAAUAUUAUUAUUAUUAUUAAUGAAAUUUUAAAUAAUAAAAUUAAUUGUGAUUUGAAUGAGGGUAAUUUGGGAAAUAUGAAAAAAUUAGAGGGAUACAAAAGUAAAUAUAUAUUUCAUUCUCAUUCCCUCAUUUUUAUUCCCAACCCCUCAUGGGCUUGGGAUUCCCAUUCUUUAUUCCCAAAUUGUGUGAGACCCACACAUUUUAUUCUCAUUCCCAAAUUAUAUUUUGCCAAGUAAACAUGGGUUUCAUUCUCAUUCUUUCAUUCACAUUCCUCAUUCCAUGAAGUAAACAUACCAUAAAAGCUAAGUUUUAGUGUUUUAUAAAUUUUUUUAGUAAUUACUUUUGGUAAAAUCAUCUCAUCAUACAGUAGAUUUUGAAAAGUAGUGAAUGAAUAGUUUUUCAAAAUUUGAUUUUGAGAAUUACUUUUAUACUUAAUCCAAUUCUAUAUAUAUCCUCAUUAUAUAAUAAAAAUCCAAAAUUAUCUUUAUGAAUUAAGAAAUAAAAUCAUUAACUUAAAAUAGAUUAUUAUUAUUAUUACCAAUUAUAUUGAGAUAACAAAAUAGAGAAUACAAUUUAAUAAUAUAAAAUAUUUAUUUUAGUUAUCAAUAAUUAUAUGUACAUAAUAAAAAUAUUUUAUAUACAUGUUUGUAAAUGUGUAAAUAAAUUUUAUUUAGCAUUAUGUUCAAUUCAGUCAUUUAUAUUUUUUCACCAGUUUAAUAAUAAAAUUUACGAAACACAUACGUCUGCUUUUAAAACUAAAAGUACUUUUAAAAAUAAAUUUUACUAAAUGUUCAGCUGAUUCUCUUCACAAUUGAUCAAUUUCUACAGCAUAACUAACUGAAAUUAUUUUAAAAAUAAAAUUACCAAACUGACCCUAAAUCAAACCAAUAAAAAUGUUUAAAAGUAAUAAAAAUAAACCAAAGUAAAUGUACAAAAAUUCAUGCAUAAAUUGAUAAUCAACAAAAACAACCAAAAGUUUAACUCCAAGUUUUCUGUUCAAUUGACAUAACCCUUAAAUUUCAAAAGGCAUAAUCAAUUUUGUGUCUAAUCCUAUAAAAUUAGAAAAUUAAUGAAUUCAAGGGCAAAGCUACAUUGCAACAUGCCUUUGGUACCCCUCUCUUUUGUCUUUUUAAAGGUCAAUUAUAAUAGUGUCCUGGUAUUUGUUAUAAAAAUGAAAAUGUUGAAAAUUUUUAAAAUUUUACGCAUUAGUCCUACACCUACACAGUAUCAUUUUUCUCAUCCAUUUUGCACCAUCAAUGACAUCAUUUUUCUCACCCAUUUUAAUUAAAAGGUAAUUAAAAUUAUUUUCCAUAUAGAAACAGAAUAAUAAAAUAAAUUUUUUAUUCUUAUUUUUUAAUUAAUUAUAAAAAGAUAUUUUGUAUUAAAACAAUCACUAGUGACUACUGUUUCUUCGCGUGCAAUGAUAUUUUUAAUCGAAAGGGGACAUGAAGGGUUCCAUUAUAUUUGAAAUUGGAUGAUUUACAUAAAGAUAGUCUCAAUGCUAGCAAAUGGUGAUAUGUAAAGUUGCAUGCUCCUUCUAAAAUAACUGCAACAAUAACUAUACCACAAAAACACAAGGAGUUACAUUACACUACCACCUUUUCUUUUCUUUUCUUUUCUUUUUUUUUUUAAAUUUAGAGACCCUCAAUUUGGUUGUUAAAGGCAAUGAACCUUAAAACGUGAUGUAGGAAGCAUAUUAGAUAAAAUGAAUUAGAAUUUACUAGAAAUUAUAAUAUUUGGGUCAAUUUAAAAUUUAAUAUUUUAUUAAAAUUUAUCUUAUUUAUUAAGCUUACUUGAGUCAUAUUUGUAAUUCUAACCUAAUUAGGAUUUCAGAUUAUUUCUCUUAUUUGAGAAAGAUUAGCUACUAUUAUAUAUAUAAACUUGUUAUUCUUAAUUUAUGAUAACAGACACAAACUUCUUAUUAAUAAUUUUUAAUUUUUUCAUAAUUGAGAUAUCUUCUCCUUGGUGAGAGCAUCUUUUUAAAGUUUUCAAGACAUAAAUCAUAUUAGAGUUUUUUUCUGUACCAGGCAGAGCAUUCUCGACCACCAACUCCAUACAUUAGUUCCAUCAAGUUAAAAAAAAAAAACCCAACAAAACCCGAAGCCACCAUCACAUCCGUGCCACACGGCUGCCGCCGCCACUGGUUUCUCUUCUUUUUGGUCGAUCCUCUCUCCCAUCCAAAAGCCCUCACGUCGCCAAUCAUAACCCAACCCAUAACACCACCAUCCCGUCACCGUAGCCACGGGAAACUAGCCAAAACAGCCGCUGAACCACCACGAAAAUCCACCUCUCUAUUCGCUGCAAUCCGUUGCGAUUCACAUCCUCCACCACCACCCAUUCGUCCACGAUCAUCAGCUCUUUCUUUUCAACCCACUCACGCUGCCAACCCUCGGCCGGAUCGCCAGAAACUGAAACCAACCUCCACCCACUACUUUAACUCAACUUUUCAAUCAAAUCACAACUAUUUGAGACAAAUCACCACCAGCAUCACACUCAACACCAUCAAAUCUUCUAGAUCCACCUAUCCUAGGCCAAAUUUUCGACCAUCGUCGCUGGCAACACCAACUUUUGCCUAUUUAUAAUUUUGCCCCUUUACUUUUCUAUACUUAUACUAUUACCUAUAAUUUUAUGUUCUUUAAAAAACACCCAAAAACCAAACAAACUUAUAAAAAAAUAAAUAAAUUAGAAUUUACUAGGAAUUAUAAUAUUUGGGUCAAUUUAAAAUUUUGUAUUUUAUUAGGAUUUAUCUUAUUUUAUUAAGCUUACUUGAGUCAUAUUUGUAAUUCUAAUCUAAUUAGGAUUUUAGAUUAUUUCUCUUAUUUGAGAAAGAUAAGGAUUAAUUUAGCUACUAUUAUAUAUAUAGGCUUUUUAUUCUUAAUUUAUGAUAACAGACACAAGCUUCUCAUUAAUAAUAUUCAGUUUUUUCUCAAUUAAAAUAUCUCCUCUUUGAUGAGAGUCUCUUUCUUGAGUUUUCAAGACGUAUAAUAGAACGAAAUCUAGUAUCGCUUCCGCCCUGCGUUAAAAUGUCAUCUAAUCAUAGGGUCUUGUUAUAGUUGUUUGCAUUGGAAGGCUCAUCUAUCGCCGACAUAUCUAUUUAUCCGGCAACAUUGCCACCAUUACAUUGAUCAGAGAAUUUUGAAUACGUUGAUAGUUUUUUGUUUUUCUGUUCACUCACGUCUAUUUCUUAGUGAUGAUACCGUCAUUGUUGUCAUUGGUGGUGCAAUAAUUUUUAGCAAUAUUAUUUUGAUUUUUCAUUUGAUUUACAAAACUUAAAUAUUAAAUAUAAUACUUAAUUUUAGUCUCAUACACUUAAAUAUUACUAAUAUUCAAGUUCAUGGAUGGAUAUUGAAUAAAUCAAAUUCAGAGUAUUUUAUAUGGAUACUAUCCAAUCUAUUCAGAUCAGAUACUUAGACAUCCAACUUGAAUGGAUUUGUUUGCUCUUUCUAGCUGUUAACUUGAUUAAUAAUUCUAUUGGGUUUGGUUUUAAAACUCCUAAUAUGAUAAUUCAUUCAUGACACAAUUAAUUAUUCACUUAAUUAUAUUAAUUGACUUCUAUUUUAAUUGAUAGAUAUGUGUUGAAUUGUCAUCUCUAUUGUUAUCCAUGUGUGAUGUUAGCAAGAAAGAAGAAAGAAUAGAAAAUACUUAUUUUUAGUUUUUUUUAAAGAAAUAUUUAAAUUAUUUUCAAAUAGAGUAAUUGUUUAGAAUUUUUUUACCCUUCUCUCCGAUAAGUUAAUGACUAUUUAAAUAGUUGGGGUGGAGUAACAAAUACCAAUUUAUUUAAGCGUGCAAUUAAAUUAUUAUUAUUUAUUUAAGGACAAAAACUCAUUGUUAAAAAAAAGAUUUUACAAGUUAAUAAACUAACAUUUUAUUAUUAUUAGUAAAUUAACAUAUUUUUACUAUAUAAUUAAAUAGUUGAUAGUAUGUUUAAUAAAUAUUAUGUUACAAAAAAAAUUAACUACAUAGAAUAUGAAAUUAAGUUUAUUUUUGUAUUUUGUAUAUUUCAUCUACUUGAGAUAAUAAAAUCUCUUGUGUUGAAAAACAAAAUUAUGGGUUUUGAACCUUGUUCACAUAGGUGAGAGAUAAUUGGUUGCCAUUAUGUUAAAUUAAAAAAAAAAGAUCAUAUUUAUACUUAUCACUAAUUAUGGUUAGUAAAUAAUAUACAUGCAUUGUUUAACUAUAUAACAAAGUAGUUAAUUAAUUAAUUAAUUAAUUAAUUAAUUAAUUUAAAUAGAUAUUAAUAUAUGUAAGAAUAAGUCAUUUAAUUGGAAACCUAUUUCAAUGGAGUUAAAAAAAAAAGAGAGAAUAUUAUGGACUUAUAUGUCAAAUUUCAAAACUUUUGAUUUUGUUUAUUUUGCAUGAACAAUAAGGGUCUUUGAUGUUAAUAACCCAAUAAUCACAUCUCAGCCAUUACGCAAUUCUUACAUUAAAUCCAACGGUAGGUUUGAAAAAGACAAAAAAUAGGGUACCAAACCCCACGGGUAUUGUAGUUGGACCCUGAAAUUCAAACUCCUUUCACUUUUCUGUUGUUUGGUUUUCACUAAUAUAUGGGAAUUUAAUUUCUAUUUAAAUUUAAUUUUCAUCAAAUUGUGCAUUUUGGAUUCCCCACCGAAGGCUGUAAAAUUCAAAUUCUCCUCCUAUUAGAAAUCGAAUCUUCCAAAAUUGCUCCUCUCAAAUAUUUAUCAAUUAUUUUAAUUCUUAUCAAAUAAUUCUUAUUUAUGAUUUUAUUUUUUCAAUUUAAAUUGUCACUAAGGAGCCUGACUUACUACCACAGAAAAGCAAAAAUACAAUUUAUAGAUUAUGAUAAUUCCAUGUAUUGUAUGAGAAUUGCAAUCUAAAAAUUUUCCCUACAAAACUUUAAAGAAAUUAUUAUUAUUACCAAUUAUAUGGACAUAACAAAAUAGAGAAUAAAAUUUAAUAAUAUAAAAUAUUUAUUUUAGUUAUCAAUAAUUAUAUGUACGUAAUAAAAAUAUUUUAUAUACGUGUUUGUAAAUGUCUAAAUAAAUUUUAUUUAGCAUUAUGUCCGAUUCAGUCAUUUACAUUCUUGCACUGAUUUAACAAUAAGAUUUAUGAAACACAUACGACUGCUUUUAAAACUAAAUGUACUUUUUAAAAUAAAAUUUACUAAAUGUUCGGUUGAUUCUUUUCACAAUUUAUCAAUUUCUACAGCAUAGCUAACUGUAAUUAAUUUUAAAGAUAUAGGAUUACCAAACUAACCCUAAAUCAAACCAAUAAAAAUGUUUAAAAGUAAUAAUAAGAAACCAAAAUAAACGUACAAAAAUUCAUGCAUAAAUUGAUAAUCAACAAAAGCAUCCAAAAGUUUUACUCCAAGUUUUCUAUUCAAUUGACAUAACACUUAAAUUUCAAAAGGCAUAAUCAAUUUUGUGUCUAAUCCUAUAAAAUUAGAAAAUUAAAUAAUAUUAUAUACUAAUAAUUAAAUAAUAUGCAAUUAAUAAUGUUUAAAAAAUAAUGUUAAACAUAUUGUCAACUAAAAUAAUUGGGAGAAUUGGAGUUCCAAGAUAAAUUCUUAUCGAGUCCCAAAUCAACAAUUGGGAUUAAUUUCAAUCUUAAACUCCGAAACUCCGACUGCUUUUAAAAUUGGUCCUAAUAAUAUGAACAAAUCCCAUUCUGAUCAGUAUGGGAUCCCAAUCCCAUACCUUUGGAUUUCGAUGGUAUUUAGUUGGAGGGAGAAGAGAGGAAGGAAAUGAAUUCAAAUUCCUUUCACUUUUCUGUUGUUUGGUUUUCACUAAUAAAUGGGAAUUCAAUUUCUAUUGAAAUUUAAUUUUCAUCAAAUUGUGCAUUUUGGAUUCGUCACCGAAGGCUGUAAAAUUCAAAUUCCCCUCCGAUUAGAAAUCGAAUCUUCCAAAAUUGCUCCUCUCAAAUAUUUAUCAAUUAUUUUAAUUCUUGUCAAAUAAUUCUUAUUUAUGAUUUUAUUUUUUCAAUUUAAAUCGUCACUAAGGAGUCUAACUUACUACCACAGAAAAUCAAAAAUACAAUUUAUAGAUUAUGAUAAUUUUACGUAUUGUAUGAGAAUUGCAAUCCAAAAAUUUUCCCUACAAAACGCUUUUUAAUCGACAGCAAAUACAUGCUUUCAAAUUUAGUCAGCUGAACUAAUUUUUGUUUUUUUGGAUUAAUUUUGAAAUGUUGCAUCCAUAACGAGCUGGUAUUGAAAUUAAUGUUAACAACAAAAAUAGAUGCAAAAGGAGAAAUAAGCAUCAUGGCCAUUAAUAUUUUGACAUUCAAUGUUGAUUUUGAUCCCACUAAAUUAAGCCAUCAAAAAUUGCUGGGAAGGGAGUAAUAUCUAUUUAUAACUGGAAAUUACUCACCGUACAAUGAUGAUUGGAGCUGCAUGUAUCAUUUAUUAUUAACAAUUAACUUAUGAAAUGCUUUGAAUGUACCUCCUAGGUCGUAUUUACUACACUAGUUAGGAGAAAUUACGAUGUUAAAUUAUUUGAUAAAUACUUAUUAUAAUUUGAAAAAUAUGUCACAUUUGUCCUCCACUUUAUGAUAAAAAAUUUAAAAUAUAUAUAAAUCAUUCAUUUUAUAAUCUUGAACUUUAUUAAAGUUCGAAAAACUAGUAUUACUCUAUAUGAUAUAAUAGUGUGAUGUUGUUACACUAUUUUACCAUAUAAAAUAUAUUUGCUUUCUUAUAUAUAAUGGUUCUGACAUCCUUAUUUUAACAAAGUGAUGAUAUCACUAACAAACUAAAUAACACAUAUUUCAAUACACCAAUAGAUUAAAAAGAUACAGUUCUUAAUGUGUUAAAAUAUAUGUUUCUUGUAUAUUAUUGAUAUUUUCACUUUAACAAAGCGAGGGUCUCCUCACUAUAGAAGUACUUUAUAAAUAUUCUUUGUAUUUUUGUGAAAAUUAUUAUUUAAAAGUCAUAUCUUACCAAAGACUAAUAGUUUUUAUUUUAUCACUAUACCGUACUUUUGAAGAUAGAACACCUCAAUACCAUGACCUUAAUUUUUGAACUCUGCUGUACAAAGUUGUUGGCUGGUCUAUUUAGUUUAGUCUUUCAAUUAUUUGUCGUUUGAACUGAGAUGAUCCGAAUAAAGCUAUAUAUCAAUAAUUUCCUAGUGAAACUUCGGGAAAAAAAAUAAAAAUCCUCUCAUAUAGUGGCAUUAUUUUAAUUCUCAGCUUGAUUAUGUUUUGAGUUAACUUAUAGAUUAUUUGAAAUAAAAAGAAUAUAAUUUAUUUUUCUAACUAAAUAUUUUUAAAUAAUUUUGUUAAUUUAAUGAGUAAUUAUACACUUACAAAGUUAUGAUAUAAAAUUUAAUCUAAUUUAGCUAAGAUGUCCAAUUUAAUACUAAGAGCAAUGUUAAGGAUCCCAAUAAUUGAGUCUCAGCUGAUAUGAUAGUCAUUUAUUAGAUAAUCGAAAUAUUAAUUUUAUUAGUUAUGAAAUUUAUUAUCUAAUAAAAAAAUAACACAUAACAAUUGGGUCUCAAGUUAGAAUUCUACUAUCGAAAUUCCUAACAUUAUUCUCAAAUUAAAAAUUCAUCAAAAUAAUAUCUAUUAUCUAAAAAUAUAAAUAUAAAUAUAAAACCAUAGAUUUACUCUUCAAUCUUCGUGAUUUGGCCGAUUUCUCUUAAAGCUUUGGUUUCUUUAUAAGUGCAACGAGAAAUAGUAAGAAGAUUAAAAAAGCAAUAAAGUAAAACUUUAAAAUUUUUAUUUCUUUAUAUUUUUAUCGGUCAUUUGACCGGUACUGGCGUUUGAUUUUCUGACCGAGCUACUGUUUAGUUCUAAGUUUUGGCAAUUAGAACUGGUGGAUGUCGACUGUUCAAUAAUGAUGGCAGCAUUGACGCAGUGGAAUAAGGAUCACAUAUCUCAAACUUUAGGUGAUGAUAUUGUUAGAUAUUUCAUUGAUUGAGGAUCACAUGUUUUAUGACCACUAUUGUUAGAUAUUUUAUUGACUUACUAUGUAAGUCAAGCAAUUAUUUUUAAAUAAUGAUAUUAUAAUUAAAAAUCAAGAAAUAUUUAUAAUACUUAAAGACUAAUUCAGAUUAUUAUUAUUUUAUAUGACUUAAUUAUUAGCUGACAAAUAAUUAAAAGGUCAUAGAACAAUAUUUUUAGGUCAAAUUUGUAUUCUAAUAUGACACAACUUGUACUUUCAUUCCUAUGCUAAAAUAUAUCUAACCUACUAAUAGUCAAGAAAUAUAUCUAUUCAUCACAUACUUGUUAGAAAGAUUAUCUACUAAUUAAUCAUUGAGACGAGAUUACGAGUCUCAACAUAAAUUAGGAUAAAAAUUAAUACAUUGAAAUUCAGAACAUUUCUUUUUCCUCCUUCUGCAGUUUAAAAAGGAGUCGCCCACGAGUACUGAAAUAAUUUUAUCAGAUUCGCUUGAAAGUAGUUUUACGAGCAAGCAGUUUUUCCCUCUUGAUCCCCGUAUUCGUCAGCUCCUACUCUUUGCCUUCAAUUCUCAGUCAAGUAGUAUCAGUUUUUGUUGUCAGCUCUCUUGAAUUUCACUGGAUCAAGUUUUCUCUUGGCAUCUGUUUUGUUGUAAUCUCCAGUCUUUGUUAAUUAGUUUCUCUCCAUUCCCAAUCUUGUUGUGGCCUGCUGUUGUCUCUGUUUGGUUCCAUAUCUACCCUUUGUACUUCUACCGUGUCAAGAUACCUUCAUUUUUUCCAUCUCUAUUACCAGUCAAUAUUUUUUCCGUCUUUCUUCUGGUCAAUUCUUCAGUUAUUCUGAUUGGUUCCCUUCGCCUCUAUUAUCUAAAUCAUUCCUUAUAUUAAUUCAAUCAGUUCUCGAACUAGAAAUUUUUUCCUUGUUUCCAUCUUCUCACCAGAUCCAUAACAGCUUUUACUCUUUCUUUCAUUUCUCCGCUUCCAAAACCGGAUAAACUGUCCAUCUUCGUUGUUUCGUUUUUUUUUUUUUUCACUCCCUCUUUGUUUCGCUCGUUUUCUAUUUUCUUGUCAGAACUUUGAAAAAAAAAAAAAAAGGGAUCCAGGAUGGUGGAAAGCAUUGUUACUGUUGUUUUAGAAUUUUUGAAAUGCUUGGCUCCUCCAACAGAACGCCGAUUUGGUUAUUUGCGUAACUAUAAAGCCAACGUUGAGAAUCUCAAGGCAGAAAUAGACAAGCUCAAGGAUGAAAGGAGAAGCAUUCAGCACAGGAUUUCUGAGGCUGAAAGAAAAGGGGAAAAGAUUGAAGAGAAGGUUGAGAAGUGGCUGGUUCGUGCGAACAACACCAUUGAGCAGUCAGCCAAAUUCAUUGACGAUGAGGAGACAACAAAUAAACGAUGUCUCAUGGGCUUGUGUCCUAAUUUGAAGACCCGCUAUCAGCUUAGCAAGGAAGGAGAAACAAAGGUGAAGGCCAUUGUUGAACUCAAAGAAGAAGCUGGGAAAUUUGAUGAUAGAAUUUCCUACCGUACCAUUCCGGAGGAUAUAUGGCUCAAGUCUCACAAAGGCUACGAGGCCUUCGAAUCAAGACUUUCUACUUUGAAGGCCAUACAAAAUGCAUUGAUCGAUGUUGAUGUCAGCAUCAUUGGGGUCUACGGCAUGGGCGGCAUUGGAAAGACGACACUGGUGAAGGAGUUUGCAAGGCGAGCCAUUGAAGACAAGCUUUACGAUAUGGUGGCUUUUUCGGAGGUUACCCAAAGUCCAGACAUAAAAAAGAUCCAAGAGGAAAUUGCGGAAACGUUAGGCCUACAGUUGUCCGAGGAAGCUGAGUCUAGAAGAGCUGGUAGACUAUAUGAAAGAUUGAAGAAUGAGAAGAAGAUCCUUGUGAUUCUGGAUAACAUCUGGAACCCUCUUGAUUUGGGGACUAUUGGAAUUCCUUUUGGAGUUGAGCACAGAGGAUGCAAAUUAUUAUUCACAACAAGAGAUCUUGAUGUGCUGUUAAGGAUGGGAUCUGAAAAAAACUUCUCGAUUGGCAUUUUAAAUGAACAAGAAGCCUGGAGAUUGUUCAAGAUAAUGGCUGGUGAUUAUGUUGAAAAUCGUGAGUUAAAAUCUACAGCAACAAGUGUAGCCAAGGCAUGCGGAGGUUUGCCUAUUGCCCUAACCACAGUAGCAAAGGCACUGAGAAAAAAAGAGCUGCCUGUGUGGAAGAAUGCCUUGCAAGAACUCCAAACGCCUUCAGAGGCGAGCUUCGACGAAGGAGUACCAGCAGAGGCAUACUCAACAAUUGAGCUGAGUUACAAGUACUUAAGAGGUGAGCAACUCAAGAAAACUUUUUUACUGUGUAGUCUUAUUACGCCAGCACCAAUUAUGGACUUGUUCAAAUAUAGCAUGGGCUGGGGUGUAUUUAAAAGUGUCCACAAGCUAGAAGAUGCACAUAACAAAUUACAUGCAUGGGUCCAUCAACUAAGAGACUCUUGUUUGUUGCUUGAGGAUGGUGGCAGUAAAUACUUUUCUAUGCACGACGUUGUUCGCGAUGUUGCCAUUUCAAUUGCAUGUCGUGACAAAAUUGGAUUUGUGGUGACAAAUGAGGAUGAUUGGAAAUGGCCAAAUGCAGAUGAAUUAAAAAAAUAUCUUGCAAUUUCUUUAAAAGAUAGUAUUAUUAAUGACAUUCCUGAAGGGUCCGAAUCUCUACAACUUGAACUUCUAGUCAUGUCUCCCAAGAACUCUUUUGCUGUGCCUAAUAUUCCUGAGAACUUCUUCAAAAGGACGAAAAAGCUUCGGGUUUUGGAUUUUACUGGAAUGCGGUUAUUGUCAUUGCCAUCUUCAAUUGGUCUUCUAGUAAAUCUUCAGGCACUCUGUCUUAAUCAAAGCAUUUUGGGAGGCAUAGACAUAGCCAUUAUUGGAAAGUUGGAAAAUCUAGAAAUCCUCAGCUUUUUGCAAUCUGAUAUUGUAGAGUUGCCUAAAGCACUGGGUCAACUGACUAAGCUAAGGCUGUUAGAUUUAACAGACUGUUUCCGUCUGAAAGUUAUUGCCCCAAAUGUCAUAUCAAGCUUAAUCCGAUUAGAAGAAUUGUAUAUGGGUAAUUGCUCCAUUGAAUGGGAGGUUGAAAGAGCCAACAGCAAAAGAAGUAAUGCUAGCCUUGAUGAAUUGAUGCAUUUACCUCGGCUAACCACUCUAGAAAUUGAUGUUAAAAAUGAUAGUAUUUUACCAGGAGGCUUUUUGGCCAGAAAGCUCGAAAGGUUCCAAAUACAUAUUGGAAAUGGGUUAUUCACACAUCCCAUGCUUUUUAGACACAGAUGGUUUAAAAGUUGGCAGCACUUUGUGAUCGACAGAGAUCGCAAGAGUUUAAGAGCAUUGAAGCUCAAGCUUGAUUUUAUGGACAUUUGCUCCAUGAAAUUGCAGGGCAUCAAUAACGUUGAAUGCUUAUGGUUGGACAAGCUGCAAGGCAUCGAGAGUGUUCUUUUCAAUUUGGACACGGAGGGCUUUUCACAAUUGAAGCUUCUCUGGGUUCAAAAUAAUCCUGACAUCUUUUGUAUCGUCGAUUCCAGGGAGAUGGUCGCUUGUGAUGCCUUUCCUCUUUUGGAGUCACUUAUCCUUCACAACUUGAUCAACAUGGAGAGGAUAUGUAUUGAUCGGCUCAAAGUAGAGUCUUUCAACAAACUCAAAACCAUAGAAGCAUAUAGUUGUGAUAAAUUGAGUAAUAUCUUUUGGCUCUCUACUACAAAAUGCCUUCCAAGACUUGAGAGAAUUGCAGUUAUUAAUUGCAGCAAGAUGAAAGAGAUUUUUGCAAUUGGGGAAGAAGUUGAUAAUGCAAUUGAGAAGAUAGAGUUUGCUCAAUUAAGAUAUUUGAGUCUGGGGAAUCUUCCAGAGGUUACAAAUUUCUGCCGUGAAGUAAAGACUCCUUCAGCAUCACCAAACAGACCAGCGUCGCAGGAGGAAUCGACGACUACGUAUAGCUCCAGCGAAAUCACUUUGGAUACUUCAACUCUGCUUUUCAACGAGAAGGUGCGUAGGCUAACAUUUUCUUCAUAUAUAACAGAUUUUAUUCAUAUAAUUAAGAAAAUUGGUCAACUCAAAUGGACUUAAUCAUUUAAUUUUUCGUAAUUAAAUCAUUUAAAGAAUGGAAAGAAAAUGGAAAAAAAAGGAUAAAAAGAAUCUCACGCGCUCACUAAUUGAGCUCUUAACAAGUAGUAUGAAUUAGAAUGCAUACUCAGCUGUCAGUUGGAAAUUGAUUCAGACUUGCAUUAAUUUGUAAUCAAAGAAGAAAAUUUCAACAAGUGCUUCCCAUAUGGAUAUUGGAUCUAACGAGAAAUUCUUAUUUUUUUAGGUUGUGUUGCCUAACUUGGAGGCUUUGGAGAUAUAUGAAAUUAAUGUCGACAAGAUUUGGCACUACAAUAAUCUUCCGGUCAUGUUUCCUCGCUUUCAAAAUUUAACACGAUUGACUGUGCAUCGUUGUCAUAAAUUAAAAUACAUAUUUUCAGCGUCUAUGAUCGGAAGCCUUAAGCAGCUCCAACACCUAGAUAUACGACUCUGUAAGGAAUUACAGGAGAUCAUUUCUGAAAACAGAGCAGAUCAAGUGACCCCUCAUUUUGUCUUUCCACCGCUCACCACUCUGAGACUCGAUGGUCUACCAAAACUUAGAUGUUUGUACCCUGGAAUGCAUACUUCGGAAUGGCCCGCGCUAGAAAUUCUUUAUGUGUAUGGUUGUGACAAAUUAAAGAUAUUCGCUGCAGAUUUAUCGCAGAAUAAUGAGAAUGAUCAACUUGGUAUUCCUGCACAACUGCCCCCCUUGCCGUUGGAAAAGGUAUGAAGCCAUUUUCUAGAUUUUUUAUCAAUAGCUUAUUUUUAACUUUGAAAAAUAUGACAAAGUAUCGAUAAAUUAAUACUCAAUAAAUUAAAAACUUUUAUUAUACAAUAAUCUUUGUUAGUCUAGACUAAGGGAUCAAUGUGGUAGAUUAAUAAUUAUAUGAAUUGUUUUAGGUAUAGCAUUUGUAAAAGAAUCCUCAGUCUUUCCAUAUAGAAGAACUUACAAAAUAAAUUAGUAAUUUAUUAUUGUGCAAUAAAAUAAUUUCGAGCCUGUAUAAAUCAACAUUUUUUCCCUAAUUUCUUUUUUACCUCUAAAAUUAACAUAUAAAAAAUCAUUUAAUAAAUUUUAUCAAUAAUUCAAUCUUUUUUUUUUUUUUUGAGAAUGAUGAACUUGAUACUCCUGCACAACAGGCCCUAUUGCCGUUGGAAAAUGUAUGAAGCCAUUUUCUAGAUUUCUAUCAAUAGCUUAGUUUGAACUUUAAAAAAUAUGACAAAGCAUCAAUAAAUUAAUACUCAAUAAAUUGAAAACUUUUAUUAUACAAUAAUCUUUGCUAGUCUAGACUAAGGGAUUUAUUGAUAGAUUAAUAAUUAUAUGAACUUUUUUAGGUAUAGCAUUUAUAAAAGAAUCCUUAGAGCAUCACCAAAAGACUCUUUAAAUAAGAUUUUAUUACUUAUUUGAAGAGCCACAUCAGCAUUUAAAGUUCCAAAAGAUACUCCAAUUAAGAUUCUUCAAAUAAGAAAUGAUCAUCUCUCUUCAAAUUUGGAGAGUUGCAUUCCCCCUCUUCAAUUUAUAUUUUAUUACUUUUUGUUGGAGAAAGAGAGAGAGGUGUUUUAAUUACUAUUGACUUUUUAUUUUUUAAAAAUAGUUAUUUAAUUAAAAUAAUAUUAAUUCAUUUCUAUUUGAAGAGUCUUUUGGAGAAUAACAUAUUUUUUCACUUUUCUAUUUGCCACAUAGGUAAGCAAAUAGAAAUUUGAAAGAGUAAAAUUUAUAGAGCCUUUUGGAGAUACUUAGUCUUUCCAUAUAUAAGAACUUACAAAAUAAAUUAGUAAUUUAUUAUUGUGCAAUAAAAUAAUUUCCAGCCAGUAUAAAUCAAAAUUUUUUCCUUAAUUUCUUUUUUACCUCUAAAAUUAACAUAUAAAAAAUCUAAAAUAUAAUAUAAAACAAAUACUAUAAAGUCACUGCGUGUGAUUGGAUUACUUAAAAUCAUUUGAGAGAACAUCAAUUGACCUUAAUAAUUAUUAUGAUUGAUGAUGAUCAGAUCUUACCCAACUUGAAGGACCUAACAUUAAAUGGAAAAGACGUGAAGAUGAUUUUGCAGGCCGAUUUCCCCCAACCCCUUUUUGGCAGUCUUAAACAACUAAAUAUUGUUGGCGAUGACUCAGCUUGUUUUCCAAUCUGGAAUGUACUUGAGAGAUUUCACAGUCUCGAAAUACUCAUACUGUGUUAUUUUUCAUUCCACGAAGAGGUAUUUUCGAUGGAAGGAUGCUUAGAGAAACAUGUGGGGAAGUUGGCAAUGAUAAAAGAAUUACAGCUGCACCAGCACUAUCAUCUUGAGCAGCUGUGCAAACAAGACUCCAAACUUGGCCCCAUUUUUCAGUAUCUUGAAAUUCUAAAAGUAUAUGAUUGUCAAAGUCUGUUAAUUCUAUUGCCAUCAUCAUCGGUAUCUUUUCGGAACCUAACGGAAAUUGUAGCUUUCGGUUGCAAGGAAUUGAUACACUUGGUAACAUCCUCCACAGCAAAAACUCUAGUGCAACUCGUCACAGUGCGUAUGCGUGAAUGCAGAGCGAUGACAGAGGUGGUAAUAAAUGACAAAGAAGGAGUUGAAAAAGAAGAGAUUGUUUUCCGCAAAUUGAAGACGUUGGAACUGCGUGAUUUAGAUAGCCUCACAAGUUUCUGCUCUGCCAAUUACACCUUCAAAUUCCCAUCUUUGCAAGAUUUGUGGGUGAUUGGUUGUCCCAAGAUGAAGAUUUUCACUACAGGAGAAUCAAUCAUGCCUCUAAGAGUAAACGUCUGCUAUGGAGAGACAGCGGAUCAACGGCGCUGGGCUAAUAAUGAUCUAAACACAACCAUACAACAAUUACAUGCUGAGAAGGUACGUAUAUACAUAUUACUCUCUAUCUCCCAUGAUAAAUUUUUACAAAAUUUGCUUUCUUAAAUACAAUAUAGAUAAGAUAUUUUUUAUAAAGUAAAAGUUUAAAUUGAUGAAUAAGAAUUUUACUUUCAGCUGUUGGCGGUGUCGUCGUCAUACUCUACGCAGUACGACUAAUUUCAUAGGCUUCUUAUGACUUGGAGUUGCGAAUUUUUAGAAGAAAGUCUCAACUGGUAAUUAAUUUUUAUUUCAUUUAUUUAAUCCCAUGGCUUGUUUCGCAAUUUCAUCUGAAUUAUUUAGAAUGGAUCCCUCGGUUUACUGUUAAAUUUGCAAUGCAAUUUUAAUGAUCCUUUCAGACUUUUAUGGACAGAUUUUGCAUAAUUGAAUGUCUUUUUAGUCUAGUUUAAUUUGAGUCUUUUUUUUUUUUUUGGCGAGCUCCCCUCGUCUUCUAAAAUUUUGUAACUCCUUGCAUACGUUUUGAUGAUAAAAUUUCAUUAAAAGCCUUCGUAUUUUUUAAAUCCUUGAAAACGUGCAUACUUUUUCCUUUCUUUCUUUGCCAAUUAUUUAUCGUCAUCAUUGCUGUUCUUUUAUUUUACUUUGUGCUCUGUUUGUUCAUUGGGUUUGCUUUUCUUCACACCUAUAUUUCCUUGGAAAGUUAGAAGGCAAGGAAAGUACUUAGAAAAUGUUCUUCCCUAUGAACACAUAAUUAAAGAACAGCUGAAUAUCAUUAAUCGGAUUAAAAAAAUUAAAAAAAAAAAGUAAUCAGUGCAUAUUCAUAAUAUUUUCUCUGUUGUUCCUGUUAAAAUUUCUCUACUCUAUGAUUGCAGAAUGUUUGGAUACUGAUGAAGAUUUAAGUCACUCGUCCUCUGUGAAUAAGGUCGUUUUCCUUUUUUCCUCUAUUCAAAGUUUACAUUCUGAGGGGUUCCCGUUUCCAUCUUCGUGAUCUUCUUGUGAUUCACUGCAUUGUGUCGCUACAUCUGUGAUAGUGUGAGUUGCAACAUGUCUGUUUCCUUUGUUUGAUCAUCGCAAGUCCAAAGACAUUUCAUUCUAGCUAAGCUCUUUGUAUGUAUUAAAAAAAAUUUAUUCUCAAUAUAUAUGACUCAAUGAGUGGUCUUUUAUUAUAUAUAUGUCAUGAAUUUCUAUUGUAUUUUGAGAUUUGAUGGUGUAUUAUUGUCUCAUUGAAAGGUCUUGUAAUCACUCUGAUUCUCAUUUGAGGAGGUUGGUCUCGUCUAUGUGUAUGUAUUUAUAUCCACAAGAAAUUUGAUAAAUGGUCUUGUCGUUUUAUCAUUAAAACAUCUAGUGCUUCAUAGGUUGGAGGGCUACCAGGCAUCAGGGCCAGAUUUUUAAACUCAAAGUUAUUCGUGUCAUUUACCCAUUUGAUUAUCAAAUAGUCAUAAAAGCAUAUAAAUUCAAGUCAGUGUAUCAUUUGUACACAAUAUACUAAAACUAACACAAGAACUUGGCCGACAUUUUCAGUUGAAUAACUCAGACCCCCCUACUUCCUCGGGCUGACAGCCCAAAGUGAAAAUAUCUAAAAAAAAUAGUUUGCUCCACAUCUAUCUUUCCUAACUUAGGAAGGCAAGGAUUUUGAAAGCUUUGCUUGAUAAAAUCUGAAAGUUCUGAAGAAGAUUCAGGUCACUCGCGUGCAGCCUCUGGAAUAAGAGCUGUGUUACUGUUUAAAAGUUUUCAUGCUCUGGAAUAAAAUUUGCUUUACUGUGUUACUGGUCAACUUCAUUAUUCUACUAAUGCUUUACUUCAUCUUCAUUGUAUCACUACAUUGACAGCGUUGACAGUGUAACUAAAACCCUUGCGUUCACAAGCAAUUUUGAUCACAUUAAACUUUUAAGAAAUUAUCUUUUAUAGCCAUCUUCCAUAUUAUUAGGAGGAGUCGUUUUCACUAUUUUUAAGAAAUUUUGAUCACAUUAAACUUUUGAUCUGAGUUCAUAACAAAAAUCAAAACGGUGCAUGACAUCAAGAUUAUGAUGAAUCAAAUUGAACUCCCAAUAUGUUAGUUCAUAAAAAAUGCUUUUCUUCUUCCAAGUAAUCUUAUCAUUUCUUUCAUUUUAUUCAUUCUCCUCUUUUCUCCUCUUUUCAAGUCUUCAAUCUUAAGUACAUUACUGAACUGGUUUUUCACCUCGGCUCCAGACAACCGAGAAGGUGCUUGUCCCCACUCUCUAGUUUUAUCAGAUGGCACUAUAUUUUCGGAACCUAUGAUUUGUUGGUAAAAAUCGACGGUGACCCACGUGACAAUUUUCUACUAUGUAUCAACCAAUUAGAUCUAGUGUUUUGUUGGCAAACAAGAAAUGCUUAUUUACCUUUAAUACUCCACCCAAACAAGUUGGCAUAUGCUAGAAAGUCGGAGAUAGUCCAUAACAAUGCUGCGUGUGACUUGAACAUUUGAUUACGUGAUGCAUUAUGCACCAUUCCAACCAUACUAGCAUCACUACCCGAGUCAUGACUAACCUGUUUCUUAGUUAGAUUUCAAAGAUGAAGAUGGCUCACCCUCCAAUAUCCAGUUUUAAUACUUUAACCAAUAGCCAUUUAUAAUGAUAUGGUCUCUUGCCACUUUCCUUAUAAUGAAAUAUCGAUAUUACAACACCUCUUAGAAGGACAAUAAAUUCUUUUAUCACCAACAACAUUCUCAAAUGCAAAAUCUAUAAAUUUUUUGACCCCCAUCAGUAUAUGAAUUGGAUAUCUAUUUGGCAAACCAACCCAACUCUGGUCCAUGACUAUCUCCUUUUAUUGCACUAGAAAAAUUAGUUAAAUAAAUCACUUUAAUUCUUCAUUUCUACUACUAAACAAGAUAUUUUCAUGCGUGCGCAGUUUCGCAAUAUAAUAAAAAAAAUUAUUAUACAAUUUUAUGGUUUUAUAUAUAUGGAAGCAAGCAAAGCCACAAGAAUCAGAGAAAAAGAUGUGAAAAUUAAAGUAUAUAUACAAUAAUAAUUAAUCUAAAAAACAGUUUGCAAUACCUUCUGUAAAGAAAUAUCCUCACCCACAGCUGAGAACUUCACUUGGCUAUCAAUUACAGAUAUAUAAAGCCUGUUACCUAGAAACAAAAAAUUAGGUCAGCCAGCUGAAACAUAUUUAUAAACCAACAUUGGAGAUAGUACUCCAUUUAUAAAAAAAAUUACAAGACUCAAAACCAAGUCGACUCAGCAAAAUCAUAACCGAUUACAUUCAUCCCACUCAGCUCCUCCAAUAUAUCCAACAUUCCCUUCAUAUUUACAAAAGGUAAGUGGUCCUAUAUAUCCCACUCAAGAAUGCAUAAGUUUCUUCAAUCUUAAGUAUCUAAAGUUUUCCUCUACGUUUAUAGAAACUUCGGAAGCAUCUCCCUAUAGUUCUUCAAGUACACGACAUAGAUAUAUGAGUGUUUAUGUGUUAUGCCAAAACAAUACAUGACACCCAUUUGUCUAGUAUGCACCCAGAGAACAUGAGGAGCAGCUGCUGAAAAACCCAUUUUUACGUGGGAAAAAAAUUUCAGGCACUAGCUACCAUAGAAAUCUAUGCAUUACCAAACUGUCCAAGCCUAGAUAAUUCAAGAAUUAUUAAUAGACAUAAGAUCCUCACUAUCAUCCAAAAGAUGACACUAAUAAAACAUGUGUCUAUUAAUAAUUUCUUAAAGGAGUUUAAGCUUUCAAUGCAUGUAUCAAAAGUUUAAAAUUGAAUCUGAAACUUGAAUAACACAUAAAAAUCAUAAAUCUCUUCAAUUUAUUCCUAAUAAAAUGUAGCAUUUUUUCACAUUUCAUUUCUUAAGCAAAACCAUAAAAAAUUACAAACAACAAAUACAUUUUCUAGCACUGAUGCACAUUAUGUUUACUGAGCAAUAAGUUUUAAGUCAUUCAUAUUAAAAUACUUCUUCCUAUUCUAUCAACAAAUAACUAGUAUGUACACACAAUUAAUAAAUUAAAUGUAACCUGGUUGUGAAUCUUGCAAAGUCUUCCUAUUUGGUUUUUUUUUUUUUGGUGGUGGUUGGGGGGGGGGGGGGUGGUUAUGCUCAUUUGUAUGUUGUUAACAGAAAUUGAUCCAAAGCCUCCGUUUUAAUUAGCUUCAUUAUAGCCAAUGAUUAGGUGUUUAAAAACCAAUGAAUAUUUUUUAUAAGAAAUCAACAAUAUUGUUGAAAGAAAAACCAAAUAAAAAUAAUAAAGCAAUGCAUAGAUUAAGGCUCUUUAUUAUCUAAUAACUAAUCAAACUAAGUUGUGGGUAAAGGCGAAUAUGUUUGUUUGGCCAAUAAUAAACUCAAGGAAUCACCAAUAAUCACCUAGUUACUAUUCCUUAUGCCAUGCAAUGUAAUGGCGUCGGUAAUGGCGACAAGGCAGGCAAUAACUAGCUAGCUAGUUAUGAUAGUUGCUUAACUUAACCUACUGGAAAUCUGAAGACCAAAAUGAAGAAACUUUGUCUAGAACUAGAAUAGGAAAACAUUCAUACCCAAAACCAAUAUACAUGAUUAAGAAACUUGAUUAUAUGUAUAUUUUUGUUUGCCACACCAAAUCCCACUAUUUCCAUACUCAUAAGCACAAAAAACCAUCGCAAAAAUGAAUGACCAUAUAAAAUAAAAUAGGUCGUAGGACAUUGAGUAUAGGACAAUAUGAUUUAUGUACCGUAAAAUAACUAUAUCUGCAGUCAACUAUAUUUCUGUUCGAACUCUAAAGUUUUCCAUUAAAUUUUUUCCCCUGUUAGGUAAACCACUUAACUGAAACACUUAAGCAAGAUUGACAAUCAUAGACAUAAAAGUAUUAGGCUCGUUCAAGUGAAAUGAGCAUUAUUUGACAUAUCCUUUAGGCUUUUAAGUCAUUUAGAAGUCAUUCAUGUUAAACAAUUUCUUCAUAUACUUUCAAUAUAAUUAGUACAUACACAAUUAAUUAAUUAAAUAAAUCUGUUUCAGCUAGCACAGGAACUUAAGCAAUCAGAGCUAUUAGUUAUAGCUAGGACUUGAAUGAGGCACCUUUCAAAGUUCAAGAGGAGCAUCUGAACAGAAUGAAAGCAUUUUGUAGAAAUGGUAGUGAUGCUUUACAUCUACAUGCUCUUACACAAUAUGAACUUUCAUUUAUUCAAGAACAUAACACUAAUCCAAGCUCUUACUCUACAAGUCAAUUCAGUUUGUAGAUGCAAGCCAUUGUAAAAACUUUUGUGUUAUAAUUUCCGUAAAUGGAACAUGACAUUACUAAUAUAGAAUCAGCAAUGUUAUAUAACUUAUCAGACAAUAUAACAAGCACUUGGCGAGCAUAUAAGAUAAACUAAAACAAGUUAAUUAGAAAAUGAAACUAAAACCCAAGCUCCGCUAUUCAUUGUAGAAGCUUUAAACAUAAAAUAAAAGUAAAUCUAAAUACAUGAUUGUAAAACAUUAGAAUGAAUGUUGAAAUGAAAGCUAAAUUCAAUAGUAAUCCAAAUGAAUCCAUUUGAACUUUGUAAAUUCCGCAGAACAAAAUUAAUUUGAGUGAGCAAAGUCACCAAUGGAACAAGAACAGAAGGGCUUCAACUUCUAGGAACAAGAAAUAUUGCCGGCGGGACAAAAAUUGACAUUAAUGGUUACAAUACGAAUUAAAGAAAUCAAAACCUAUAAUUACAAGCUAAGAAAGAGAAGAAACUCAUAAUCACAAGCUUACCUGAAACGAUGAGAGAGAUAAUAAGAUGAAGAAGAAGAUCGCCGCCGUUUUACGCCAUUCUCCGGCUACCAGUAAGGUUUAGGAUGGCCAGGCACGCACGAGAGAGAAUUUGGGACUUUGGUUUUGAAAAUAUUGACUUCAGCAAAUAGUUUUCUAUUUAGAAACAAAUUUAUAACUCUACCGUCAAAAUAAUAGUAUGCCAAUUGGCUCUCUACCGUCACGUGGUUAGUAACAUAAGUGAGAGCAGUCUAGCAGAUAUUCCCGCGGGGACAUGACCCUCGAGAUUUUCCCAAUUCAGGAGGGUAUAUGAAUUGCUAGAGAUAUUUUGGCAAUUCUAAUUACAAAUGUUGCUUCUGAAUUAGUUUUUAGCACCAGUGUUAGAGUACUGUAACACGUUUUAUUCAAGCACAUUGGAGGCUUUAAUAUGUUGUCAAAGUUGACUACAAGCUUACAAUGGCAAUAUGAGUUUAUUUUACAUUGUAAUUAUAUUAUAUAAUUAUUAAUAUUUUCACUUAGAAUUUACAUUACUUAUAUUAUUUUUGUUGUUUUAAAUUUGAAAUCUGAGGCUAUCUCUCAAUUUGUCACAUUUCUCGAGGAAGAACAAGAAGAGUAGGAGACACAAGAGGUAAAUACUUUUAUUAGAAAUAUUGAUUAAGUAUCUAUAUUCAUUUCAUUUAUCUCAUUGUUGAUAUAAAAGUAAUUUCUUUUUUUUUUAUUAUAUGAUUUUGAAGAUUGCCGAAGAUAAUUAUUAUGGUGAUUUAUACUUUGUAAUGUGACUUUUGUAAUAGAUUAAUGUUAAUGUAAGAUAUAUCGUCAAACUUUAUUUUUAUUUUUUAUUUUAAUAUGAUUAAAUUAAAAUUUAAAACUAAAAACGUAUCAGUUAUUCGACAAUCGAGGACCUUUAAGGAUCCCCUAUUAUUAUUUGGGGAGGGGAGGGGGAUUCCCUAAAGUAAUUUUGUCGGGAAUGGGAAGAGGACAUGGAUAUAUGCAGAAUAUCGGGAAUGGGUACGGGGAGAUCAGUCUCUUCCCCUCCCCUUUCCAUUGCCAUUCCUAACAAAGUUGGCAAUACAUGUACGGGCCGCUUUUGUAAAAUUGCUUUAAGGGUCGUUUGGGAUUGCUUUUGGGAAUAGCAUGCAAGAUAUAUAUAAAAAAUAAAAUCGUAGAAUAACUUUUACCUCUAAUUCGAUUUUUUCUUCUUUUUUGUAAAUUAUUAUGCAUUUAUAUUAAAGUCACUGUGUAUGAUUGGAUUAUUAAAAGUUAUUUGAGAGAAUAUGAAUUGACUUAAUAAGUUAUUACGUGAUUGAUGAUGAUCAGAGCUUACCCAACUUAGGAGGAACGGGCAUUAAGUGGAAAAGACUCGAGGAUGACUUUGCAGAGCGAUUUCCCACAACACCUUUUUGGCAGUCUUAAACUACUACAAACAGUGAAUAUGAGAUUGUUUUCACCAAAUUGAAGAUUUUGUAUCUGUAUGAUUUGGGUAGUCUCACAAGUUUCUGCUGAUAGUCUCAGAAGUUUCUGCUCUGCCAAUUACACCUUCAAGGAAUCUUUGGAAGAUUUAUCUAUAAUUGGUUGUCCCAAGAUGAAGAUUUUCACUAAAGGAGAAUUAAACGCGCCUCUGAGAGUAAACUUCUACUAUGGAGAGAGAGAUGAUCAACAGCUUUGGGACCAAACUAAAUUCGUUAAUCAUUAGUUUUUAACUUCAUUACUGUAUGGAAGUCCUGUCAAAUUAAAUUGCUGCUGUUAAAUUUAUUAAAUCUCUUGCUUCCCUGCAAAUCUCUGUGUGCUUUAAUUUUAAUUGAAACUAAUGAAUGAAAAUUUUACUUUCAGCUGUUGGAGGGGUCCUCAUCUUAUUCAACGAUGUAUGUGUCCUAAUGGCAUUGGCAUUUUACUUUAAUUACAAGCGAGUUGUGAAUUUGAAAAACAAAGUCCCGGUUAAUUCAAUUUCAUUUCAUUUUAUUUGAUUUCUUGGCUUGUUUUAUUGCUUCAUCUAAAUUGUUUGGAAUACACCACUAGUUUAUUUUUACUUUUAGAAUGAGUUUUAAUGUUUUGUUAUGAGAUUUAUAUGCUUAUUUUAUAUCAUUAAAGGUCUUAGUGACUUAUCUAUUUAUUUAUUUUUAUAUCAUUAAAGGUCUUCACUUAUUUAUUUAUUUAUUUUUUUGACGGUGUGGCUUUAUAAUGUGCUAUUUUUUUUUUAAUUUUGAAUUUUAUAAUUCCUUGAAAAUGUCAUUGAAAGGCCCAGCACUUUUAUGUGGAAACCAUCUCAUCCUCUUUAUUUCGAACUAUUAAACAACCAAAUGUAUCCUAACAUAUAUGUUGAGAAUCAAUCUACUGAUUAAGAUAUAUGGCAAUGGUAUUGUCUGUUUGCUAUAGUUUGAUUACAAGAGAACUUUUCCAUUUGUUAGUUGCCAUCUUUGUUGAUCUGUUAAUUCAGUCUUCUUCUGUUUGUCCUGUUUCUCUGUUUAUUUCAACCUUUCUUUCAAAACUUAGAAGGUAUGGAAAGAGCAAGUACUUAGAAAUUGCAAGAAUUAUAUCAAAUCAUGCAUAUAUGCCCCUGCCUAUGAACUCUUAGGAACAAUCGAAUAUCUUUCCUUGAAUAACAUAAAACAAAAUCUACAGAUCAUUAAACCAUCAAAAGUUAGCUAUGAACAACAAUAUUGACCCCACAAAAGAGUUUUCUAUUUAGAAACAAAUUUAUAACUUUAAAAUAAUGGCAUGCCAAUUGGCUCUCUACCGUCACGUGGUUAGUAACAUAAGUGAGAGCAGUCUAGCCGUCACAUAAACAGUCACAAAAGCAACUGGCUGUUGCAAAGUAAGGGGUGGCAGAAAUUCCUGCAGUGAUAGGGAUUCUCGGAAAUUUUCUCCAUUUGGAUAGGAUAAAGAGAUAAUUUUUUAUUUAAUUUCUUAUGCAGAGAAGGGAUGAAAAUAAUUUUUUUAUCUAAUUUUUUAUUCGAAAAAAGGAUGAGGAUACAGCGGAAUCCUCAUCCCCUCCUAAUUUCUUGAUUUUAAUUUUAUUUUUAUUUUUAUUUUUUAAAUUAUUUAUAAAUAAAUAAUAAAAUGUAAAUUAUAAAAUAUUAAAUAUUAGUAUAAAUAAAAAAUAUCAAAAUAAUUAUAUUAUUAAACUUUAAGGCCUAACUUACUGCAUUAAUAUUUGGAUGAGAAAGUUAUCCUACGGAUGAAAGAUUUUAAUAUUUUAAGUUGGUGAAAAACAAAUGCUCAUAGGUAUCCUAUAUUGGCACGAAUUGCUGGAGAUAUUUUAACAAUUCUAAUUACAAUUGUUGCUCCUGAAUAAGCUUUUAACACAGUGGUAGAGUAUUGUAACACGCUUCAUUCAAGCACAUUGGAGGCUUUAAUGUGUUGUCAAAAUUAGUUACAAGCUUAAAAUGGCAGUAUGAAUUUAUUUUACAUUGUAAUUAUAUUAUAUAAUAAUUAAUAUUUUCACUUAUAAGUUACAUUACUUAUAUUAUUUUUAUUGUUUUAAAUUUAAAAUCUGAGGCUAUCUUUCAAUUUGCCACAUUCAUCGAGGAAGAACAAGAGGAGCAAGAGACGCAAGAGGUAAAUACUUUUAUUAGAAAUAUUGAUUAAGUAUCUAUAUUCAUUUCAUUUAUCUCAUUGUUGAUAUAAAAGUAAUUUCUUUUUUUUUAUUGUAGGAUUUUGAAAAUUGACGAAGAUAAUUAUUGUGGUGAUUUGUACUUUGUAGUGAGAUUUUUGUAAUGGAUUAAUAUUAAUGUGAGAUAUAUCGUCAAACUUUAUUUUAUUUAAAAUUUUAUUUUAAUACGAUUAAAUUAAAAUUAAAAACUAAAAACAUAUCAUUUAUUCAGGGAUCGAGGACCCACAGAGAUCCCCUAUUAUUAUUCAGGGAGAGGAGGGGAUUCUCUAAAGCAAUUUUGUCGAAGAUGGGAAGAGAGUAAGGAUAUAUGCAAAAUAUCGAGGAUAGGUACGGUGAGAUUGGUCUCCUCCCCAUUAUUAUCCCUAACAAAGUUGGUGAUACAAGUAACGGCCGCUUUUUGUAAAAUUGUUUUAAGGGCCGUUUAUGAUUGCUUUUGGUAAUAGCAUGCAAGAUAUAUAUAAAAAAUAAAAUGGUAGAAUAACUUUUACCUCUAAUUCGAUUUUUUCCCCUUUUUUUUUGUAAAAUAUUAUGCAUUUAUAUUAAAGUUACUGUAUAUGAUUGGAUUAUUAAAAGUUAUUUGAGAGAAUAUGAAUUGACUUAAUAAGUUAUUGCGUGAUUGAUAAUGAUCAGAGCUUACCCAACUUGGAGGAACGGGCAUUAAGUGGAAAAGACUCGAGGAUGACUUUGCAAAGCGAUUUCCCACGACACCUUUUUGGCAGUCUUAAACUGCCACAAACAAUGGAUGAUGCCUCAACUUGUUUUCCACAUGGUUUACUUGAGAGAUUUCAUAAUCUGGAAACUCUCAUACCGGGUCGUUGUUCAUGCGAAGAGGUAUUUUCAAACGGAGGAUACUUGAGAAAACAUGUGAGGAAGUUUGCAAUGAUAAAACAUUUAGAUCUGCACAAAUUUAAUCAUCUGAAGCAAUUGUGGAAACAAGACUCCAAAUUGCACUUCUUUUUUCAAUGUCUUGAAAUUCUAAAUGUACAUUUUUGUCAAAAUCUGUUAGGUCUAUGGCCAUCAUAUCAUCGGUAUCUUUUGGGAAUGUAAAAGAACUUCUAGUUCUUUUUGCAAGGAAUUGAUGAGCUUAGCAACAUCCCCCACAGCAAAAAGUCUAGAGCGACUCUUAUCAAUGGUGGUAUGUGGAUGCAGAGAAAUGAGAGAGGUGGUGAUAAAUGACGAAGAUGGAGCAGCAAAUUUAAAAGAAGAGUUGUUUUCACCAAAUUGAAGAUUUUGUAUCUGUAUGAUUUGGAUAGUCUCAGAAGUUUCUGCUGAUAGUCUCAGAAGUUUCUGCUCUGCCAAUAACACCUUCAAAUUCCCAUCUUUGGAAGAUUUAUUUUUACUUUUGGAAUGAGUUUUAAUGUUUUGUUCUGAGAUUUAUAUGCUUAUUUUAUAUCAUUAAAGGUCUUAGUGACUUAUCUAUUUAUUUAUUUUUAUAUCAUUAAAGGUCUUAAUUUAUCUAUUUGUUUAUUUUUUUUGACGGUGUGGCUUUAUAAUUUGCUAAUUUUUUUUAAUUUUGAAUUUUAUAAUUCUUUGAAAAUGUCAUUGAAAGGCCCAGCACUUUUAUGUGAAACCAUCUCAUCCUCUUUAUUUCGAACUAUUAAACAACCAAAUGUAUCCUAACAUAUAUGUUGAGAAUCAAUCUGCUGAUUAAGAUAUAUGGCAAUGGUAUUGUCUGUUUGCUAUAGUUUGAUUACAAGAGAACUUUUCCAUUUGUUAGUUGCCAUCUUUGUUGAUCUGUUAAUUCAGUCUUCUUCUGUUUGUCCUGUUUCUCUGUUUAUUUCAACCUUUCUUUCAAAACUUAGAAGGUAUGGAAAGAGCAAGUACUUAGAAAUUGCAAGAAUUAUAUCAAAUCAUGCAUAUAUGCCCCUGCCUAUGAACUCUUAGGAACAAUCGAAUAUCUUUCCUUGAAUAACAUAAAACAAAAUGUACAAAUCAUUAAACCACCAAAAGUUAGCUAUGAACAACUAUAUAAAAAUCAUUUGUUUCUCACCUUUUCGUGAGUCUGAGAAGUUGUAAAUUCUACUGAGUUUCUCACCUUUUUUUUGACAAUUGGAGUUUUUAGUUUAUGAAAUUUAAUGCCUAUAUUUCUCACAUUGUAGAAGUGUUUUGAAAAGAUGGUUUAUAUUGCACCAUAAAAAUGUGGUCUGAUAAACCAACAGGGGAGUAGUUUGAUCCAGUUACGUGAAAUGCAUGCAAAAUAAUAUUUUCUCUAUAGUUACUGAAGAGAAUUUUGGUCACUCUGGUGUGCAUUAUCUGGAAUAAAGUCGUUUUCCAGUUUCUUCAAAGUUUAUGUGCGGAGGACUUCCGGUUUCCAUCUUUAUGAUAUUCUUGACAUGCACUUCAUCCUGUCUCUCAAGUUCAAAUACUAAUAAAGAUGAGUAAAUUCAUCAUCCGUGUGUCUGCUCUUUCUAUGCAUUUUGACAUUUUUUAUUAAUGCGUCUCAAUGAGAUAUCUUGAUUAUAUGUAGCGAAUUAAUAUUCUGGCGUUUUUUGAGAUUUGAAGACGUAAUAAUUUCUCAUUGGAAAGCCUUUAAUUAUUGAUUUUCAUCAAAGGGGAUUGGUCUUGAAUGCAAAUGAAAUUUGAUAAAGGACCUUGACAUUUUUUAAAAUCAUCUAGCCUAGUAGUACUUUAUGUGUUGGAAGUGUCCCAGACCGAGAAAGAUUUCAACUUGGAGGAAUUGACAUAAAGCAAAAUGGUCUUCAUCAUCAUUUGUAUGGCAGCAGGGCCAGCUUCGUAAACUGUCAUUUUCCACGAACCAGCUGUUUUUCAAGUUGGAUUGCUCCGGAAUACUCACAAUCUGGAAAAGCUUGUAACCGUACAUAGAAAUAUUUUCACGUGCGGAGGUUGGGGAACGUGCUGAGAGGCUCACACAUAAAAACCUUAAAAGCUAAAAAUGGACUUUGGUGCAUUAAAAUUUUUAAAAUAUAUCAGAAGUAUCAUAUCAAUCAUACGAUAAGUAGAUAAUGUUAUAACAUGUGUUUAUUUAUUCUGAAAAAUUACUAAUCUGUAAUGUAUUUUAGAAUUCCUCCUGGUGGAUAGUGGAGCACUUAUGGAAAACAGAUUCCAUUUAUUUCUUCAAAAUCUUGAAAUUCUAAAGGUAUAAAAAUGUCGCCACAAUUUGAUAAAUCUUGUACCAUCCUCAGCAUCUCUCCGAAAUCUAACAGCAUUUACGCGGCUGUGCGGGACGAAUAAGCUAAUUAGUAUUUACUAACCCCAAACAAUUGAGAAGGAUACUAAAAUUUGGACCCUAUCACUUCAUUCGGUGUAAAUAACUAACUAAAAGUAGAUAAAUAAAUAGCUGAAAAUAUCACAAACUAUUUUAAAUUGAUUAUUAAAGUAAUGGAAUAUAUUAAAAUGAUAUAUAUAUAUGCGAGCGCGCGCACGUAUGUAUAUAUAAAAUAAAUAAUAUAUAUAGUCCUUUUUUGGUACAGACGCGUUCAUUUUUUCAUGCUAACAUGCUUUUAAGCCGUACAAUUUAAGAGAGCUAGUUGAAAGUUAGUUUUUAAUGUUAUUAAACCCUACGGCUUAAAAGGGUGUUUGCAUUAAAAAAAAAAAGAGAACACUAGCACCUAAUAAUGAUUAUAUAUAUAUAUAUCAAUUCAAGAUUUUAAAGUGCAAGAAAGUCCAAAAAAACUUUAAACAGUGGGGUUUUAAAAAUUUUCCGGACCUUUCUUGCACUUUAAGAUCCCGGAGGCUCUUGAUUAAAUCUUCAUCAUACUUGGAGAAAAUUAAAAAUGUAUGGAAGGAUAUUUUCAAGCUUGGUAAGGUCAAAUAAUUGUGGAGUUAAAAAAUUGAAUGAUGGGCAAGUUCAAACUACAAUACAAUUUAGAAACUUUUAGCGAAAAAUAAUAAGUGGAAAAACUUUAAAUUUCAUACAAAUAUGAAAUAUGUAUUAUGGGCUUGGCUAAGUUACGGUUUGUGUUAAUUUAAGGUUCAUGUAACUAACAACUUUAAUGAUAAAAUUGAAUAUAACAGUAGUUUUUUUCACAGAAAAAAUUAAAAAAAUAUAUGUAUUUUGGGCGAAACUUUUUGCGAAAAAUAAUGAGUGCCACGCUUUAUAACUUAAUAUGUAUUUUGGGCUUGGCGAAGUUACGGUUCAUGUAAUAAUCAAUUUAAUCAUUACCGGAUAAAAUUGAAUACACCAGUAGUGUUUUUCCGCGGAGAUAUCGCCAAAUUUUGUGUCAAAUAAAGAAUAAAAACCAUAAAUACCAGUAGUGUCCGAUUUUGAAAGCAAAGCAGCAUACAUAUUAACUACUAGGCUUUGAUGGUGGUUGCAGUAAAAAGGAUUAAAAGAGAGAGAGAGAGAGAACUUGAAAACUAUGGAAUGGAAGAUAAAUCAAAGUUAUAAAUUUGGACUCAAUAGUUUUGAUGUUCAAUCAAAUAUGGAGGGGCGAUUAGAAAUUAUCAAAAAUUUAGAGGGAUUUCAACCGUUCAAUUCAUUAUUAGGCGUUGUAGACUGCGGGGAUGCAGAAAUUUCCACAGGGACGAUGGCCCCGAGGGAUCUUCCUCAUUCGGGAGUUUGAUAAUUUUAGAUCUAAUUUUUCUAUGUGGAGACAAGAAUCUGAUAAAUUAAUAUGUGUGGGUGUAUAAUUUAGUGUUUGCCCUAAUAUUUUAUUUGGCUCCACAUUUUUCUAUUUCCAUCUUUAGUUUCUAUUUUUAAUUCUUUUUUUUUUCAAAUUUAUAGUAAAUACAUUUAAAAUUUCAAUUGUAAUAGUGUGAUGUAAAUAAAAAAUAUCAUAAUACAUUUAUAAAAAUAAUAUAAAUAACAGCCAAUAUAAAGUAAAUAUAAACACUUUAAAAUUGACAAAGAUAAUUUAAUUGAUGGUUUAUACUAUAUGACAUUUAUGGAUGAGUUCAACUUUGAAGAUUUACUUUUGCUUAAUUAGUUCAAAGAUUAUCUUCUCAUUUGAUGACAUUGACUUAAUUUGAUGGAAAUGAUUUUAAUCACUUUAGUUAAUUUGAUAUUUUUUGUGUUAAUAUGAUUUUAUAUUUUUACUUUAAGAUGAUUAAAUUAAGAAAAAAAAGAAAUUAAAUAAUCAGAGAUCGGAUGCCAUAAGAGAUCCCUUUGUAUUAUUUAGAAACAUCCAUCCCCUCGUUUCAAGUAAUUUUGAAGGAAAUGUCUAGAGUACAAAGAGAUAGACAGAGUAUUAAAGAUGAGUAUGGGGAAAUCAAUCCCCUCUCCUUCGCAUCUUAUUGACAUCCUUACAUAUGAGCCCAAGGGGAAAUGCACCGUGCCUGAUAAAAGUAAAAUUAAAAAUAAAAAAUUUCUUUUAUCAAAUCAUUCUAUGUGGUGGAGAUUAUUGUAUAAUCAAGUACACAUGGCAUUUUUAAAAGCUUUUUCUUUAUUUAAAGCUCUAAAGGUCUGCCUAAGAGUCAAGGUUGGUGCCGUUCUUCUAGAAGAACAACCCGUAUCUUUUGAUAUUCAAAGUUUGAAUAUCAAGUUCAAACUUUAAAUUUUGAAAUAAUAAUAAUAAUAAAUAUAAAAAGUGCCCAAAUUUUUAGCUAUAAAUAGAGGGGUUCACCCCCUCAUUUCAUUCAUUCUAUUCUUUUCUUCUUUAGUUCUAUAAUGAGAGAUUAAGAGUUUUAUACUCUUGAGUGACUAGUGUUUGGAGAGAUUGGGUGUAUUAAGGUUUUGAGAAGUGAAACAAAAUACUAAAAUACUUAUAAUCCUCAUUUCACUAGUAAAGUUUUAUCCUUUUGUCCUUACCUAUGGGCAUAAGUUAAAAGUCGAACCAAAUAAUUUAUGGUGUCCUCAGUGUGCUUGCUCUUCAUUUUCUUCCAAUUUCAUUUUACUCGCGGCCCUACUUCACAAAUUAAUUUUCUAAUAGUGGUAUCAGAGUCGGGUUGUAUUUUUUGGGGUCAAGAUACUGUUUACAUAUAUUGUACUGUUCAUGUAUAUGAUAUUGUUUCUGUAUACAACACUUUAUUCAUAUAUACAGUUACUGCUCAUAUGAAAUGGUAGGAAUCGAUCUUAGCAAAGGUAGCUCGUGGUGAACAAUGAUGGCGGAAAAAUACAAAAUUGAGAAGUUCAACAAAAAUAAUUUUUCGUCAUGAAAAAUGAAGAUGAAAGUUGUAUUGAGGAAGAGUAAUUGCUUGGCAACAAUUGAAGAGAGGCUCACAAAGAUAACUGAUGAUGACAAGUGGAAUGAGAUAGACAAUAAUGCCAUUGCAAAUCUGCACAUACCACUUUCAAAUAAGGUAUUAUUCAAUGUGGUAGAGUAAAAGAGAGCAAAGGAAAUAUGGUUUACUCUCACAAGACUAUACGAGGUCAAAUCACUACAAAAUAAAAUCUUUUUAAAGAGGAGGCUUUAUACUCUUCGAAUGACGGAAUCUACAUCAGUGAUCGACCAUAUCAACACUUUAAAGACUUUAUUUUCAUAACUUACAACGUUGGGUCAUAAAAUAGAGGAAAAUGAUCAUGUAGAGCUUUUACUUCAAGGUUUACCAGAUUCGUAUGAUUAAUUCGUCAUUAAUCUAACUAAUAACAAUCGAGCAAACAAGUUAGUCUUUGACAAUAUGGCAGCCUCCGUAUUAAAUGAGGAGAGUAGCAAAAAAUAAAAAAGAUAGACAGACAAGUUCGCAGCAAGUAGAAGCGCUAUUGAUGAUGAAAGGAAGAUCCAUGGAACGUGGCCCUAGUGAGAGCCACAAUCACAGUAGAUCGAAAUCAAGAAGUAAGAAGAAUGUUAAAUGCAACAACUGUGGCAAGAAAGAGCAUGUCAAGGAAGAGUAUUGGAACAACUAGAAGAGAAGAGAGGGUAAAGAUCCUGAGUCAUCAAAUGCUCAAGGGUAUGUAGUAAGUACCUCGUAUAAUGGAAAAAUUCUCUACAGUAAGGCAACAACUGCUUCAAAAGGCAGAAAACCACUAUAUGACGUCUGGCUUAUAGACUUAAUAGUUGUUUGGCACAUGAUCUCUCCAAGAGAAUGAUUUCACAAAUAUGAACCUAUUUCAAGAGAAUCUGUAUACAUAGGUGAUAAUCAUGCCUUUGAGAUCAUUGAUAUUGGUACUGUCAAAAUAAAUAUGUUUAAUGGUAUGGUUCGCACAAUUGAGAAGGUAAGACAUGUCAAAGACUUGAAAAAUAUCUCUUGUCUUUAGGACAAAUAGAUAGCCUUGUGCACAAAACUCAUGUAGAAAAUGGGAUCAUAAAGAUAGUCAAAGGCACACUUGCAUUAAUGAAGGUGGAAAAGAUCGGUGCUAAUCUAUUCAUGCUUAAAUGGAAACACUACAGAAAGCUUUUGUGUGUGUCACAUCAAAUAGAGAAAAUUCAGCGAUGAUGUGGCAUCUUAAACUUGGCCACAUGUCGAAACAAGGAAGCAACAUAGAUGAAAGUUUAGCAGAUCCACUUUCAAAAGUAAAUGUAUUUUAGACUUGAUUCAUUCUAAUGUUUGGGAAUCAAUUGAUAUAUCUAUGGGAGGUGCAAAGUAUUUGGUGACUUUUAUUGAUGAUUAUUCUAGGAGAUAUUUAGUGUAUCCAAUCAAGAAAAGGUCAAAUGUAUUUCCAUUGUUCAAAGAAUUCAAAGAAUAGAUUGAACUUAAAUCAGGGCAAGGGAUCAAGUGCCUGAGGACAGACAAUGGUGGAGAGUAUACAGAUAGCAUGUUUCUUGCAUAUGUAAGUAAGAAAGUAUCUAGAGAUAAUUUACAGUGGCAUACACUCCUCAAUAAAAUAGAGUAGUAGAGUGAAAGAACAUGACUCUUAUAGAAAAAAUAAGAGUUAUGUUGAGAACUGCUGGUCUACCAACUCAUUCUAGGCGGAAGUAGCAAAAACUACUUAUUAUGUGGUAAGUGGGUCAUCAUUCAAGGCAAUCGGGUUGAAGAUUCCAAUGGAAAAAUGGACAGGAAAGCCAACUGAUUACUCUCAUCUCAGGCAUUUUGAUGUCCUUUUACGUGAUAUACGAUACCCAAGUGAGAUUAAAAAUGGAUCCAAAAUCCAAGAGAUGUAUCUUCUUAGAAUCUAUUGAUGGAGUGAAAGGGUAUUAUCUGUGGGACCUCAAUGCCCACAAGAUCGUUAUUAGCAGAGAUAUUGUCUUUGUAGAAGAUCAAAUGCAAAAGAGAGAUAUGGAUGAUAGCACUAUUAAAAUUUAGAGAUUGUGCUAAUAUAUGUUGAAAAUAAUCUGGAAAAUGAAGAUUCAGAUUUUUUUGAAGCAGCACCAAAGUAUGAGAACAAGAACCAAUCAAGUCUGAGGCCCCAAAAGUUUGUUGGUCAACUCGUGAUAGAUAAAUGUAUGUGUGGCAUUUGGAUUAUGUCACAGAUAUCAAUUUUGCAUACUGUCUUUUAAUAGAGAAUGGAAAGCCAUCAACUUUCUAUGAAAUUUUAAACAGCUCAGAUGUUACUUUGUGAAUGAUAGCAAUGCAGGAAGAAAUUAAGGCUCUACACAAGAUUAUGACAUAGGAACUCGUACUACUACCAUAUAAAAAAAAACCAUUGGUUGCAAAUGGGUUCACAAGAUCAAACGUGAUGGUAAUAACCUAGUGGAGCGAUAUCGUGAAAGAUUGGUGGUGAAAGAAUGUAUUAACGUCAAUGAGAUAUUUUCUCCAGUGAUUUGACCCAGGACAGUCAGAGUGGUCUUGUCGAUGUGUGCUACAUUUGACCUAUAUUUGGAGCAGUUAGAUGUGAAAUUUUCAUUUCUUCAUGGAGAACUUGAAGGAAAGAUUUAUAUGCUCUAACUAGAAGGUUUUACUAAAAAGGGACACUUGGUUUGCAAGUUGAACAAAUCUCUAUACGAUCUCAAACAUGCACCGAGAUGUUGAUAUAAGAGAAUUGGUCAUUUCAUCAUAAACCUUGGAUACAAUAGAAUCAUUUCAUACUGUUGUACAUAUUACAACAAGUUUUAUAAUAAUGAUUUCAUCAUUCUACUGUGGUAUGUGGAUGACAUAUUGGUAGCAAGCCCCAACAAAGAUCGAGUCCAAGAACUGAAGGCACAGUUAACUAGGGAGUUUGAAAUAAAAGACUUAGAACCAGCAAACAAGAUUUUAGGGAUGCAAAUUCACCGAGAUAGUAAUAGCAAGAAGAUUUGGCUUUCUACCCCGCUUCUUAUUAAUUUCAAGUUAUUCUUAAGUAUUCAUCUAGUAAUGAAGUAGAGAAGAAGAGAUGUCUUGAGUACUGUAUGCAUCAGCAGUGGAAAAUUUAAGGUUUGCUAUGAUUUGUACAAGUAGUGGGAGCAGUUAGUCGAUACAUAGCGAAUCCUUGCAAAGAACAUUGGAAGACUAUUAAGAGGAUUCUGAGAAAUAUCAGAGGAACAUCAGAUGUUGCAUUAUGCUGCGAAGGAUUAGAAUUUACUGUCAAGGGCUUUGUGCAUUCAGAUUUUGCAGAAAAUCUUAAUAAAAGGAAACCCACUACUGGCUAAGUAUUUACACCAGAAGGCGAAAUUGUUAGUUGGAUUUCAAAAUUGCAGACCAUUGUGGCUUUAUCAACAACAGAAGCAGAUUACAUAGCAGCUACACAAGCUUGGAAGGGCUAUUUGGAUACAAAGGUUACUGAAAGAGCUUGGGCAUAAAAAUUUUUAUGGUUUGUGAUAGUUAGAAUGCAAGGAAUCCAACCUUUUAUUUCAGGACAAAGAAUAUAGGAGUACAAUAUCACUUCUUCGUGAAGUAGUGAAAGAUACAAGAGUGGAUACCAAGGAGAACUUAACAAAUGUUUUGCCCAAGCCUAUCAAUGCUGAUAAAUUUGUUUGGAGUAGAUCAUUUUAUGGCCUAGUAGAGACAUAAGCAACAUGAUAGCGACGAAGCAGAAAGGAUGGUGUGGAGAUUGAUUGAUUCUCAAUCAAAUUUCUAAGUGGGAGAAUGUCAAAGUCAAUGUCACUUUUCUAGAAGAGUGACCAAUACCUUUUGAUAUUCAAAGUUUGAAUGUCAAGUUCAAACUUUUAAUUUAAAAAAAAUAUAUAAAAAUAUAAAUAGUGCCCAAAUUUUUAACUAUAAAUGAGGGGUUCACCCCUGCAUUUCAUUCUUUUCUUCUUCAAUUCUAGAGUGAGAGACUAAGAGUUUUAAUGCUCUUGAGUGAUUAGUGUUUUAAGAGAUUGAGUGGAUUGGGGUUCUAGGAAGUGAAACAAAAUAUUAUAAUACUAGUAAUCCUCAUUUCACCAGUAAAGUUUUAUCCUUUUGUCUUUACCCGUAGACGUAGGCUAAAAGUCGAACCAUGUAAUUUUUGGUGUCCUCUAUGUGCUUGUUCUUCAUUUUCUUCCAAUUUCAUUUUAGCUGUGAACCUACUUCACCAGUCAAUUUCCUAACACUGAUAGGGGCGGAUCUGCAUUGGGAGUUAAAUAUAUGAAAUUUUAUUAAUUUAUGACUUUUUCUAAAAUUUAUUUUUUUUGUGACUUAUAUAUGAUUUUUAAGCAUUUACAUUUGAAUAGAAAAAGUAACUUUUGUGACUUUUAUUGAAUAGGAAAAAGUCUAAAUAAGAAUUAAAUAUAUAUUCUAAAAAUAUUUUUAUAAAAUAUAUUUAUUUCUUAAACUAUAAAAUCUAACUACUUUUUUUUGUUUUUAUUUGUAAAAAUAUAAAUAUCAAAUAACCAUAUUUAAGAUAAAUAAGAUGUCACUUAUAUUUGGGUAUUAAGAAAAAGAAAAAUAAAUAUAUCAUUCAUAUAUUUGUACUCAGCUCAUUCAUGCUUACGAAAAAUUUAUACCUAUUCAGAUUAUAAAAACAAACAAACAAAUAAACAAACGCCUUAGCCUAGCGUGGGCAAUUGACUUUACUGAAAAAUAGUUUUCAUUUAAUUUUAUUUUAAUUUAUGGAAAAUUUUUCUUUUAAUGUGGCAAUUUCGUAGACGACUUUCUUAGUGGGAUUAAUUUUAUAACGCAAGUUUAUUUUUCUCACAUUUGAAAUCUGUAAUUGUUUUUAUUUUUAUUCAAAAGAUUAUCUUAUAAAUCAAUCUCCAGGCUCCGCCCUUAUUUCUAAGUAUGAGACGUUCGCAUCAUUAAAAAUGGGGAAGCAGCAACAACCUACUGGCCAAUAGUAUAGGAUAGGAGUUAUUAAUGCAUAUCAGCUAUUUGGUGAAAUGCUCACAAGAAAUGGAAAUUUGACAUGUAUGCAUUUCUCGAACUUUACCAACAAAACUUUUAUAAAAGCAUAUUUGUGAAUGAUUUUCCUGAAAUUUAAUGUUUAUCAUCUCCAAUCUUUUUACUCCUCCAGUCUUGAGUAAUUAUGGUGUUGCCACCCAUGCAUGCUUAUAGAUGCUUUGGUUCCUGAGAUAAUUAGUUCAUCAAAUUAGCAGCCUUAGCCUUAUAUUUGCAUUUUAUUUUUGUCAACGUUAACUGGUUAAAUUGAAUCAGUAGUGAAACUGAAAUGAAAGUAACUGAAUGACCCGAAUUUAAAAAUAAUAAUAAUUUUGUCAACUAAAUGAUCCUUCUGUUUGCUUUAGUAUUAUUUUUUUCCCCCUUAUCAAUUCAAGUUUGAAAGACAAGCAAUGUAUAUACCUAAACUGAAGUUUAUGGUUUCUCCGUGCUCCUUGUAUUACAAGUAUCAAAGCUGUGACUUCACAUGAACCUUAGCAGAAGCUUCUGUGAUAUUAUUUAUGUAGCUUUUAACUUUAACAAAAGCAUAUGGAUUUUUAUUUUUUGACUUGAUUUGCCAAGAUGACGAUGAGUGGAAUUCAAUUCAUUUUCUAUUUUUGUAUUUUUUUUUUUUCAUUCUUUAAAACCAAUAAUUGUGUUUUGUUGUUGCAAUUUAAUACAUCAAUAACAUUUAUUGAAAAAUUGGCUAAAUUAAAAUGUGUUAACAUAAUGUACAAAGUAAAAUGCAACUUAUAAUUCAUAAAAUUUUAGAUGCUGAUCAGUCUAAAUAGAAAGGAUGUGUUUCACCUACUCUGUUUUGUACUAAUAAUCAACUACGCUUACCAAAUAAUAAUCUUUCUGCAACUGUCUGGGGGUGACUUUAUUCCCAUCCCUUGAUCUUUAUUUAUUUAUUCUUUGCUUCACUUCUGAACUUAGCCAAGGAACUUGAACUUUGGCUUUUCAAAUGGACUAGUUUUAGCUUUUAAUCUCGGCCAUGAUCUUCAUUGUGAAGAUGACGAACUAUUAUUCUUUUAUUCUUCACUUGUUGAAGUUACGAAAUAUAUAACUUUCUCAAAAUUUUAGCAAAUCGUUAUCCGUCAGCUUCAGAACCUCAUUAAAAAGUCAUCCUUUGCACUCGUUCUCAAUCAAGAAACACAUAUGCUCCCUUUUGCUGUCAACUCACUUGAAUUUCACUGGAUGAAGAAACCCUUUUCUCUUGGCAUCUGUUCUGUUGUAAUCUCCAGUCUUUGUUAAUUUGUUUCUCUCCAUUCCCAAUCUAGUUGUGGCAUGUUGUUGUCUCUGUUUGGUUCCAUAUCUACCCUUUGUACUUCCGCCGUGUGAAGAUAUAUCUUUUUCUCCAUCUCUUUUACCAGUCAAUAGCGCGUGUUUGGUAACGGAAAAAGGAGGAAAAAAAGGAGAGUGGGGGCAUUACUUUUAUCUCAUCCUUAACUUCCGAAAGUGGGAGAGAACAAGGGGGGAAAGAGGGGAGUGGGGAGUUAGCUAGGGGGGCUUUUUGGGCUCUCUUCCUCUCAUGGAAAAUUCUUUCUUUGACACUCUGCUUUACUUUCUGUAAAUUACUCGAAAAGCCUUGGGUUUUAAGGCAAUGUUUAUUAAGCCACAUGAGUGGUGGCACAAGUUUUUCCGAAAGGCCUAGAAACUAACUUGAGUGUCGGAGGGUUCACGCCGGAAAAACUUCCGGCGCCUCUAACCUUCUUCUAUGAUUUCAGGUAUUCCUAGGUUAAUCGCUAGUGGUUGCAGGACAUCUUGACGAUUGACCAAUCGAUUCUCUACCAAAUAAAUCUAAUACUGGUGUAGAAAUCUGACAUUAAGUCGCUGAUAGACUAGAUCAGAUUUGGGCAUCAACAGCGCGGUUGUUGUCUCUAAUAUUGUUUGCAUCUUUCUUCUGGUCAAUACAUAAGUUAUUUUGACUGAUUCACUUUUCCUCUAUUAUCUAAAUCAUUCCUUAUAUCAAUUCAAUCACUUUUGAACUAGAAACCUUUUCCUUGUUUCCAUCUUCUCACCAGAUUCACAACAGUUUUUAAGCUUUCUUUGAUUUCUCCGCUUCCACAACCAGAUACACUUGUCAUCUUUGUUGUUUCAUUUUCUUUUUUUCGUUUUUCUUUUUUUUUUUUUUUGCCUCUCUUUCUCUUUGUGUUUCGCUCGUCGUUUAUUUUCAUUUCGGAACUUUGAAAAAAAGAGGAUCGAAGAUGGUGGAAAGCAUUGUUACUGUUCUGUUAGAAGUUGUGAAAUGCUUCGCUCCUCCAACAGAACGCCAACUUUGUUAUUUGCGUAACUAUAAAGCCAACUUUGAGAAUCUCAAGGCAGAAAUAGACAAGCUCAAGGAUGAAAGUAAGAGCAUUCAGCACAGAGUUUCUGAGGCUGAAAGAAAAGGAGAAAAGAUUGAAGAGAAGGUUGAGAACUGGCUGGUUAGUGCGAACAACACCAUUGAGCAGGCAGCCAAAUUCAUUGAAGAUGGGGAGACAACAAGUAAGCGAUGUUUCAAGGGCUUGUGUCCUAAUUUCAAGACCCGCUAUCAGCUUAGCAAGAAAGCAGAAACAGAGGUGAAGGCCCUUGUUGAACUCAAAGAAGAAGCUAGGAGAUUUGAUGAUAGAAUUUUCUACCGUACCAUUGCGGAGGAGGUAUGGCUAAAGUCUAACAAAGGUUACGAGGCCUUUAAAUCAAGACUUUCUACUCUGAAGUCUAGACAAGAUGCAUUGACUGAUGUCAAUGUCAGCAUCGUUGGGGUAUACGGCAUGGGCGGCAUUGGAAAGACAACACUGGUGAAGGAGUUUGCAACGCAAGCCAGUGAAGAGAAACUCUUUGAUCAGGUGGUUUUUUCAGAGGUUUCCCAAACUCCAGACAUAAAAAAGAUUCAAGGGGAAAUUGCAGAGAAACUAGGUCUGGAGUUGUCCGAGGAGGCUGAAUCUAGAAGAGCUAGUAGACUUUAUGAACGAUUGAAGAAAGAGAAGAUGAUCCUUGUGAUUCUGGAUAACAUCUGGAAAUAUCUUGAUUUAGAGACUGUUGGAAUUCCUUUUGACGAUGAUCAUAGAGGAUGCAAAUUAUUAUUAACAGCAAGGGAUCGUAAUGUCUUGUUAAGUAUGGGAUCUGAAAAUAACUUCUUGAUUGGCAUUCUAAAUGAGCAUGAAGCUUGGAGGUUGUUCAAGAUAAUGGCUGGUAAUUUUGUUGAAAAUCGUGAGUUAAAAUCUACAGCAACAAAUGUAGCCAAGGCAUGUGGAGGUUUGCCUAUUGCUCUAACCACAGUAGCAAAGGCACUGAGAAACAAAGAGCUGCCUGUGUGGAAGAACGCCUUGCAAGAACUCCAAACGCCUUCAGAGGCAAGCUUCGAUGAAGGAGUACCAGUAGAGGCAUACUCAACAAUUGAGCUAAGUUACAAGUAUUUAAGAGGUGAGCAACUAAAGAAAACUUUUUUACUGUGUAGUCUAAUUACACCAACUUCAAUUAUGGACUUGUUCAAAUAUAGCAUAGGCUUGGGUGCAUUUGAAAGUGUCCAUAAGAUAGAAGAUGCACAUAACAAAUUACAUGCAUGGGUCCAUCAACUAAGAGACUCUUGUUUGUUGCUUGAGGAUGGUGGCAGUAAAUUCUUUUCCAUGCAUGAUGUUGUUCGCGAUGUUGCCAUUUCAAUAGCACGUCGUGACAAAAUUGCAUUUGCGGUGAGAAAUGAGGAUGUGUGGAACUGGCCAGAUGCAGAUGCACUAAAAAAAUAUUUUGCAAUUUGUUUAAAAGAUAGUAUUAUUAAUGACAUUCCUGAAGUGUUGGAAUCUACACAACUUGAAUUUUUAUUCAUGUCACCCAAGAACUCUUUUGUUGGGCCCAAUGUUCCUGAGAACUUCUUCAAAAGGACGAAAAAGCUUCGGGUUUUGGAUUUGACUAGAAUGCGGUUAUUGUCAUUGCCAUCUUCAAUUGAUCUUCUAGUAAAUCUUCGGACACUUUGUCUUAAUCAAAGCAUUUGGGAGACAUGGACACAGCCAUUAUUGGAAAGUUGGAAAAUCUAGAAAUCCUUGGCUUUGUGCGGUCUGAUAUUGUACAGUUACCUAAAGCACUAGGGCAACUGACUAAGCUAAGGCUGUUAGAUUUAAGAGACUGUUUCCAUCUAAAAGUUAUUGCCCCAAAUGUCUUAUCGAGCUUAAUCCGAUUAGAAGAAUUGUAUAUGGGUAAUUGCUCCGUUGAAUGGGAGGUUGAAAGAGCCAACAGUGAAAGAAGUAAUGCUAGCCUUGAUGAAUUGAUGCUUUUACCUUGGCCAACCAAUCUAGAAAUUGAUGUUAAAAAUGACAGUAUUUUACCGGAAGGCUUUUUGGCCAGAAAGCUCGAAAGGUUCAAAAUAUCCAUUGGAAAUGAGUCAUUCAUGCCUCCCAAGAGUAUUACAAGAGAAUGGUUUCAAAGCCGGCCGCACUUUUUGAUCAACAGUAAUCGUGAGAGUUUAAGAGAAUUGAAGCUCAAGCUUGAUUUUAUGGACAUUUUCUCCAUGAAAUUGCAGGGCAUCAAUAACGUUGAAUACCUAUGGUUGGACAAGCUGCAAGGUGUCAAGAAUGUUCUUUUUGAUUUGGACACAGAAGGUUUUUCACAAUUGAAGCAUCUCCAUGUUCAAAAUAAUCCUAA
rnacentral:lncRNA from 1 species